rnacentral:lncRNA from 1 species
UGCUUGUACCUUUAUAUUUCAUGAAUUACCAUAAGUCUUCUUCACGUUCCUAACUAGCUUCACUGUCGGGGAGGUCUCUCCACUCCAUCAAGUACUCAUUGUAAGUCGGUACGCUCCUUGUUCGGAUGACUCGAUUGGUAAGGAUGCAUUCUACAUCUUUGUCGUAUGUGGUGACAAUGGCUGUUGGGGCACAUUUAGAUUCACAUGGCUUGGGUCUCAUGCGUCUCCAUGAUACGACUUGAGUAGGCUUACAUGGAGGACUGAAUAAUUCUUUAGUCUUGGCAGAAGUAAGAGUUGAUACGAGAUGUUGCUCACAUGUCAGACAAUCAGGAAGGGCUUUUCGUAUCGCCUUACUAACCCUUGUGGACUUUUCGUAAAGUCUUGAACUCUUGGUAUAGGAGCUUGAUCAUAACUUAAUUGCUUUGCUUAUACUCGAUGUGGCAUCUCCUAGUGUCAGCCCACUUUUUCAUCUUCUGUGCUACUUUUCAAGAUAAGCUGGUAUGAUCUUUGCUUCCUCGUGACACUCGCAGGCAAGCUUAUAAGCUACAGGGGCUUUUCCUCCAUAUGUCGAGGCUAUGGCGUUGAGGUCAUGGGCUGAAAUCCCAUGAUAAUAUAGAAUGAACUCUUGCCCAUAUUCUUACUUUGUUGAAAAUUGUAUGAGAAUUCGACAACAACCAACAAUUUUGCCAAUCUUGUUAAUGAGCGCUCACAUAGUACCUUAGAUAUAUCUCGAAAAGGUUGUUGAUGCGCUCAGUUUGCCCAUCAAUUUGCAGGUGAAAGUCGUUGAUGUAAUUGCGGAUGUAGGCGCGCUCUCGCUUUUUUCUCCGCAUUACUCAAGGACAAGUGCUUUGGAUGUUCAUUUUGGAAAUAUGCCCAUGUGUUAAUGGCACAAAUGCCUUUGCCCAUCUCACUAUACUUUCACUACCACCAUAGUUAUACGGUGCCUUAGAGAAAUGUAGGCGUUGUGCCUACCUUUGUGCCUCAUCUCGCACACUAACAACAUUGAAGUAUUGUUCUAGCCAAAAGAGAAAGUUAUCCACAAUAGUGGCGUUGCGUGAACUGUAAUUGAUGUUCGGUUUCAGCACAUCAAUGCGAUGCACAUGACUCGAGCUUGUGGAAUUUGGGCUAGAUGUGAGUGUGUGCUUUUGCUCAACCCAAUCCGAGUAGACUUCCUCCACUUCCGCAUGGAUCGCUUAUAGCUUUUCUUGCACAAAGCCACAGAGUUUAAGCAACUCAUCAUGGAAUGCUUGAUGAGGGCUUUGUUGGCUAUCGUAAGUUAGCAUACUCGCCCUUGAGACCUUAGACCCUUUCCUCUAAGCUUUCGAGGGUAUCCUGAUUAAUGGACAUAGAAGUUUCAAGCGUGGCGAUGCAAGGCUCCAAGGUAUUGAGUUCAAGCAAUAGAGGCGGCCUUGGAAUUUCUGCGGGUCUUUGCUUACAAGUGACCCUCCUCAUGGCCAUGAGUUGGUUCUGGGGUGGGCAAAAAAGCCCGGGCCAGCCCAGACCAGACCCGCAGGCUUCGGCCCGGGUCUCCUACAUGUGGGCGUGGACACAGGCUACAAAAAAGCCCUGGGAAGUUGAGGCCCACUUUUUUUAAAAAUAAAUUUAUCAAUUAGAAUAAUAAAUAAAAAAAUAGAAAAAGAAAAAGAAAAAUUAACUUCUUAAUUCAUAUAUAAAUGAUGAUUAAAAAAAGUUAAAAUUAUAAUACUAAACUCUCUCUUAUGCGUUAAUUAAUUAAGAGAGUACUUAAAUUAAAGAAUCCAAUAUUAUAAAGUUAAAUCUCUAAACUUUUAUUUGCUUUAUUUUUCUUUAUUUAUUAUUUUCUUUUAAAAUAUUCAUUUUAUUUAUUUAUUAUUAAUUAUAAAAAAAUGUUGAUUAUUAACUCAUUUCAAAUUUACAACAAUUUAAAAAAAAAACUUAAAAAAUAGAUGAAACCCUAGCCUGAGCCUCCUUAUGUUUAUCCUGCAGUGGGUUUGGACCUGGACUUGGCAAAUAAUUUCUUUACACCUCUAUGUUUAUCAUGAGCACUCUUCCUAUCCAUCUGAGGUAACCACACUUAUUUUCUAAGCUCCCUCUUUCCCUCAGGUCUAAAACACUCUUCCUCUCCGUCUGAUGGUGAUCAUGCCGUUUUAGUCUGGAUUGAGUCCUUGAUUUUGAUUUGCGAACAAUGAGUACAUAUCUAACCUUCUAAUGUUGCAUCUUCUUUUUCUUGUAGAGACACCUUAAUUGGAAGUUUACUCAAUGAAGUUAGAACCUUUAGCCAUGAAUCCGAUAUCGCAAAUGGGAAAAGUUUAAAUAUCAAAGAUCAAGAAAUGACAGAUUUCUCUGAAAAUGCAAUGCAAACAGUGAGAAUGAACUAUUACCCUCAGUGUCCAUAGCCAGAGAAGGUUAUACGCCUCACACCUCAUUCUGAUGGCUCUACUCUUACAAUUCUACUACAAGUUUGUGAAGUAGAAGGUCUGCAGAUAAAGAAGGAUGGAAAGUGGACUUCCGUUAGCCCACUUCGUAAUGCUUUCAUUGUCAAUAUCGGAGACAUGUUUGAGGUAUUAACUAUAGUAUAUUACCUUAACUUAGGCAUUUACAUUUAUGACUUAUCAUGCAUCACAAUAUCAGAAUACAGUUUUUAGGUGAUUCGUAAUAGGAGAAGCAGUAUAACUAAAUUACCCUUCAAAGGCUUGUUUUGACUGUUCGUUUUUCAAACUCCCUGAACUGUUGGCAAGAACGGUGCAAUUUGAGCCUCAAGUUAAAGAAUACUAAUUUAGUAAUUAACAAUUGAAGAACGGAUAUGUGAUAACUCAUAUGCUUUUAGAAUUUUUACAUUGCAGAGUAUAAACCAAUGGGAACUACCGUCGGCAUCACAAGAAAGAAUUUCCAUCAGCACAUUUUACAAAGCGAGAUAUGAAGAGCACCCAGCAUCCAGUUUGAUCUCUGAAGAAACACCCGCGUUGUUUAGAAGAGUGACAGUUGAAGAAUAUCUCAGGGGCCGAUUUGCUCGUGUGCUUAGGGAAAAGUCUUGCCUGGAUGUCCUGAGAAUUCAACAUGGUCAAGGCUAGUACAAGUUUAUCUGGACAGUGGCUAAUAAAAGCGUGAGCAACUGGAAAGAAGAAAUAAGUUCUAUUAUUGUAACCUGCUGCUUAGGUCAUCGUGUUUGUGACACAUUAAUGUGAAUUAUAUUAUGUGAAAUAAUGAACAGACAAUGUAUAGAACAGGAUGAUCUGGAGUCAAAAGGCAAACCAGGUGAUUGGAAUAAUUAUUGAGAUAAAAUAUUAAUACCAUGUUUGGCAUGCUCACUUGGAUUGAACUAAUGGAAUAAAUUCAAAAUUUAAUCCUAAAUUUAUGGGAUUGCUAAUCCUAAUUUUCAUGUGGGUUUAGUUGGGACUAGAUAAUAUCAAGAAAAAUAUUUGUCCAUUUAUAAUGUCUUCCAUAAUUUAUUACACCAUUUUAUUUAUAACUUAAAAAUUAUUUAUUAAUUAUUUUUAAUUAAGUAAUUUAUUUUUAUUUAUGAUUUACUUAAAAGUUAUUAAUUACUUUAUUAUUUGAAUAACUUUAUUUAUUUUAUUUAAUGAAAUGAUAUAUCUCAUUUGAAAUGACCUAUAAUUUAAAUAAUUUAUACUUCUUUAUUUGUGUGUGUAUAUAUUUCUUAUUAGUUUUAUUUUUAAUUAAUUAUAUUAUUUCUUGUUAAGUAUCUAUAAAUAGUUGAUAUUUAAAUUCAAAUAUUAAUGUAAAUACUAUUUAAUUUCAUGUAAAUUUAAUUUAGCAUAAUCCAAUCCAAUACCAUACCAAACAUAAGUCAACACUAUAUAUAAUUCAAUAUAAUUUAAUCUAUUUUAAUUUAGUUCAAUUUUAAUAAUUAAUUCAAUUUAAUCCUGCCUGCCAAACAUGACCUUGAGGUGUAAGGUAACAUGGGAAUUACAAAUAAUUAAUUGACUAGCUAAUUUGUUGCUUCUGAUUAUCAAUAAUUGUUUUUCUUUCUCGUGCCCAUAUUUUACUAUCAUUUUGAAUGGUCCCCUUGAAGUAAUCCAGAUCAGCCAUUUGCAUAAAAAUAUAUGAUGAAUGGUUAGGCGGAGGGUGCUGAUUUGUUAGAAAAUAAUUCUUUUUAACUCUUGCGAUUGUCUGCAGUCUGCACCCUGCACUCUUCUCCUAAAACCAAUACAAAAGCUGUAGCAAUCUUGAGAGGAUUUUUGGAACAAAAGAUGGCCAAGAUUGGAGGUUCUCUGCUUGUUCCUUGUGUUCAAGAGUUGGUCAAGAAUCCUAUGUUAGUUGUCCCACCCAGAUACAUACGUCCGGAUCAAGAUUCACCACUCAAUUCUGAUGAUACUUUGAUUUCACAAAUACCAGUUAUUGACAUGCAGAGCUUGCUUUCUGAAGAAUCAAUGGAUUCUGAGUUAGCCAAGCUCGACUUCGCUUGCAAAGAUUGGGGUUUUUUCCAGGUAAAAUGAUUUAGCAAAGUUACAAUUUUUUUUUAACUAGAACAUGCUUGUCUGUGAUUAAGAAUAAAAAAAAAUCGCAAAACUCUCAAUCACAAUAUUUAUUUUAGAAAUCCAGUCUCCAUUGAUGUUAGCAUAUCAUGAGUUUUCAGUUUUUCCCAUCUUGUUCUUUCGCUGUUUUCAGUACUUUUAGGACUGCAGCAGCUUGUGAGAUGUGAAGGAAGUUGUCUCUGUGUUUAUUUGUACAAAUUAUGAGGAGAUAUGAGAAGAAAACACCCAUCAUUUAUUUUUGAAACCCAGAUUCCAUUGAUUUAUUUGUUUUUGACUUUCUUUAUUGCUUUACCUUUCCACCAGAGAUGGAUUGGGUUAGGAUUAAUUUGUUAUUUUCUCAUUCCUAAAAGUAACUAGGCAGUAAGUAUGAAAAUAUUCUCUUGACAAAUUUCACCUACUCUGUCUCAAUAGCUUUUGGUAGCUAAUGAGAAAUAUGCUUCUGUCAAAAUGUGAUAAAAGAUAUACUAAUUUUAUAAGAUUCCUGGAGAUUAUUUGCUGUUACAUGGUUUUGCAAAUUCAAUUUGUGAACCAAACUAGAAGAACUUCAUGCUUAUUAUUGUUAUUCUAGAAUAUUGAACUUUCUGCAAAACAAUGAGUGAAAAACACUUUUAGAAACUAAUCGUUGGGAAGAUAUAUAAGCAAAUUAAGAUUGGUGUUUCAUGCAACAGCAAUGUUCUAGGUUGAAAUGCAAAAAAUGCUUUCAGCCAUCUUUGACGGUAAAUCUUCUCUAAAUCAGUCAAAUAAGUUGCAAUCUGUCUCAGUAAAACACCUGGACCACUGUGAACUUAGUGGCAUGAGUAUUAAAUCUUAGAUGCUGUUCAUUCCUGCAUCAUUUCAGCUGGUAAACCAUGGAGUGAGCUCGGCAUUUCUAGAGAAAUUGAAGAAAGAGGUUCAGGGAUUCUUCAAUCUCAGCAUGGAAGAAAAGAAAAAAUAUUGGCAGCAUCCAGGAGAUGUAGAAGGAUUUGGACAAGCCUUUGUUGUAUCUGAGGAACAAAAGCUUGAUUGGGCUGACAUUUUCUCCGUGAUCACUCUUCCAGUUCAUCUGAGGAAGCCACACUUAUUUCCUAAGCUUCCUCCUUUGCUCAGGUUCUCUCUGUUUGUGCUUGAUAUGGAUUUGCAAACAAAAAGAGCAAAUUAAACCUUCUAUGAUUCUAUCUAAUGCUUUAUCUUCUUUUUUCUUGUAGAGACACCUUGGAAGUUUACUCGAUGGAGUUAAAAUCUCUGGCCAUGAACCUGAUAUCGAAAAUGGGAAAAGUUUUGAAUAUCAAAGAUGAAGAAUUGAGAGAAUUCUUUGAAAAUGGUUUCCAAUCAAUGAGGAUGAACUAUUACCCUCCAUGUCCUCAGCCGGAGAAGGUUAUGGGCCUCACCCCUCAUUCUGAUGGCUCUGCUCUUACCAUUCUGCUACAAAUCAAUGAAGUAGAAGGUCUCCAGAUCAAGAACGAUGGAAAAUGGAUUCCUAUCACACCGCUGCCAAAUGCUUUCAUUGUCAACAUCGGAGACACAUUGGAGGUAAUAAUUAUGAUUACUUUCCUUGGCAUUUUUAUGUCCCUUCUCAUGUGCUUUAAUAUUUUUAACAUUGCAGAUUAUAACCAAUGGGACAUACCGUAGCAUUGAGCAUCGUGCAAUUGUAAACUCUUUACAAGAAAGACUUUCCAUUGCCACAUUUUACACAAAGAGAUUAGAUGGUGAAAUAUAUCCAGCAUCCAGUUUGAUCUCUGAAAAAACUCCUGCAUUGUUUCGAAGAGUGACAGUUGAAGAAUACUUUAGGAACCGGUAUGCUCGUGAGCUUAGGGGAAAAUCUCAACUGGAUGACCUGAGAAUUCAAAAUGGUCAAGGCUAGUAAGAUUAUUUUGGAUAAUUGCAGAUUUGUGCCUUAAUUGUGCUUAUUUUGGAUCAGUAUCUUUCAUUUUUGAAAUAGAAUUUUUGCAGGCUAGUCAUGUUUUUAUGAUAUUUCAAGAACUAUUUCACUUGCUUUUGGAGUUAAAGAUGAUUCAAAUAUGAUAUGAAAUACUUAAGCAUGCCAUUCUAACGCUUGCAUGUCCAAUUACAUCCUUAUCAACAAUAUACUUUGUUACAAUGUCACUGAAGUUGAAUAUAUAACAACAUGCUUGGGUUAUAUGUUGUCAUUUGGCUUAACCAUCCGUCACAUUAAGCAGAUUGUUGUGAUAAUGUGUUUUACAACCUUCCCCAGUAGCAUGCAUGUUGUUAAAAUAAGUAAUUUUUUACCGAAAAUAUUCAGGGCAAUAAAUUGUAAAAAAUUUUGUAUUACUUGUAGCAACAUUGUUCGAACAUAUCUUAAAUGUUCCAUAGCACACAUUGCAUGAGUACAUAAGUUGUAACUUGUUACCAAUAAUUAAAAAAAAAAAAUAGUGAUAAUAAUUAUCAAUAACUAAAAACGAGACAGAUGUUACUUACAUAAGUGGAACCUCGAUUCACAAGCAAAAUAUGGGUUUUAAUUGGUUGUUAUCAGAGAAAAAUAUAAAGAUAAUUAAUGCCUAAACAUAAACAGCUAUGAAUGUAUAAAUGACUAAUUGGCUACAAUUUAAAUCCUCUAUUUUCUUAAUAGUGCACAGUCAAUUACAACACAACACCAGAUUGCAGCGUGUUAGAAAAAGUUUUAGGUAAUCAUAGAAUACUGUUAUUUGUUCAUUCAUUUCUUAUGACAUAUAUGUUUUAAUCAAUUAUGAUAAUUACCCUUGUAACAAGAUUUGCAUAGAUAAAAAGUAAUACUCAAGAACCACCAAAAUCCUUUUAACUGCAGACCCGCAAUGGUGGAUUACUCUCACAAGUCGUGCAAAUGCUGACUAGCUCAAAAUAAUACAUUUUAAACGGUUGCAAUGCUCCAAGACCAAUACCAAUACCAAUACCAAGUUGUGAAAGAAAAAUAAAAAGGGAAAAAGAAAACAAAACGCAGUAUUGAAAAUACCUUUACCUUUUGGGUUGUGACACAAGGUGGGAACCUAAAAUAAUUAAGCUGAUGGUUUGUUAUCGUUAUCUAUAGAGGAUAGUUUUGACCUGCGAAUAUUUUAUUAUGCAUUCGAAACAUGUGCAAAAAAUUAAAAAUACUUCAUGAAUGGUUAGGUGGAGGAUGCUGAUUAAUUUGUUGGAAAAAGAUUCCUUGUUACUUUUGUGAUUGUCAGCACUCAGUCUUGUUCCAAAACCAAUACAAAGCUGCAGCAAUCUUGAAAGGAUUUGAGGAACAAAAGAUGGCCCAGAUUGCAAGAUCUCUCCUUGUGCCUUGUGUUCAAGAGUUGGUCAAGAAUCCUGCGUUAGUUGUCCCCGACAGAUACAUACGUCCAGAUCAAGAUUCACCCCUCAUUUCUGAUGAUACUUUGAUUUCACAGAUACCAGUUAUUGACAUGCAAAGCUUACUUUCUAAAGAAUCAAUGGAUUCUGAGCUAGCCAAGCUCGACUUCGCAUGCAAAGAAUGGGGUUUUUUCCAGGUAUAAUGCUUUAGCAAAAUUAGAAAAUUGUUUCGCCAGAACAUGCUUGUUUGUGAUCAAGAAUCGAGAACUAUGCAAAUUCUCAAUCAAAUAGGCAAAAUUAAAAUUCAUAUUUAUUUCUUAAACCCACGUAUCAUUGAUGUUAGCAGAUCAUGGUUUUACUUUUCGGUGUUGUCAGUGGCUUAGGACUGCAGCUUGUGAAAAGAAGAACUUGUCUCUGGUUUAUUUAUUAUUGAUUUUCUAUACUGCUUUACCUUUCCCCCUCCAGACAUGGGUUAAUUAGCUAUUUCAUUCCUAAAUGUCAAACACGCAAUAUGUAUUAAAAAGACGGUCUUGAGAAAUUUCACCUCCUCUGCCUCAAUAGCUUUUGGUACCUUAUGAGAAAUAUGCUUCUGUCAAAAUUUUAAAAGAUAUACUAUAGUAAAUUGUGGAAGACCCCUUAGAAAAUGUAUCAUUUCUGUAUUCAAUGUUGCAAAUUUACUCUAAUUUAAAGAUAAUUUGAAGUAACAUUGAGAUUAUUUGCUGCUGUAUGAUUUUUCAAAUUCUAGGUGUGAACAAACCACAAGAACUUCAUGCUCAUUAUAGUUAUUCUAGAAUAACCGAAAUUUCUCUGAUAGAAUGAGUAAAAACACCUGUGGAAACUAAUUGUUGAGAAGAUUUAAAUGUAACAAAUGCUUUUAGCCAUCUUUGAUGGUAAAUCUUAUCUCUAAAUCAGUCAGAUAAGUUGCAAUCUGUCUUAAUAAAACACCUGGACUAUUGUGAGCUAAGUGGCACGAUUAUUAAAUCUUUGCUGCAUUUCGUUCCUGUAUUUCUUCCAGCUGGUAAAUCAUGGAAUGAGCACAGCAUUUCUAGAGAAAUUAAAGAAAGAGGUUGAGGGAUUCUUCAAUCUCAGCAUGGAAGAAAAGAAAAAAUAUUGGCAGCAUCCAGGAGAUAUAGAAGGAUUUGGACAAGCCUUUGUUGUAUCCGAGGAACAAAAGCUUGAUUGGGCUGACCUUUUCAACAUGAUGACUCUUCCAGUUCAUCUGAGGAAGCCACACUUAUUUCCUGAGCUCCCUUCUUCCCUCAGGUUCUCUCUCUCUCUCUCUCUCUGUUUCUACGUCAAUGUCAUUUGGAUUUGCAAACAAAUAAUGGAUAGUGCAUCUUCUUUUCCUGUAGAGAGACCUUGGAAGUUUACUCAAUGGAAUUAAAAACCCUUUCCGAGAACCUAAUAUCGAAAAUGGGAGAAGUGUUAAAUAUCAAAGAUGAAGAAAUGAGAGAAUUCUUUGAAAAUGGAGUGCAAGCAAUGAGGAUGAAUUAUUACCCUCCAUGUCCUCAGCCCGAGAAGGUUAUGGGCCUGUCGCCUCAUUCUGAUGCAGCUGCACUUGCCAUUCUGCGACAACUUAAUGAAGUGGAGGGUCUCCAGAUAAAGAAGGAUGGAAAGUGGAUUCCUGUUACCCCACUCCCGGAUGCUUUCAUUGUCAACAUUGGAGACACAUUGGAGGCAAUAAUUAUAAUAAAUUACCUUAACCUGGCAUUUUUAUGCGCUUGCUUAUGUGCUUUAAUAAUUUUUGCAUGGCAGAUUAUAACCAAUGGGACAUACCCUAGCAUUGAGCAUCGUGCAGUUGUAAACUCUGUACAGGAAAGACUUUCCGUUGCCACAGCUUACUCACUGAGAUAUGAUGGUGAAGUGUAUCCUGCCCCCAGUUUGAUCUCUGAAAAAACUCCUCCUUUGUUUAGAAGAGUGAGAAUUGAAGAAUACUUUAGGAGCCGGUAUGCUCGUGAGCUUAGGGGAAAAUCUCAGCUGGAUUCCCUGAGAAUUCAACAUAGUCAAGGCUAGUAUAAGUUUAAUUCGGAUAACUAAAGAGUUUGGUACAAAAACUCUGAAGCAGCUCGCUAUUAAGAUUGUGCGUGGAACUGAAAAUAAGAAAUAAGUUCUAUGAAUACUGUGGAAUAACCUGCUAUGCUAGGGUCGAUCUGUUUCUAAUAGCUCUAUCAUUUGAUAUACUGAAAAGACCAUGUAAUAAUCUUAAGAAUUGCAGACUUAUGCCUGGAAUCUUCCGAUGAUAUAUAGGGGUGCUUAUAUCAGAUCAGUAUCUUUCUUUCUUGAAGUAGAAUUUUUGCAUACCUGACUUGUUUUUAAUGAGAUUUCAAGGACUAUAUGACUUGGUUUCCAAAUUUUUAUGAUACAUACAGAUAAUAUUACCACAGAACCAGUGUAGUUUCUGUAUGAGCCGUUAUAGAUUUCAGUUAAUAGUAACAAGUUUUUGAUUAUUAACAACAAUGUUGUCCUUCCACGUCUUAAAUAUUCCAUUCCAUAACACACAUUGUGACGAAUACAUAACUUGUUACCACUAACGAAAAUUUUUGCCAUCAAUAGCUGAAAAUAGCUGUUAGUUACACAAGCUGCAAAGCUAUAACUUUGGAUUUCAUAUUCAGAUUCUCUCUCAAAGUUGAACUUGGAACUACGGUUGAUGAUCUGCUAUUAUGCUGAGAAAACUACAAGAUUUUGAUUGGUUGUCAUCAGACAAUGUAAAAGAAAUUAGCAUGGUAUCCAAAUUCUUAAGAGUUUGAGAAGACAAUGCACUAUCUUUUUUAUAAUUCGCAGCAGACAGCAAUACAACAGCAGACUGCAACUGUCAUAUUCACAAAAUAUCUAUGGGCCAACCCUAGACCCGCAAUGGUGGAUUAGUCUCGCACAAGGCCACAGCAAAUAAUGACUUGUUGAAAAUAAUACAUUUUCAACAUUUGCUUUGUCAAUAAAACUCUGGAGCAUUAUUGUUGAGAGAAUUUGUGGAACAAAAAGAAGGCCAAGUUCGGAGGUUCUCUGCCUGUGCCUUGUGUUCAAGAGUUGGCCAAUAAUUCUAUGUUAGCUAUCCCUCCCAGAUACAUACGACCAGGCCAAGAUUUAACCACAAUUUCUGAUAAUAAUUUGGAUUCACGGCUAUUGCAGAGCUUGUUUUCUGAAGAGUCAACGGAUUCUGAGUUGUCCAGGCUCCACUUCGCUUGCAAAGAAUGGGCUUCUUUCCAGGUAAACUCCUUUGCCAAGUUAUUAUUAUUUUGCUUUUAAAGGAUUUGCUUGGGAUGAGACCUCAUCUACUAAAUACCACCCUUUGUCCCAUAUUGUUACUCGAGAGCAGAUAUCUGCAAAUUGCGAAUUACAUUCACAACCAGCUAAGCUACACCUGCCGUGAGGCACCCAAGUUUGUAUUUUUUUCCUUUGGACAUGCUUGGUUUAUUAAUAGUAGUCUGGCGUCAAGAAUUAAGAAAUCUGUAUACUCUCAAUCAAAGAGCACAGUCGAUCAAAUUCAGAUUAGAUUGUGUUUCAUUCUUAUAGGUCAAGUAGGCCACAAAUUUGGCCUACUCUGUAUCAAUGCUUUCUUACUCUGUAAGUUAGCAAUAAGAAAGCUCUAACAAAAUUUGAGUCUAGAUAGUCUUAACCAAGCCGGUUUAAGCACCCUUUUUUUUUAAAAAAAAAAAAAUUGUGGGAUGUAACUGACCUUGUCCGAUUAUGGACCACCUAACUUGCUUUCUUGUAUAGCUGAGAAGACAAACCUGCAUUCUUGAAAAUUAAAUUGUCUUUAAUAUCUUUCGGAUGUCUAGGCUUACGGUAGCUUGCGAAGAACUAUAAGCAAAUUUAUGAUGUAGUAUAAUGCAAAUGCGAUUCUAUUAGUUUAUUGAAAUCUAACAAAUAUGGAAGGAUUUGGACAAGCAUUUGUUAUAUCCGAGGAACAAAAGGUUGAUUGGAUUGACAUUUUCUUCAUGACAACUCUUCCAAUUCAUCUGAGGAAACCCCACUUGUUUCCUAAGCUCCCUCUUUACCCCUUAGAUUUCUCUCUCUCUCGUCAGUUAUUUGAUGGUUGCAAAUGUAUUAGGUUCAGAGAAAGAUCCCAAGUCAGUUAUAUUUAGUAAAAUUUGACAAUCAAACAUGAUUUUGAAAGAAUACUGUUAAAUAAUAACUUACUUAACAAUCCACCACAAUCAUAUACUAAACCUUCUAAUUGCGUCUUCUUUUUUCUUAUAGGAAAUCUUGGAAUUUAUUCAGCGGAGUUAAAAAUCUCUGGCCAUGAACGUGGUAUCGAAAAUGGGAAAAGUUCUAAAUAUCAAAGAUGAAGAAUUGAGAGAAUACUUUGAAAAUGGUUUCCAAUCAAUGGGGAUGAACUAUUACCCUCCAUGUCCUCAGCCGGAGAAGGUUGUGGGCCUCACAACUAAUUCUGAUGACUCUGUUCUUACCAUGCUGCUGGAAAUCAAUGAAGUAGAAGGUCUCCAGAUCAAGAAGGAUGGAAAGUGGAUUCCUGUUACACCUGUCCCAAAUGCUUUCGUUGUCAACAUUGGAGUCGUGUUGGAGGUGAUAAGUUAUUUUAACUUGACAUUCAUAUGAGCUAGCUAAUGUGUGCUUUCAUUAAUUCCCGUUGCUCCACUCCCUAAUGCUUUCAUUGUCGACAUUGGAGACACACUGGAGGUAAUAAUUAUAGUAAAUUACUUAACUUGGCAUUUAUAUGAGCCUGCUCAUGUGCUUUAAUAAUUUUUACAUGGCAGAUUGUAACCAAUGGGACAUACCGUAGCAUUGAGCAUCGUGUAAUUGUAAACUCUAUACAAGGAAGGCUUUCCAUUAGCACAGUUUACUUAGUGAUAUAUGAUGGUGAAAUGUACCCUACGUCCAAUUUGGUCUCUGAAAAUAAUCCUCUAUUGUUUAAAAGAGUGACAGUUGAAGAAUACUUUAGGAACCUGUGUGCUCGUAAGCUUAGGGGAAAAUCUCCUCUGGAUGCCUUGAGAAUUGAACAUGUUCAAGACUAGUAUAAGUUUAUUUUGGAUAACUAAAGAGUGUAGUACAAAAACCGUGGGGGACCUUGCUAUUGCAAUUUUGUGUGGAGCUAAAAAUAAGCAAUAAGUAUACGAAUAAUAAAUCCUUUGGUGAAAAUUAUCACCUAAAUUUAGGAAUAUACACGUUCUAUCACCAAAAAUCAAUAACAGAAUAUACGACAGCAUACCUAAGAUCAUAAUGCACAAUUUGUCUCUAGAGUCUAGUAGUUUGUCUUCCAAAUUAACAUGUUCUCCUAGAGAAUCCUUUAAAAUUCUCUGUGCACUCUCUCUAAUGAUGAGAUGUCAACAGAGAAUAGAACGAUACGUGUGACCUAGGGACAAUAACUACUUAUAUAAACAAAUUUUUCUUUUGUCUUUAUGUAUUCUUAUUCCAACCCAUCAUGGAAAUAGAAAAUAGUCUUAAGUCUCUGUACAUUAAAGGCCUACAAUUGAUUAGAUACAUUAAAGCCCAAAUUAUCGAAAACUUUAAUAGAUCAUUUUUAAUUUGCCUUAAACUUAUAUAAUAGUUCACAACAUAUAAUUAUUCACAUAUAAGCCCAACAUUGGAUCAAUGAUCUAACAAUGCUAGAUUAAAGAUCCAACAACCUUUCACUUGGGCUAUAUAUGUAACCUUAUAAUUAUACUUUGCAAAAAUAACCAUAUGAGCUCAAUUUUACUGUCAUUACUAAAAUGUAUCUAUAGUCAAUUCGGUCCAUCAAUCAUACCAACAAAGGAUCAAAACGACCUUUGUUACAACUAUCGUAACUUGACCCAUCAAUGCGCACUAUGCCAAUAUAGCUGAAUGACAUAGAUCAUGAUAUGGGCGUGUAGGAUGGAAAUUUCAUGUAAUGUGAUCUUAACAUGCCUAUUUCCAAUUGAUCCACCUUAAACUUUAGUGAGAUCAAAUUAUAUAAAAAUUAGAGUGUGAAUGAAUAAACCAAAACUUUAUUUCUGCAGAAAAUAACCUUAAAUAUCCCUAAACCGAAAAAUGUUUAUAUCAUAAGAACAUUUAAAAGUUACAAAAUCCCAUUAAAAAUGAAUAUCCUUUAAUGACACGACACCUAUAUGAACAGUGUGCCUACGAAAAAUUUUAGAUGGUAUUCCCUUAGUAAGCGGAUCCGUGAUCAUGGAUUUUGUACCAUUAUGCUUUAUAGACAAUUUUCCACUCUAAAUUCUUUAUUUAACAACUAGGAACUUGAUGUUUAUAUACUGUGACUUCGUCGAGCUCCUAUUGUUAUUGGAAUAUAGCACUGCUAACUUAUUGUCACAUAAUAACUUGAGUGGUCUAUCAAUACCAUCUAAAAUGUGUAACUCUGUGACGUAAUUCCUCAGCCAUAUUCUGUGAUUGGAUGUCUCGUUACAUGCUAUGAACUUUGCUAUUAUAGUAGAAGAGGCUAUAAGAGACUGCUCAACAGAUGUGGCUCGCUCUAAAAGAUAAGUUCAGUGGCACUUCGACUACUAAAUUGAGAAGGCUGAUGAUCAAGUUUGAUUCUUAUUGGAAUUGCCAAAAUCAUAUUAUGAGGCAGCAUCUAAGGGAGAUGUCAAACAUGAUUUGCGAACUUAAGGCUGCUGAACAUAUUUUGACUGAUGAACAAUAAGUCCAGGAAGUAAUAAGAUCUUUACUUGAUUCUUGGGUGCACAUGAUGGUGAAUAUGACUCACAAUGAAAGUAUUAGAACUUUCAAUGACAUAGAACAUCACCUAGAAUUAGAAGUAAAACGCCUUGAGGCAACUAAGCUUUUUGAUCGUGUUUAUUUGACCGAAUCAAAUUCGCACAAAGCUUCAAGCUUCAAGUGCAAAAGGGUCAUAAUUAUAACCAGAAUGGUGAGAAAUCUGAUCCUAAGAAGAGGAAUUUAGAUGCUAAGAAGCGCCCAAGGGGUAGACGCACUGACAAGAACAAUGACAAAUCUAAGAUGAAAUACUAUAAUUGUAGUGAGCCGGGUCACUUUGCUCGCGAGUGCACUGAGCCCAACUCCACUUUAUUAAAUUUUGUGUUAGUUAUGAGUUAUGUACUCCUAAUUGAUUCUCGUCCUAUGUAGACUGUAGACUCAGGAUCAACAGACUAUAUAGCUCGUGAUCAAAAUGCGUUUGUAGAGUAUCAUCAAAUUAGUCAAGGGACUAGAUGGAUAUACAUGGGCAACAACUCCAGAGUUGAAGCAAAAGAAAUAGACACCUACAAAUUGACUUUGCAUGGUGGAUGUAUUCUUUUAUUACACGAUGUCCUAUAUGCACUAGAGAUUCGACAAAACUUAGUUUCUGUUCCCAUUCUUCUUGAAUUAGGAUAUAAUUUAAACUUUUAUGAUUUUUUUUUGGAGAUUUUCUUAAAUUUAGUCCUUAUUAGAACUGACAUUUCGUUAAUGGUUUUAUUAUAUUAGAUACAAUACUUGAUAAUUCAAGUUAUGAUAAUAAUUGUUUUUCAUAUGCUACUUCUUUAAGUAAUAAUAAGAUAGAUGUUAUUACUUGGCAUGCUUGAUUAGGUCACAUAGGGCAAAAAAGAAUGAAUAGACUUACGAGAAAGGGCAUAUUGAGUUUACUUACCAAGGUUGAAUUGCCCAUAUGUGAGAAUUGUUUAGCUGAAAAAACAAUUAGAAAACCAUUUGACAAAGGAAUUAGAGUUGAAAAAUCAUUACAAUUAAUCCAUUCUGACAUCUGUGAUACAAUGAAUGUAAGGGCUAAACAUGGAGCCUCAUAUUUUAUAACAUUCAUUGAUGAUUAUUCAAGUUUCGGUCAUGUCUACUUGAUUUCUUAUAAAUCAGAAGCAUUGAAUUGCUUUAGAUUAUAUCUAAACAUGGUAGAGAAUCAACUAGAUAGUAAUGUUAAAGUUCUAAGGACUGACUGAUGACAUGAAUACCUUUCAAAGUAGUUCAAGGACUUGUGUAAUGAGAAAUGAAUAAAUAGACAACUGACUAUUUUUGGAACUCUGUAACAAAAUGGCAUGGCGGAAAGAAGGAAUAUAAUUUUUUUAGAAAUGGUUAGGUCAAUAAUGGCACACUCAAAUAUUCCAAUAUCAUAUUAGGGAGAUGCAUUGUUAACUACUGCCUAUAUAUUUAACCUAGUUCCUUCAAAAUCAGUUAGUUAUUCUCAUAUGAGUUAUAGACGGCUAAGAAACCUGACCUAUUUCAUUUGUGACCUUGGAGGUCUGUAGCUUAUGUUUAUAACUCCAUUCAUAAGUUUGGGAAAUUAGGAGAUAGAAGCAAAAAGCGUAUCUUUAUUAGAUACUCAGAACACUCCAAACGAUAUGUGUUCAUUGGUGAACAUGAAAGUGGAUUUUUAACUGAACUGGAAUCAUAGGAUGUUGAUGACUCUAUGAAAUGAAGUUAUCAUUAUAUUUCUAGACUUAAAUCAAGAUUUCUUAAAGAGUAAAUAAUGUCUUUCUAUUACUUUUUAAUGAUAUUUUGCAUUAACAUCCGUUUUAGUUUAAUUCUAGUAAAUUUUGUUUGGUUUCGAAUAAUCGUGUGCUUAAAUCAUAUACGCAAGUGUGGGUAAUUGGAAGUUUGAAUUUCAAGGACAAGAUGUUGUUGCAAUGAGCUUGCAAAAUGAAUGAAAGAACAUGGCUGUAGAAGAAUUAAAACAAGUCUGGAACAAUGCAGAUGUUGCAGACAUUGUUGUAGCAAUGUUAGAGCAUUGAUAGAGAAGAUUUCAUGUGAGGCACUUAAAAGAUUGAGAUAUGGAGUUUUCAAAUCUGGCAGAUACACACCCUAGACUUUCAGUUGCCCUAAGUUUUAUCUAUAAAAAGAGCACACAUGCAAAGGAAGAGAGAGGCCGUCAACCAAGAACAAAAACCGAAAAGAAAUAAAAGAAAAACAUAAUUCAAGAGCAAAAUUAAGGGCUGCAUCAUAGGAGAAUUUGUAGAAAUCAUUCAGGAACUUAGUCUUUCUUAGUCUUCUCUUGUUUUCUUGUUUAUUCUUUAAUCAUGAGGAUGCAUUUGCUGACCAAAACUCCAUUGUUCAUGUUUCUUUUACAUAUUAUAAACUAAAUUUAUUUGUGGUUGAGUGAUAAAUAAUCUUGAUGGUCCAUUGACUAUAUAAAUGUGUUGUUGUAUGCUUGCUAUAGCAUUUUAUUUUGAUGAUAUUUAUUUAUAUUCAUUAUUUCGGUUGACCACCCAUUUAAUGAUACAAGCUAAGAAAGAGCUACAAAAGGACUUAUCUUAAUGUAACAUAUCCGAGUAAUACUUGGUUUUAGAUUGGGUUUCUUGAGUUGAGUUUUACUUGAUUCCAAAAGGGCCAUGCCUAAUAUAAAAUUCGUGAUGAAUUAGACAUACGAAUUCACAUUGUAGGAUAAAUAGAACCUAAAUGUGUAAUGUUAUAUCUUAUGUUGGCAUAACAAUUGGUCACUAUUAGAUUGCAUAAGGAUAUAAGACAUCCAACAUGCGACAGUUGAGGAUACAAUAUGAUUUUGCCUAGUGCUGUAUCAAACGUUGUAGCAACCGAGCCAAAGAUUAGAAGAAACAGUCAAAACCAUUAAGAGAGUUUAAUCACUCAACUACUCCAUUCUCAUUGGCUUUAUUCUUAUGUUUGACAUGAGAAUUUUAUUUAUUGCCUUUUUAGUUAUUACAUUUUAUAGUUUAAUUAGUUAUUUAGUCUCAUUAAUUAUUUAGUCUAAAUUUAGAACACAAGCUGCACUGUUCAGGAUUAUUUUAGCAAUUCUGAUAACAUCAAUCCCUGUGGAGACGAUCUUGAAUAUUUAUCAUUAUAUUACUUAUUGUGUACACUUGCAUAUUGAUACUAAUAAUACAAGAAAAAUUGCAACAAAUGUCAGUUUUUUAGAAAAUGAAUUUUCUAGCAUUGAAGAAGUUGAUAAGGAUUUUCAAUUUUAUGAAUUAGAAGAUCCAAAUGGGGUUAUCACUUCUAAUGUCGAUAUUGGCAUUAGUACGAAUCCUCUGGGGAUUGUUACUCUGAGUGGGAGUGAAACACCGGACACUUCGAUUCGAAUUAAGGAAUCGACUUAGAAGAGUAGUCGUAAGUCAAUUCCUUGUCAUCAUUUUGAAAUUGAGGGAGAAGUUUUAUGAUUACUUCACACGAUAGUGAAGAGCCAAAUACUUUUAAUAAAGCUCUCACAUCGUCUACUAGGGAUUUAUAGAUGAAAGCAAUAGAAGAAGAGAUAAAAUCUAUGAAAGUUAAUCAAGUUUGGGACUUGCUUGAAUUUCUGCCUAAUCGUAAAAUUAUCAGAAAUAAAUGGGUUCUCCAUAUAAAAUGUAAAGUGGAUGGGACAAUCGAGAGAUACAAAAUAAGAUUAGUCGCUAAAGGCUAUACCCAAAAGGAGGGAAUAGACUAUAAAGAAACCUUUUCUCCUAUGGUAAGGUUUGCUUCUAUACGAUUAAUUUUGGUCAUUAUUGCACAUCUAGACCUUGAAUUGCAUCAGAUGGAUGUAAAUAUUGCAUUUCUCUAGAUAAUGAACUGAGAGGUAGGCAAAUUUGGUUUGGAUCAGUUUGAGACAAAUUAUCAAACCGAUCCAAACUGAUAUCGACCUAAAUUUUUUUUAAACCAAACCAACUAGAUUGGUUUUUUUCUUGGUUUGAGAUUAUUAGCUAAAAGCCCACCUCUUUUAUAUUGUUGUACCUAAAUUAUUUGUUAUUUUUUGUAUCCAUAAUCCAAAUUGAUAUCUCUUUUAUAUUAUUCAUAUCUACAUAACAAUUUAAAGAUACAUCCAUACAAGUUCACAACAGAAUACAUCCUAAUAAAGAAGUUCUCAACUUGUUCAUUCAAAACAAACUCACAAAAUUAAAAUAAACUUGAACAACAUUUGACAAUCAAAAUAUCGUGCAUCUUGUCCUUUAAAACUUAUGGCCCAAUUACUUUUGAUUUGUCAAAAUCUGCAUAAAAUGACAAAAUGAUAGAUUGCUUAACUUAGAAAAUAAUAUAAUUAUACUAUAUGUAAAGCAUAGGUACCUUGCUCCACAGACGUACAUAAUUCCAAAUCACUAAAGUAUGAUGACAAUACUUCUACAUCAAACUUCCUAAUAAUUUUUUCAUCCAUACCAGAUGCUUUAAGCCAUUGUUGACUAUAUAUCAAAGUCUCUACCAUUGUAGGGGUUAAUGAACUUCGAAAUGCAUAGACUACACGACCUCCAGUAUUAAAAACAGGUUCAGAAGCCACAGUAGAUACAGGAAUUGCUAACAUAUCCUUUGCAAUUUGUGACAAAGUCCCAAACCUUGCACUAUUUGCAAUCCACCAACUCAAAACAUCAAACUAAUCAUCAGUUUCAUCCUCACUAGGUUAGAACAAAUACCUUUCUACCUCAUUUUUCAAAUCAAUGGAAUCUUUCUGCACUUUUAACUGCUUAUAUUGAGUCUUUGUAUUAAUAAAUGCAUAGUCCUUGCCACUUUUCCUUCUUAAACCCACAUCAAUUGCCAAAACAUCAUUAGUAGAUUGGCUACCAUCACCAGAAGUAGAUUCUACAAGACAAUAGGUUUUACAUAGCUAUGAACAUAAAUUUAAGUAAAUAUGAAUACAGUUACAAAAAAAAAGAAAAAAGUAACUAUUGUUAUAACUGAAUCUAAUUUGAAAGUUUAAGAAUACACCUUUAAAAGUAGCUUCUUAAUGUUUGAUGUAAUUUCUUUCGCUUUCUCAAGAUUAUGCAAAUUUUCAAAGCAAAAUGACACAUAAUCAAAUUUGUACCUUAGAUAUGAAAUGAAUUAGAGUAAAUAAUUAUCACAAUUGAUUUUAUCAUAAAAAAUAAAAAUUCAAAUGAAAUAACAGAUUUUUACCUUGGAUCAAGUACCACAGCAAUGAUCAAUAGUUGAUGUAUAGUGUCCAUAGAACCCCAAUACUUGUCACACUUUAUUUUCAUUUUUUCUGCCCUUUUACUAAGAAGCACCUCUUUUUUUUUUCAAUGAAUGAAUGCAACUAGGUUUGAAUGGUGCAAAGAUGAUGAAAAUACAAGUUAGACAUGACAAAUAAUAAAGCACUGUAUUCAACUAUACCAUUAUUCACAAAUUUCAAAAACUCGAUAAAUAUUGCAGCAUUUUUCCAAUCUUCAGUUGUGGGUGGCCUGAUAUGUUCUGCUUUCCUCUCAUUGAAAAAACUCAUAUAUGGUCCAUCACAUUCCUCUUCUUUCAGACUUUCAAAAGCUUUCUGAAAGUGUAUAGCUAUGGACAACAUAGUGUAGAUAUAAUUCCAUCUAGUGGGCACAUGAUAUGCUAAAAGCCCUUCAUAUUCAAUUUUCUCUCUCUCAACACAUGAUUUAAAUUUAUAAUGAUAACUCUAUGAAAUGAGAGUUAUCAUGGCACUUUGAGACUUAAAUCAUGAUUACUUAGAGAGUAAAUGACAUGUUUUUAUUGCAUUUUAGUAAUGUUUUGAAUAAACAUUCCAUUUUAGUUUACUUUUAAUAAGUUUUGUUUGAUUCAGAAUAAAUUGUAUGCUUAAAUCAUAUGCAUAAUUGUAAGUGACCGGAAGCUCAAAUUUCAAGAAAGGAAUACGGCUGCAAUAGGCUUGUAAAGAUAAGGAAAGAACGUAAUUAGAGAAGAAUUGAAACAAGUCUGGAACAGUGUAGAUGCUGAAGCCAUUGUUGUAGCACUGUUGUUGUAGCAUCGUUGUUAUAGAUUUUCUGGAGCAUUGACAGAGAAGAUUUUACGCGAGAUACUUUGAAGUUUGCGGUCUGGAGUUUUCUAAAUUAGAAGAUGCACAUUCUAGGCUUCCAGUUGCCCUAAUUUUAAGCUACAAAAUGAGCACACAUGCAAAGAAAAGGGAGCCGUCAUUGGAGAAGAAAAAUAGAUAAACAACACAAGAAAAAACAAAGAUCAAGAGAGAGAAUUGAGGGCUGCAACUAAGGAAUUCGAGAAGAACAUCAAGCGGAUCUCACUCUUAUUUUUUGUUCUCUUGUUUCUAUCUCGUUAUGAUGAAUUGUUUGAUGGCUGAAACUAUUUUACUUCUUGUUUUAUCCCAAAUUAUGAACUAAAUUUAUUUGUGGUUGAAUAAUGAACAAACUUGAUGGUUAAUUGACUAAUAUUCUGUGUUGCUACAUGUUUGCUAUAGCACGUUGUUUUGAUAAUACUUAUUUCAAUUUACUAUUUCAAUUUACUAUUUCGGUUGACCACCCAUUUAGUGAUACUAGUUAAGAAAGAACCUAAAAAAGACUUGUCUUAGUGGAACAUAUGAAAGCAAUACGUGGUUUUAGAUUGGGUUUCUUGAGUUGGGUUUAACUUGAUUUGAAAAGGGUCAUGCUUAAUAUAAAAUUAGUGAUGAACUAGAUAUAUGGAUUCACCUUGUAGUGUAAUUAGAAUCUAAAAUGUGUAAUGUUAUAUACGAUGUUAGCAUAACAAUUGGUCACUGUUAAGUUGCAUUUAGAUAUAAGUUAUCCAACAUGCGACAGCUGACAAUACAUAAGGAUUCUGCCCAGUGCUGUAGCAAAUGCUAUAGCAAUCGAGCCAACAUUAGAAAAAUAGUCAAAACCAUUAAGUGAGUUUAAUCGCUCAACUACUCCAUUCCCCUUGGGAACAUCCUUGUAUUUGCUGUGUUGCUACAUGUUUGCUAUAGCACGUUAUUUUGAUAAUACUUAUUUCAAUUUACUAUUUCGGUUGACCACCUAUUUAGUGAUACUAGUUAAGAAAGAACCUAAAAAAAACUUGUCUUAGUGGAACAUAUCAAAGCAAUACGUGGUUUUAGAUUGGGUUUCUUGAGUUGGGUUUAACUUGAUUUGAAAAGGGUCAUGCUUAAUAUAAAAUUAGUGAUGAACUAGAUAUAUGGAUUCACCUUGUAGGGUAAUUAGAAUCUAAAAUGUGUAAUGUUAUAUAUGAUGUUAGCAUAACAAUUGGUCACUGUUAAGUUGCAUUUAGAUAUAAGCUAUCCAACAUGCGACAGCUGACAAUACAUAAGGAUUCUGCCCAGUGCUGUAGCAAAUGCUAUAGCAAUCGAGCCAACAUUAGAAAAAUAGUUAAAACCAUUAAGUGAGUUUAAUCGCUCAACUACUCCAUUCCCCUUGGGAACAUCCUUGUAUUUGCUGUGUUGCUACAUGUUUGCUAUAGCACGUUGUUUUGAUAAUACUUAUUUCAAUUUACUAUUUCGGUUGACCACCCAUUUAGUGAUACUAGUUAAGAAAUAACCUAAAAAAGACUUGUCUUAGUGGAACAUAUCAAAGCAAUACGUGGUUUUAGAUUGGGUUUCUUGAGUUGGGUUUAACUUGAUUUGAAAAGGGUCAUGCUUAAUAUAAAAUUAGUGAUGAACUAGAUAUAUGGAUUCACCUUGUAGGGUAAUUAGAAUCUAAAAUGUGUAAUGUUAUAUAUGAUGUUAGCAUAACAAUUGGUCACUGUUAAGUUGCAUUUAGAUAUAAGCUAUCCAACAUGCGACAACUGACAAUACAUAAGGAUUCUGCCCAGUGCUGUAGCAAAUGCUAUAGCAAUCGAGCCAACAUUAGAAAAAUAGUCAAAACCAUUAAGUGAGUUUAAUCGCUCAACUACUCCAUUCCCCUUGGGAACAUCCUUGUAUUUGUUGUGUUGCUACAUGUUUGCUAUAGCACGUUGUUUUGAUAAUACUUAUUUCAAUUUACUAUUUCGGUUGACCACCCAUUUAGUGAUACUAGUUAAGAAAGAACCUAAAAAAGACUUGUCUUAGUGGAACAUAUCAAAGCAAUACAUGGUUUUAGAUUGGGUUUCUUGAGUUGGGUUUAACUUGAUUUGAAAAGGGUCAUGCUUAAUAUAAAAUUAGUGAUGAACUAGAUAUAUGGAUUCACCUUGUAGGAUAAUUAGAAUCUAAAAUGUGUAAUGUUAUAUAUGAUGUUAGCAUAACAAUUGGUCACUGUUAAGUUGCAUUUAGAUAUAAGCUAUCCAACAUGCGACAGCUGACAAUACAUAAGGAUUCUGCCCAGUGCUGUAGCAAAUGCUAUAGCAAUCGAGCCAACAUUAGAAAAAUAGUCAAAACCAUUAAGUGAGUUUAAUCGCUCAACUACUCCAUUCCCCUUGGGAACAUCCUUGUAUUUGUUGUGUUGCUACAUGUUUGCUAUAGCACGUUGUUUUGAUAAUACUUAUUUCAAUUUACUAUUUCGGUUGACCACCCAUUUAGUGAUACUAGUUAAGAAAGAACCUAAAAAAGACUUGUCUUAGUGGAACAUAUCAAAACAAUACGUGGUUUUAGAUUGGGUUUCUUGAGUUGGGUUUAACUUGAUUUGAAAAGGGUCAUGCUUAAUAUAAAAUUAGUGAUGAACUAGAUAUAUGGAUUCACCUUGUAGGGUAAUUAGAAUCUAAAAUGUGUAAUGUUAUAUAUGAUGUUAGCAUAACAAUUGGUCACUGUUAAGUUGCAUUUAGAUAUAAGCUAUCCAACAUGCGACAGCUGACAAUACAUAAGGAUUCUGCCCAGUGCUGUAGCAAAUGCUAUAGCAAUCGAGCCAACAUUAGAAAAAUAGUCAAAACCAUUAAGUGAGUUUAAUCGCUCAACUACUCCAUUCCCCUUGGGAACAUCCUUGUAUUUGCUGUGGUAUUUUACUUUAUUGCAUUUUUCUCAUUGCGUUUUUAUUUUUAUUAUUUCAUUAGUUUAAUAAUUUGUUUUAAUUCUUGUUUAUAAUAAAAAUUGCACUAAUAAAAUUGUUGUAGCAAUUCCUAUAACAACCUAUGGAGACAAUCUUGAAUAUUCAUCAUUAUAUUACUUAUUGUGUACACUUGCACAUUGACAUCAAUAGCAUUAGAAAACCUGCAACAUGCAACCUCAAACCAGAAGACCUCACAUAUAUAAUUGCAUUGCAAAUGCUAGUAAUUAAGUCAUGCAUCUCUUUCAGCCGUUCAGUCACAAUUAUAUUAACAAUAUGGGCACAACACCACAAAUGUGAAUAAUCUCCAUCUAAAGUCAUUGCAUCACCCUUCCAAUUUUUCAACUUUUUUUUUCAAAUAAUUGAUAGAAACGUCAUUAGCACUCACAUUAUCAACUAUAACAGUCAUCACUUUUUCUAUACCUCAAUCAAGUUAGCAUUUUUUAAUAAGGUUGCCGAUUAAGUCCCCUUUGUCGCUUGUUAUUUGGAAAAAAAAAUUCAAAAUUUUCAUAUGCAAUUUCCAAUUAUGAUCAACCCAAUGGGUUGUCACAACAUAUAAUUAAAAUUUUUUAUGGAAGUCCAAAUGUUUGUGGUAAUAGAAACUCUAUACUUAUUUGCAAUAAAAAUAUUUUUGAAUGCUGCAUUCUCAACUAAAUACAGUUGAUAUAUAUCUCUAACAAGUGUUCCCCUCGAAGGAGGGCCAAAUCUAGGAUAAAGUUUAUCUCACAAAAGAUGAAACCUAUAAGACUCUACCUUCCUAAAUGAAACCUUAUUAAGAAUAAAAUACAUAACUACAUUCUUCCUACAAUCCUCCUGAUCAAACUUUCCAGCAAUCCCCAACCCAAUACCAUACACAAUAUUCCCAGUGCCACUACCACUUGCCAUAUUAGACUUUUUUUUCUUAUCACGGAAGCGAGCUAAUUUAACUCGAGUCACAUAAUCCAAAGUAGCCCAAUAUUUUUCACAUUGUUCUCUUAAGUGAGUCCACAAAUUAAAAGUCUCAUUAAACUUACUAUCACACUUAUACUAGUUCCCACAAUAUUUGCACUUACAUGUCCUAUUCACUUAAUCUUUGAUUUAAUGAGGCCAAACUUUUGAACCCCUUUCACUGUCAUGAAGACGACCACUCCCUGUUCUAGAUUUCCUACUUUUAGGUUCUAGAAAAUCAUCCAUCAAUAUUUCUCCAUUUUCUAUGAUAUUAUUCACAUUGGAAUUAUCUUCCAUGUUGAGAGCUUCUAUAAUUAAUAAAAAUUAAAAAACAUUAGUUAUGGAAUCAAUUAAUCAAAUAAAUUAUCAUCAAUUAUACCAAAAUCCAUUUUAACUUUUGACUAAAAUAAAAUAAAAUUGUAGCAAGUAAAAUAAAAUCAAAACAUGCCAUUUUGUUCCCAUUUUUAAAAUUAUGACUAUGAGACUUGAGAAUGAGCGAUUGAGAUUGAGAGAGUUGAGAAUGAUAGGAGGCACUGGAGGUUGAGGCAGCUGUGAGUGUUGGACAAUUAGGUUUUUGUGUUUUUGUUUUUAUAAUAAGAAGUAUGCUAUUGUGUAUGAAAGUGUACAUUUCUUCUGUUAAUAAUCCAAUAAUAAAUUGACACAUCAUAUGUCUUAAAGCUUUAUAAAUUUUCUAGAUUGGAUUGGUUUGCCGAAAUCCAAAUCGAGUGAUGUCGGUUUGCAAUCCAAUAAAUCAAAACUAGUUUUUUUACUAAUGAAACCGAUCCAAAUGGUCGGUUUGGAUAGGUUCAGUUAAAAUAUGCCCACUUGUAAUAGAACCUUAAAUUCUAUCAAGCUAUAGUUUCUUAGCUUUAGGAUGGUUAAGGAAGACCAUUGUGUGUACAUUAAGAGAUAUAAAGACGCUUUUACAAUAUUGACUUUGUAUAUGGAUGAUAAAUUAUUGGCAGCAAAUAGUAAAGAGUUUGUCAAAAUUAUUAAAGAUUGGCUACAUUCAAAUUUUGACAAGAAAGAUAUCGGCGAAGCAACUUAUAUCUUAGGGGUCAAAAUUUUUAAGGAUCGUUCAAGGAAAUUUAUGGCUCUGUCACAAGAGUCUUACAUUAAGAAAAUCAUUGAAAGAUUCAAUGUGGCUGAUUGUAAGCACAAGGAUACCCCUAUAGCUAAAGGACAAUCUUUUAGUCUCGAUAUGUGUCCCAAGACUCCUCAAGAAAAAGAAAGAAUGACUAGAGUUCCUUUUGCAAAUGCCAUUGGAAGUCUUAAGUGUGUCAUAAUGUGUAUAAUGCCUGAUAUUAGUUAUGUUGUAGGACUAGUAAGUAGAUACCAGUCUAAUCCUGGUCAGAGGCAUUGGAGUACUGUUAAAAGGAUUUUAGCAUAUCUCAAAUGCACUGCAAAUUAUUGUUUAUGCUAUCAAGGAGGUGGUUUGCGGCUUGUUGGAUAUUCAGAAGCCGACUAGGGUGGUGAUCUGGAUUAGCGCAAAUCGGCUUCAAGAUAUGUAUUCUUGCUAAAUAGAGGAACAAUUACAUGGAGUAGCAAGAAGCAAACAUGCACGACUUUAUCAAUGGUGGAAGCCGAAUAUAUUGCAUGUUCUGCAGUAGUGCAAAAAGUUAUGUGACUUAAGAGAUUUAUAGAGAACUUAGAGAUUAAUAUUAGUAAUGAUAAUCUAGUGACUAUCUAUUGUGACAAUCAAGCUACUAUCCCUUUCUCUAAUGAUGCUAAAUACCAUACCAAAUCGAAACACAUUGAGUUAAAUACAAUUUUGUAAGAGAUAUUUUGGCAAAGAAAGAAGUAGUCAGCCGUACAAUAUAUAUCUACACAGAGCAUGAUAACUGAUCCACUUACCAAAGCUGUAAUAAGGGAUGUAUUCGCCUAUCAUGCUAAAUCAUUAGGGCUACGUAGAUUAUAAAUUACUACUAUUAAGAUGUACUUAUUUGUUAUAAACAUCUUCAUUACAUAAGUUGUUUGAAAAUGUAAUAGUAUCUCUUAUUUCAAUUUAUUCCAUGAAAGACAUAAUUACACAUAUAUAAGAGUAUGUCGUCAGGUCCAGACUAGUAUUUUUACACAAGCGGUCACCUCAAUUGCUUUAGGAGCAAGAUGAGAUGAGACAAGUAGAAUAAUAAAACAAUAUUUUUGUGUGAGAGCCAAAUAAAAAGCAUUAUUCUACAAGUUUUUUUGCCUUGACUAGAAUCAAGAGGUCUCACACGAUUUUCAUUAUAGACUGACUAUGAUAUACCCCACCAUCAUGGAGACUUGAUUGAAGCUAGAUGUGAGAUCUUACUUUUUACGCUAGAAGACAGCGUUCAUUCUAAAAGAGUGACUAGACUAAGAUCUAUAGUCCUGGAAUGGAAAAUUUAUCGUAACACGUGUAUCAUACCACGCGUGCUUGGUAAUCAAAAUGGAAAAUGAAAGAAUCUUCAAUCUUUCUCAUUGUGUAAGUUUCAUAUAACUUUUUAUAAGUCAAUCCUGGUAUCAUCUUCUUCUCUUCUUCGUGAAGAUUAAAAUUAAGAACAUUGAACAAUCCAUAAAAAGGGCAUUUAUACUGUGAUCAGAUAAGGAUUUCCGCUUGCGAUUUCUUCUGACCAUUAACAUGAUCCAAUACUCGAUUACUCCGCUGCUGAAUUCAAUAAGAAAAAUAUUUCUAGAAUUUUCAUUUUUCCUUCAGACCAUGUAAGAAGCAUACGAACAGGAUGAUCCGGAGUCAAAAGGUGAACGAGGUGACGGCUCGUCCGUUAGUACUAUUAAUGUAUAAGGUAAUAUGGGAAUUACUAAUAAUUAAUCGACUAGCUGAUUUGUUAGUUAUGAUUAUCAAUGACGGUCUAUUUCCUGCCCAUAUUUUACCAUGCUGUUGAAUGGUCCCCUUAAAAUAAUCCAGAUCAGUCAUUUGCAUAAAAAUAUAUCAUGAGCGGUUAGGUGGAGGAUGCUGAUUUGUUAGAAAAUAAUUGUUUUCAACUCUUGCGAUUGUCUGCACCCUGCACUCUUGUUCCAAAACCAAUACAAAGCUGUAGCAAUCUUAAGAGGAUUUGUGGAACAAAAGAUGGCCAAGAUUGGAGGUUCUCUGCUUGUUCCUUGUGUUCAAGAGUUGGUCAAGAAUCCUAUGUUAGUUGUCCCUCCUAGAUACAUUUGUCCGGACGAAGAUUCACCACUCAAUUCUGAUCAUACUUUGAUUUCACAGAUACCAGUUAUUGACAUGCAGGGCUUGCUUUCUGAAGAAUCAAUGGAUUCUGAGUUAGCCAAGCUCGACUUCGCUUGCAAAGAAUGGGGUUUUUUCCAGGUAAAAUGCUUUAGCAGAGUUAGAAAGAUUUUUCAUGCUUGUCUGUGAUUUAAGAAUCAUGAAAUCUGCAAAACUCUCAGUCACAAAUUAUCUAUUUUUGAAACCCAGUUUCCAUUGAUUUAGCAUGUCAUGAUUUCAAAUUUCCCAUCUAGUCCUUUUGCUGCUUUCAGUGCUUCUAGGACUGCAGCUUGUGAAAUGUCAAGGAAGUUGUCUCUUGUUUUAUUGUACAAUUUAUGAGGCGAUAUGAGAAGAAAACACUCACCAUUUAUUUCUGAAACCCAGAUUCCAUUGAUAUAUUUGUUUUUGACUUUCUUUAUUACUUUACCUUUCCAUAUAGCCAUAGAUUUGUUAGUAUAAUUUGUAUUAAAAGAUGCCCAUGACAAAGUUCACCUAUUUUGUCUCAAUAGCUUUUGGUAGCUUAUGAGAAAUAUGCUUCUGUCAAUAUGUGAUUAAAGAUAUCGUAAUUGUAUAAGACUCCCGCAGAUUAUUAGCUGUUCUAGAAUAUUCAAAUUUCUCCAAAACUAUGACUAAAAAACACUUGUAAAAAUCAAUCAUUGAUUAGAUUUAUAAACAAAAUAAAAUUGGUGUUUAAUGCAACAGCAAUGUUCUCAGUUGAAAUGUAACAAAUGCUUUUAGCCAUCUUUGAUAGCAAAUCUUGUCUCUAAAUUAGUCAAAUAAGUUGCAAUCUGUCUUCAUAAAACGCCUGGACGAUUGUGAACCUAGUGGCACGAUUAUCAAAUCUUAGCUGCUGUUCAUUCCUGCAUAAUUUCAGCUGGUAAACCAUGGAGUAAGCUCAGCAUUUCUAGAGAAAGUGAAGAAAGAGGUUAAGGGCUUCUUCAAUCUCAGCAUGGAAGAAAAGAAAAAAUAUUGGCAGCAUCCAGGAGAUGUAGAAGGAUUUGGACAAGCCUUUGUUGUAUCUGAGGAACAAAAGCUUGAUUGGGCUGACAUUUUCUCCAUGAUCACUCUUCCAGUUCAUCUGAGGAAGCCACACUUAUUUCCUAAGCUCCCUCCUUCCCUCAGGUUCUCUCUUUUUGUGGUUGAUAUGGAUUUGCAAACAAAAAGAGAAAAUUAAACCUUCUAUGAUUCUAUCUAAUGUUUUACCUUCUUUUUUCUUGUAGAGACACCUUGGAAGUUUACUCGAUGGAGUUAAAAUCUCUGGCCAUGAACCUGAUAUCGAAAAUGGGAAAAGUUUUAAAUAUCAAAGAUGAAGAAUUGAGAGAAUUCUUUGACAAUGGUUUCCAAUCAAUGAGGAUGAACUAUUACCCUCCAUGUCCUCAACCAGAAAAGGUUAUGGGCCUCACCCCUCAUUCUGAUGGCUCUGCUCUUACCAUUCUGCUACAAAUCAAUGAAGUAGAAGGUCUCCAGAUCAAGAACGAUGGAAAAUGGAUUCCUAUCACACCGCUGCCAAAUGCUUUCAUUGUCAACAUCGGAGACACAUUGGAGGUAAUAAUUAUGAUUACUUUCCUUGGCAUUUUUAUGUCCCUUCUCAUGUGCUCUAAUAUUUUUAACAUUGCAGAUUAUGACCAAUGGGACAUACCGUAGCAUUGAACAUCGUGCAAUUGUGAACUCUAUACAAGAAAGACUUUCCAUUGCCACAUUUUACACAAAGAGAUUAGAUGGCGAAAUAUAUCCAGCAUCCAGUUUGAUAUCUGAAAAAACUCCUGCAUUGUUUCGAAGAGUGACAGUUGAAGAAUACUUUAGGAGCCGGUUUGCUCGUGAGCUUAGGGGAAAAUCUCACCUGGAUGACCUGAGAAUUCAACAUGGUCGAGGCUAGUACAAUUAUUUUGGAUAAUUGCAGAUUUGUGCCAGGAAUUUUCUGAUGAUAAUUGUGCUUAUUUUGGAUCAGUUUCUUUCAUUUUUGGAAUAGAAUUUUUGCAGGCUUGUCAUGUUUUUAUCAGAUUUCAAGAACUAUUUCACUUGCUUUCGGAGUUAAAGAUGAUUCAAAUAUGAUAUUAAAUACUUAAGCAUGCCAUUCUAACGCUUGCUUGUCCAAUUACAUCCUUAUCAACAAUAUAUUUUGUUACAAUGUCACUGAAGUUGAAUAGAUAACAACAUGCUUGGGUUAUAUGUUGUCAUUUGGCUUAACCAUCCGUCACAUUAAGCAGAUUGUUGUGAUAAUGUGUUUUACAACCUUCCCCAGUAGCAUGAAUGUAGUUAAAAUAAUUGUAACAAAUUUUGUAUUGCUUGUAGCAACAUUGUUCUCCAUAGCACACAUUGCCUGAGUACAAAAGUUGUAACUUGUUACCAAUAAUAAUAAUAAAAAAUAAUAAUAAUAGUAAUAAUAAUUAUCAAUAACUAAAAAUGAGACAGAUGUUACUUUCAUAAGUGGAACUUGGAUUCACAAGCAAAAUAUGAGGUUUUAAUUGGUUGUUAUCAGAAAAAAAUAUAAAGAUAAUUAAUGCCUAAACAUAAACAGCUAUAAUUGUAUAAAUGACUAAUCGAUUACAAUUCGAAUCCACUAUUUUCUUAAUAGUGCACAGUCAAUUCCAACACAGCACCAGAUUGCAGCGUGUUAGAAAAAUUUUUAGGUAAUCAUAUAUAUGUUUUAAUCAAUUAUGAUAAUAUGUUUACCCAUAUAUAAGAUUUGAAUAGAUAAAAAGUAAUACUCGAGAACCACCAAAGUCCUUUUAACUGCAGACACGCAAUGGUGGAUUACUCGCACAAGUCAAGAGCAAAAUACCAAGUUGUGAAAGAAAAAUAAAAAGGGGAAAAGAAAACAAAACGCAGUAUUGAAAAUACCUUCGCCUUUUGGGUUGAUGACAAGGUGGGAACCACAAAUAAUUAAUUGGCUGAUGGUUUGUCAUCGUUAUCCAUAGAGGAUAGUUUUGACCUGCGAAUAUUUUAUUUUGCAUUCGAAACAUGUGCAAAAAAUUAAAAAUACUUCAUGAAUGGUUAGGUGGAGGAUGCUGAUUAAUUACUUGGAAAAAGAUUCCUUUUUACUUUUGUGAUUGUCAGCACUCAGUCUUGUUCCAAAACCAAUACAAAGCUGCAGCAAUCUUGAAAGGAUUUGAGGAACAAAAGAUGGCCCAGAUUGGAAGUUCUCUCCUUGUGCCUUGUGUUCAAGAGUUGGUCAAGAAUCCGGCGUUAGUUGUCCCCGACAGAUACAUACGUCCAGAUCAAGAUUCACCCCUCAUUUCUGAUGAUAUUUUGAUUUCACAGAUACCAGUUAUUGACAUGCAAAGCUUACUUUCUAAAGAAUCAAUGGAUUCUGAGUUAGCCAAGCUCGACUUCGCAUGCAAAGAAUGGGGUUUUUUCCAGGUAUAAUGCUUUAGCAAAGUUAGAAAAUUGUUUCGCCAGAACAUGCUUGUUUGUGAUCAAGAAUCGAGAAAUAUGCAAAUUGUCAAUCAAAUAGGCAAAAUUAAAAUUCAUAUUUAUUUCUUAAACCCACGUAUCAUUGAUGUUAGCAGAUCAUGGUUUCACUUUCCAGUGUUGUCUGUGGCUUAGGACUGCAGCUUGUGAAAAGAAGAACUUGUCUCUGGUUUAUUUAUUAUUGACUUUCUAUAUUGCUUUACCUUUUCUCCCUCCAGGCAUGGUUUAAUUAGCUAUUUCAUUCCUAAAUGUCAAACAGGCAAUAUGUAUUAAAAAGAUUGUCUUGAGAAAUUUCACCUCCUCUGCCUCAAUAGCUUUUGGUACCUUAUGAGAAAUAUGCUUCUGUCAAAAUUUUAAAAGAUAUACUAUAGUAAAUUGUGUAAGACCUCUUAGAAAAUGUACUCAUUUCUGUAGUCAAUGUUGCAAAUUUACUUUAAUUUAAAGACAAUUAGAAGUAACAUUGAGAUUAUUUGCUGUUGUAUGAUUUUUCAAAUUCUAGGUGUGAACAAACCACAAGAACUUUAUGCUCAUUAUAGUUAUUCUAGAAUAACCAAAAUUUCUCCGAUAGAAUGAGUAGAAAACACCUGUGGAAACUAAUUGUUGGGAAGAUUUAAAUGUAACAAAUGCUUUUAGCCAUCUUUAAUGGUAAAUCUUAUCUCUAAAUCAGUCAGAUAAGUUGCAAUCUGUCUUAAUAAAACACCUGGACUAUUGUGCGCUUAGUGGCACGAUUAUUAAAUCUUUGCUGCAUUUCGUUCCUGUAUUUUUUUCAGCUGGUAAAUCAUGGAAUGAGCACAGCAUUUCUAGAGAAAUUAAAGAAAGAGGUUGAGGGAUUCUUCAAUCUCAGCAUGGAAGAAAAGAAAAAAUAUUGGCAGCGUCCAGGAGAUAUGGAAGGAUUUGGACAAGCCUUUGUUGUAUCGGAGGAACAAAAGCUUGAUUGGGCUGACCUUUUCUCCAUGAUGACUCUUCCAGUUCAUCUGAGGAAACCACAUUUAUUUCCUAAGCUCCCUCCUUCCCUCAGGUUCUCUCUCUCUCUCUCUCUGUGUCAAUGUCAUUUUGAUUUGCAAACAAAUAAAGGAUAGUGCAUCUUCUUUUCCUGUAGAGAGACCUUGGAAGUUUACUCAAUGGAAUUAAAAACCCUAGCCGAGAACCUAAUAUCGAAAAUGGGAGAAGUGUUAAAUAUCAAAGAUGAAGAAAUGAUAGAAUUCUUUGAAAAUGGACUGCAAGGAAUGAGGAUGAAUUAUUACCCUCCAUGUCCUCAGCCCGAGAAGGUUAUGGGCCUGUCGCCGCAUUCUGAUGCAGCUGCACUUACCAUUCUGCUACAACUUAAUGAAGUGGAGGGUCUCCAGGUAAAGAAGGAUGGAAAGUGGAUUCCUGUUACCCCACUCCCGGAUGCUUUCAUUGUCAACAUUGGAGACACAUUGGAGGUAAUAAUUAUAAUAAAUUACCUUAACCUGGCAUUUUUAUGCGCUUGCUUAUGUGCUUUAAUAAUUUUUACAUGGCAGAUUAUAACCAAUGGGACAUACCGCAGCAUUGAGCAUCGUGCAGUUGUAAACUCUGUACAGGAAAGACUUUCCGUUGCCACAGUUUACUCAGUGAGAUAUGAUGGUGAAGUGUAUCCUGCCUCCAGUUUGAUCUCUGAAAAAACUCCUCCUUUGUUUAGAAGAGUGAGAAUUGAAGAAUACUUUAGGAGCCGGUAUGCUCGUGAGCUUAGGGGAAAAUCUCAGUUGGAUUCCCUGAGAAUUCAACAUGGUCAAGGCUAGUAUAAGUUUAUUUUGGAUAACUAAAGAGUUUGGUACAAAAACUCUUAAGGACCUUGCUAUUAAGAUUGGCGUGGAACUGAAAAUAAGAAAUAAGUUCUAUGAAUACUGUGGUAUAACCUGCUAUGCUAGGGUCGUUGUGUAGCUCUAUCAUUUGAGAUACUGAAUAGACCAUGUAAGAAUCUUAAGAAUUGCAGACUUAUGCCUGGAAUCUUCCGAUGAUAUAUGGUGGUGCUUAUAUCAGAUCAGUAUCUUUCUUUCUUGAAAUAGAAUUUUUGCAUACCUGACUUGUUUUUAAUGAGAUUUCAAGGACUAUAUGACUUGGUUUCAAAUUUUUAUGAUACAUACAGAUAAUAUUACCACAGAACCAGUGUAGUUUCUGUAUCAGCCGUUAUAGUUUUCAGUUAAUAGUAACAAGUUUUUGAUUUUUAACAAGAAUGUUGUCCUUCCACGUCUUAAAUAUUCCGUUCCAUAACACACAUUGUGACGAAUACAUAACUUGUUACCAUUGACGAAAAAUUUUGCCAUCAAUAGCUGAAAAUAGAUGUUAGUUACACAAGCUGCAAAGCUAUAACUUUGGAUUUCAUAUUCAGAUUGUCCCUCUCAAAGUUGAACUUGGAACUACGGUUGAUGAUCUGCUAUUAUGCUGAGAAAAAUACAAGAUUUUUUUUUUGGUUGUCAUCAGACAAUGUAAAAGAAAUUAGCAUGGGAUCCAAAUUCUUGAGAGUUUGAUAAGGCAAUGCACUAUAUUUUUUUAUAACUCGCAGCAGACAGCAGCACAACAGCAGACUGCAACUGUCAUAUUCACAAAAUAUCUAUGGGCCAACCCUAGACCCGCAAUGGUGGAUUAGUCUCACACAAGGCCACAGCAAAUAAUGACUUGUAGAAAAUAAUACAUUUUCAACAUUUGCUUUGUCAAUAAAAAUCUGUAGCAUUAUUGUUGAGAGAAUUUGUGCAACAAAAAGAAGGCCAAGUUCGGAGGUUCUCUGCCUGUGCCUUGUGUUCAAGAGUUGGCCAAGAAUCCUAUGUUAGCUAUCCCCCCAGGUACAUACCACCACGCUAAGAUUUAACCACAAUUUCUGAUAAUAAUUUGGAUUCACGGGUAUUGCAGAGCUUGUUUUCUGAAGAGUCAAUGGAUUCUGAGUUGUCCAGGCUCCACUUCGCUAGCAAAGAAUGGGCUUCUUUCCAGGUAAAGUCCUUUGCCAAGUUAUUAUUAUUUUGCUUUUAAAGGAUUUGCUUGGGAUGAGACCUCAUCUACUAAAUACCACCCUUUGUCCCAUAUUGUUACUCGAGCGCAGAUAUCUGCAAAUUGCGAAUUACAUUCACAACCAGCUAAGCUACACCUGCCGUGAGGCACCCAAGUUUGUACUUUUUCAUUUGGACAUGCUUGGUUUGUUAAUAGUAGUCUGGGGUCAAGAAUUAAGAAAUCUGUAUACUCUCAAUCAAAGAGCACAGUCGAUCAAAUUCAGAUUAGAUUAUGUUCCAUUCUUAUAGGUCAAGUAGGCCACAAAUUUGGCCUACUCUGUAUCAAUGCUUUCUUACACUGUAAGUUAGCAAUAAGAAAGCUGUAACAAAAUUUGAGUCUACGUAGUCUUAACCAAGCCGGUUUAAGCACUCUUUUUUUUAAAAAAAAAAACAUUGAGGGAUGUAACUGACCUUGUCCGAUUAUGGACCCAUCUAACUUGCUUUCUUGUAUGGCUGAGAAGAAAAACCUGCAUUCUUGAAAAUUAAAUUGUCUUUAAUAUCUUUCAGAUGUCUAGGCUUGCGGUAGCUUGAGAAGAACUAUAAGCAAAUUUAUGAUGGAGUAUAAUGCAAAUGCGAUUCUAUUAGUUUAUUGAAAUCUAACAAAUACUUUUAUUCAUCGCACUCAGUAAAUUUUGCCUGAAUUAGUCCAAUAAGUUGUACUCUGUCUCAGCAAAAUACCUUGACCAAAAUAAAAAACGUAGUGACACGAUUGUUAAUGUCUUAGCUGUUUUUCUGUUUCUGAAUUGUUUCAGCUGGUAAAUCAUGGAGUGAGCCCUGCAUUUCUAGAGAACGUAAAGAAAGAGAUUCCGGAAUUCUUCAAUCUAAGCAUGAAAAAAAAAAAAUUGGCGGUCUCCAGGAGCUGUGGAAGGAUUUGGACAAGCAUUUGUUGUAUCCGAGGAACAAAAGCUUGAUUGGAAUAACAUUUUCUUCAUGACAACUCUUCCAGUUCAUCUGAGGAAACCCCACUUGUUUCCUAAGCUCCCUCUUUUCCCCCUCAAGUUUCUCUCUCUCUAGGCAGUUAUUUGAUGAUUGCAAAUGUAUUAUGUUCAGAGAAAGAUCCCAAGUCAGUUAUAUUUAGCAAAAUUUGACAACCAAACAUGAUUUUGAAAGAAUACUGCUAAAUAAUAACUUAUUUAACAAUCCACCACAAUCAUGUACUAAACCUUCUAAUUGCGUCUUCUUUUUUCUUGUAGGAAAUUUUGGAAUUUAUUCAGUGGAGUUAAAAAUCUUUGGCCAUGAACCUGGUAUCGAAAAUGGGAAAAGUUUUAAAUAUCAAAGACGAAGAAUUGAGAGAAUACUUUGAAAAUGGUUUCCAAUCAAUGGGGAUGAACUAUUACCCUCCAUGUCCUUAGCCGGAGAAGGUUGUGGGCCUCACAACUCAUUGUGAUGACUCUGCUCUUACCAUUCUGCUGGAAAUCAAUGAAGUAGAAGGCCUCCAGAUCAAGAAGGAUGGAAAGUGGAUUCCUGUUACACCUUUCCCAAAUGCUUUCGUUGUCAACAUUGGAUAUGUGUUGGAGGUAAUUAUUAUGAUAAGUUAUUUUAACUUGACAUUCAUAUGAGCUAGCUAAUGUGUGCUUUCAUUAAUUCAUGUUGCUCCACUUCCUAAUGCUUUCAUUGGAGACACAUUGGAGGUAAUAAUUAUAGUAAAUUACUUAACUUGGCAUUUAUAUGCGCAUGCUCAUGUGCUUUAAUAAUUUUUACAUGGCAGAUUAUAACCAAUGGGACAUACCGUAGCAUUGAGCAUCAUGUAAUUGUAAACUCUGUACAAGGAAGACUUUCCAUUGGCACAGUUUACUCAGUGAGGUAUGAUGGUGAAAUGUACCCUGCGUCCAAUUUGGUCUCUGAAAAUACUCCUUCAUUGUUUAAAAGAGUGAAAGUUGAAGAAUAAUUUCAGGAAUCUGUGUGCUCGUAAGCUUAGGGGAAAAUCUCAUCUGGAUGCCUUGAGAAUUGAACAUGUUCAAGAUUAUUAUAAGUUUAUUUUGGAUAACUAAAGAGUGUAGUACAAAAACCGUGGGGGACCUUGCUAUUACAAUUGUGUGUGGAACUAAAAAUAAGAAAUAAGUGUAAGAACAAUAAAUCCUUUGGUGAAAAUCAUCACCUCAAUUUAGGAACAUGUAUGUUGUAUCACCAAAAAUUAAUAAUAGAAUAUGCGGCAGUGUACCUAAGUUCAUAAUGCACAAUUGCUCUUUAGAGCCGAGUAGUUUGUCUUCCAAAUAAACAUGUUCUCCUAAAGAAUUCUUUAAACUUCUCUAUACUGUCUCUUUAAUGAUGAGAUGUCAAUAGAGAAUAGAACAAUACGUGUGACCUAUGGAUAAUAACUACUUAUAUAUAUAGAUUUUCCUUUUGUUUUUAGGUAUUCUUAUUUCAACCCAUUAUAAAAAUCAAAAUUAGUCUUAAGUCUCUAUACAUUAAAGGCCCACAAUCUAUUAGAUACAUUAAAACCCAAAUUACCGAAAACCUUAAUAGACCAAUUUUAAUUUGGCUUAGAGUUAGACUAUUGGCACCCCUCCAAAAUUCUUCUAAAACCCCUUUUUCAAUAAUGCUAAGCUUAAUGCCAAAAAUACCCUUAUUUCUAAAUAAACACAUUUAAUUUGUGAAUCUUUUAAUUUUUAUUAUUUUCUCGCUCCUCACAAACAAAAUUUUAUGGGUGAUAAGUUUCUUGAUAAAAAUCAAUUAAUAAAAUAAAAUAUCUGUAAGAUUAUAAUGUAAAAAGUUUUAUUAUGAGCCUUAAAAAAAGGUAGAUAAUUUUUUCAAAAUGUGUUUUGUUUAUUAUCAAUAGAUUGUCUUAGUAAUUGAAGAAAAAUUUACAGAGAAUUUGAGAAAAAAAUUACAUGUGUGAGUUUGAUGGCAGAGAAAAUACAAGAGCUUUUUUUUUAAGAGAGAAAAUACAAAAGUUUGAAGUGAGAUAAAAUAGAUGUGAGAUAUAUUAGAGUAUUUGUCCUUAAAUGUAAUUGUAAUAGAAGAGGAAGUUUAAAAGGAUUUUGAAGGGGUGUCAAUAGUCCAACUCUUUGGCUUAAUCUUAUAUGACAAUUCACAUCAUAUAAUUAUUCACAUAUAAGCGCAACAUUGGAUCAAGGAUCCAACCAUACCAGAUUAAAGAUCCAACAACCUUUCACUUGGACUAUAUAUAUAACUUUGUAAUUAUACUUUACAAAAAUAACUAUAUGAGGUCAACUUUACUGUCAUUACCAAAAUGCAUCUAUAGCCAAUUCGGUCCAUCUAUCAUACCAACAUAGGAUCAAAAUGACCUUUAUUACAAAUAUCGUAACUUGACCCAUCAAUGCUCACUAUGCCAGCAUAACUUAAUGACAUAGAUCAUGAUAUGGUGUAGGAUGGAAAUUUUAUGUAAUGUGAUUUCAACAUGCCUAUUUUCAAUUGAUCCACCUUAAACAUUAGUGAGAUCAAAUUAUACAAAAUUAGAGUGUAAAUAAACCAAAAUUUUAUUUCUGUAGAAAAUAGCCUUAAAUAUCCCCAAACCGAAAAAUGUUUAUAUCAUAAAAGCAUUUAAAAGUUACAAACUCCCAUUAAAAAUGAAUAUCAAUAUCCUUUAAUGACAUGACACCCAUAUGAACAAUGUGCUCAUGAAACAUUUUAAAUGACAUUCCCUUAGUAAACGGAUCUGUAAUCAUGGAGUUUGUACCAUUAUACUUUAUAGACAAUUGUCCACUCUGAAUUCCUUAGGAACUUGAUGUCUAUAUACUGUGACAUCGUUGAGCUCUUAUUGUUAUUGGAAUAUAGCACUGCUGACUUAUUGUCACCAAAUAACUUAAGUGGUCUAUCAUAAGGGUGUCAAAAAAGCCUGCCCGGACCGGACCCGGCCCCCGGACCGCAUGCACAUAAAAACCGGACCCAGGUUUGAAAUUCUCAAACCCGGACAUUUCCGGGCCCGGGUCCGGGUUCAACACCAAAAACCCGGAACCCGGACCGGACCCGGUUUUUUAAUAAAUUUUUUUAAAAAAUAUAUAAAUAUAUAAUUAUGAAUUUAUGAUAUGUUGGAUGUUAUUUAAAUUUAUUGUGUGAUUAUUGUGUUGUUGAAUUUAAUUUAUUUAUUUUAUAUAUAGAUUGAAUGAGUUUAAGUUAGAAAUUGGAUGAAUUUAGGUAUUAGAAAGUGGAUUGAAAUAAUUUUAAUUUAUCAUUUGUGCAAAAUUUGCAUUGUUAGUGUGUUAUAUAUUUGUAUUUGACUAUUUGCUUUUUUAAAGUUUGAGAUUGAAUGAGUUUAUUUGAUUAUUUUCUUUUUUUAAAUUUGCAUUGUUAGAGAAAUGAAAGAAAAAAUUGAAGAAAAAAAUUGAAGUUAUCACAUGCGGGUUUAGAAAGCCCGGAUCAAAACCCGGACCCGGAAGGUGCCGGGCUCAACCCCGGACCGCACCCGAAAAAAUUGGGUUUUAACCCGGGUUCGGUCUUGUAUUUCUCUCAUCCAGUCCCGGGCAACACCAAAACCCGGACCGGACCCAAAUUUUGUCAAGCCUAGUCUAUCAAUACUAUUUAAAAUGAGUAAUUCUAUGACGAAAUUUUGUAGCCAUAUUCCUUGAUUGGAUAUUUCGUAACAUGCUGUGAACUCCGCUGCUAUAGUAGAAAAGGCUAUAAGAGACUGUUUAGCACUCUUUCAGGAAACAACACCCCUAGCCAGUAGCUAGAUGUAACCAAAAGUAGAUUUCAUAUUAUCUUGGGAUCUAACAAAAUCAGAGUUAGCAUAAUGAUCUCAAGCUGAUCUAACUUUCGAUGUAGUCUUUUGUUCUCUGUAAGUAUCGCAAGACCCGUUUGGCUGUUUCCCAAUAGUUUACCCCUGGAUUACUUAAAUAUCUAUCCAACAUUCCAGUAAUGUAUGCAAUAUUCAGUUGCGUACAAACCUAAACAUACAUCAGACUUUCUAUUACUGAUGUAUAAGGAAUCUUCUACAUUUUUUAUUCCUUAAAAUCAUCAUUAGGGCACUAAUUGUGUAACAUCCAUUAUUUUUGUUUUAUUUAUUUAUUUUUUAUUAUUUUACUACUACUACUACUACUACUACUACUACUACUACUACUACUACUACUAUUAUUAUUAUUAUUAUAUCUAUUUUAGAGAAUAUAGUAUUUUAGGCUAAUGAUUUUAAGCGUGUUUUAAUUUUUCUUUAUUUAUUUGAUUUACCAAUUUAGUAAAUACCUUAUUAAAAAAGGAAAUAAAUUCCUAAAUAGGUAAGGGUGUUAAAAGGCUUGGCUUUAUAAAAGCUUCUCUUGCGUUGUUUUAUUUCUCAAAAUCCUAGAGGCUGAAUACAACAACACACACAAGAGUAAACCUUUUUUUUUUAAGAAGAGAAGUAGAUUUUGAUUGGUUUUUUUCUUUUCCAUAAAGAAAUUCUUGAGUUUUGAAUUUGUUUUGAAGGAUUUAGCCUUCUGGUUUUAUUUGUGAUUUUAUGUGAUUGAUUGAAUGAUUUUGUGUGUAUUACAUUGAUAAAAUUGUGAAAGCAUGAUCAUCUAUUGAUUUAUGUUGUUAUUGAGUGAAAGUGGUGCUAUUAUUUUAUCUUGAAAACAGUGAACAACAUAGAUUCAAUGUUUUAUGACUGCUGUUUUCAUUAAGUCUCAUGCAUAAAAUUUUAUAAUUUAUUAAACUAGACAUCUUUAUCUUUCUAUUUAUAUGUUUAUCGUUCAAAACUCAUUGUAUAUUAAUUUUUUUGAUUUUUCAAAAUUGGAACACUAGUGUUGGAAAAUUCCAAUUUUCAGCAGCAGUUCUCGUUACUAUAAUUUAUUUGGUAACUCAAACGAUUUCUGAAAAUUCUAGGAACGUUUUUCAUUUUACACAUAUAUGUCUAGUUUCUGUAUACUUAAAUUCCUAAUUUUUGGCUUUAUAUAAAAAUAAUUAAAAAUCAUAGAGCUAGGCUACCGUAAUAUUGGAAAUUGUUUUCUAGAAUUGCGAGGGUUGAUAUUGAAGCGAGUUUGGGUUACUUUUUCAUAGUGAAUGCUAGGGGUGGGCAAAAUACCCGACCCGAUCCGACCCGAAAAAAUUCGGGUUCGGGUCGGUUCGGGUUGUUAUUGAAACCCGAACGGGUGAAAAAUUGCAAACCCGAUCGGGUUGUGAUUGGGUCGGGUAAAACCCGAUCCGAUCCGAAUACCCGAUCGGGUCGCACAAAAAAAAAAAAUCACUAAACCUAUAAACACAUCACACAUGCACACACCAGACACCAGACACCACACACACGGCCAUGCAAAGUUACAACUCAAAAAGUCACAAAAACAAGUGGCUAAAAAAAUAUUGACAAAUAAAAAACAAAAUAUAAUUAUAACCCACGCACACAGGCCACAGCCACACACAAACAUUGAAACAUAUCUUCGCUGCCUUCACAGCCCUCAUCCCCACAGCCCUCAUCCUUACACUCACAACUUCACACACACACACAAAUAUCGCAAAAGCCAAAAGCAAAGCGGCAGCUAGCAGCCAACGCAGAGAAGAGAACGGAGGAAGCGCAGCCAGUGCAUGCAGCCACCUAACCCGUGACUGGAUCUACUGCUCCGCGACAUCCGUAGCUACCAGAUCUGCUGUUGCCGGAUAUCUACAGGAUCUGUUGCUGCUGGAUCCGCUGCGCUGCUAUCGGAUCUGCUGUUGCAGCCUCCACCAUCACCGAGUUCCACCGCGAAGGUGCGAACCGGCAACUCGAAUUCUUUUCUUUUUUUGAUGUUUUGAUGGGAUAUAAUAAUAUAUUAUAUAUUAUCUGUUAAUUGCUAAGUAUAUGUAUUGUUAAAUGUUAAUAAUAAAAUGAGGGAAAUUCUUGUAUGGAAAGUUUUGGAGUUUAAUUUAUUAAGUCUGUGGAAGCUUAAAUAAUAAGUAUGAAUUGAUUUCUUUUUUUUUGUUUUGUUUUUAAUGAAUAGAUUAAGCAAAUUAAGCAUUAAAAUUAAAUAUUUUGCAUUUGAUCUGUGCAAUGUUUCACCCGAUCCGAAUUAACCCGAAUUUAACCCAAUUAUUUGACCCGAUCCGAUCCGAUCCGAAUAUAUUCGGAUCGGGUUACAACUUCGGGUUGAGUUCGGAUGAAUUCUUUUCUAACCCGAUCAACCCGAAAUCCAAUCGGGUUGAUCCGAACCCGACCCGAACCCAAAAAUGCCCACCCCUAGUGAAUGCCUUAUAAAUUUAACUUUUAUAUUCAAUGCAAACGUGUUCACAAUAGUUUUUUGUAAUAUUUUUGAUUUUUCUGACAUAAUUAUAGCUUGUUAGAAAUUAACUCUUACAAGACGAUCGAGUGUAGUUUAGUGAAUUGAUGUGCUUUAGUAAGAGUAAAUGGUUUAAGGAUAUUUUGGCUUUCUUAUCAACGUCAAAAUUGAAAAAAAAAAUUGAUAAGAAUCUUAUCUUGAUAAUUAUAGGCCAAGAACGAGCUCGUGUGAUUGGGGUUAUUGUUGAUUGCUUCGUAUUGAGUUAAGUGAACUCAUGCAUAAUGUUUAUUAUAGUUAUAUAUGUAAAUAUCUAGAAAAGAAUAAUGUUAUUCAUAUAAAUUGACAUUUUAUGGUUUUGAAGUUAUUUUACUCUUAUAUUUUAUGAUAAUAAAUAAUGUUUUGAUUAAAACUUUAUUUAAAAUAUUUUCUUAAACUAUUUAAAAAAUAACUUUAAAAUAAUUGUCUUUCCAUAAAUUGGUCUUCCUUAAAAAUAUUUGUUAAGCUUGCCAAUUCAAUGUCUUAUAAGAGCAUUUUAUCAUAAUAUUACUGAAUGAUUGAUAUUGAAAGACUGAAAUUGUAUUUAAGAUUUUGGCUCAUUAACCGUAGUUAUUGUUGCUGAUAUAACCGAACAUUUAACUAUAUUGUGCGCACCUAUUGAUGAUUAUAGUUGGGUAACGUACCCUAAUUGAACUACUAACCGAGUCAUCGGGGUUAUAGGUGACUUACUAAACUAAUACCGGGUCAUUAGGGUUAUAGGUGACUUAUUGAACCACUGGCCGGGUCACCGGAAGUACAGGCGACACUAUAUGACAUGAGCAAUUGAAUAAAUGAAUGGUUAUAUUGAUAAAUGAUUUCCGAAAUGAUUAUUUAUUAAAAAUGGUUAUUACAUUAUGAUUUAACUAAUUAUAAGUUUUAAUGUACACUUAUGGUACUUUAUAAUGAUUGUUUUGUAUUUUAUCGUUAUUAGUAACCUUAUGCAUGAGUUAGUGUUGAGUGUUAGAAAAUGCAUAUUUAUAAAGGAGAAAAUUGUCAUUUUACAUUUCAUGUCUUACUAACAGCCCUUACUUUUAUGUAUUUAAGCUUCUUGUAAUUUAAUUAUGUGUGUUUUAUUUUAAUUAAGUAUUUUAUGUAUUUUAGGGGCAUCAUGGUCAUUUCACAAUAAACGAGAGAUCAGACGGCAAAAUGGACAUCACUUUUGAACUCAGGACGGUUGAAAAUCUUAGGAGGAGCAUAAAAGGAAAAAUGACACUGUUCACAUGUACGGUACUGUCUAUGUUACUAUUCACGACACUGUUCACAUAGACGGAUCGAUGAUGUGGCAUUGACCGAUGAUGUGGCAUUGACUGAUGAGGUGUCACGAUCCUGUUGGACUAAAAUUCUUAUGCACUGUUGAUUGAUGACGUGGCAGCAUAUCAGUGGACCAAAAAUCUCGCGUACGGUACAUGCAUUAUACAGGAUUAUUUUCAACCAAACUGAGUCACUGUUCAACUCGGGGCAAACCGUGUUACUGUUCAUCCAAGUGGUCAAACCGCAUACUGUUGACUGAUAACGUGGCGCAAUCCUGAGCGUCCAAACUGUUUUUAAUCCGAUGGCCACGAUUUACUUAAUGUAUCUACAAAAAGGGGGCCUCCCCUCUAAUUUGAUACCUCUGAAUCCAUUUUUUGGAUCCAUUUUCUAUAAUUCCUUCUCCAUCUUGUAUUUUCUACGUAUUUUAAUAAAUUUCUAUUUUGCCCCUAGUUCAAUUAUGAGUAACUAAUUUUCUUUCAAGCUUGGGUUGAAGGUGAAGUCUCAACAUGUGUCAUGGGCUUUAUUUGGUAAAUUUAUUUUCUCUUCCCCUCUAGUUUUUGUGGAUGUUUUGACUUCUCGUCGAUAAAUAAUAAUAAUAUUGUUUAGUACCGCCUUGGUUUCACCGGCUCCCUAAUACAAAGUUAUUAUUAUUUGGCACGAUAAGCCCUUAGCACCAUAUUGAUUAGAGCGUAGUUCAUGAGGUGUGAAUUCCCCCCUCAUGAUUUAAUUGGUAUUAAUAAGGAAUAUUUAGCCCAUGGUGCAUUUGAUAUGAAUUCAAAUACCCAAGUACGUCAAUUUAAUAGAUUUUCACUUUAAUUUCUUCUCGCCAUUUCAAUUCCAAUUUUUAGGAUAAUUUAAAUCACUUCCACCACAAAUCCAACCACCUCAUACAAAAUUAAUUCUAUAUAUAAUUAAAAUCCACCUCCUCGUGAGAUCGACACUCGUCACUAUUAGUCUAUUAUACAAUAGAUUCGUAAGCUUGCGAGUUCAAUAAAAUUUGCACAACAAGUUUUUGGCGCCGUUACUGGGGAGGUAAGUUAUUUUAAUUUGUAGAAUUAAUUUUUGUCAAUAAUUUCUUUUAUUUGUUUUCUUUUUUUUUCUUAUUAAAAAAAAGGGAAAAAAGAGAGUGAAUUUGCAUUGAGAGAUUAGUAUUUCUUUUCUUUUUCUCUUCUUUAAAAUUCUGUAAUUUAAUUUUCAAGUUAUUUUUUUCUUCUUUGUAAUUUUUGUUUAUCUUACUAAUUUUUUUAAGUUAAUUUAUUUCACGUAUUUUUUUGUGUGUAUUUUUAUAGUAAGGUUGUAAUAGCGCGAUAAGGUUAGUAUCGUAAUUUCUCCCUCUUCUUUAUUUUUAUUUGUUUUGUUCCCAUCUUUAUUUUUAUUUUAUUUGUUUUACAUGCAUAGUCGAAGAUCAUUAUUACCUAAUCUUAAACCUAUAGACCUGGAACUAGAAAAAAUACUUCGCACACACAAGCACGUUAAAAAUAAAUUUGGAAUGGAUUUACAAGUACCACAAGAGAGGCCAUUUAAGGACUAUUUUAGUCCUUUAGCUAAUUUGAGCACAUCAUGUAUAAGAUACUCAAAUGUAGCUGCUACGAGUUUUGAACUAAGACCUAGUCUGCUAAAUUGUCUCCCAACAUUCUAUGGCCUAGAAAAUGAGGACCUUUAUAAUUAUUUGAAUGAUUUUCAUACUAUUUGUCAAACAUUUAAAUAUGAGAAUUUUUCAUAUGAUGAUGUAAAACUUAGACUAAUCCCAUUUUCUUUAAAGGAUAGAGCUCGUUCAUGGUUUAAUAUAUUGCCUGCUAAUACCAUUUCAUCAUGGGAACAAAUGGUAACGAAAUUUUUAAAUAAAUAUUUCCCAGUGCAUAAAACUAAUGCUAUUCGCAGGGAAAUUUCAAAGUUUACCCAUAGAGAAGAUGAGCAGUUUUUCGAAACAUGGCAGUAAUUUAAUGGGCUACUCUUGAAGUGUCCACAUCAUGGGUACGAGAAAUGACACCAAUGCCAAUACUUUUUGGAGGGAUUGUUGCUGAAUGUGUAAGAAUGACUAAUGGCAACAAGUGGAGGAGAGCUAAUGUCAAAAAGUGCAUCAGAGAUUUGGGAAUUCUUCUAGCGACAAGUGGAUAAUUCCCAACAACGGAGUCGAUCACUCAGGAAUACUAGAAGAAUUAAGGGAGUGAAUGAGGUUCACAUUGACGAGUCAACUUCAGGAAUCAAAGAAGUCAAGGAGAUGGUUGAAGGUAUCGCUCGACAAAUAGCAUCAUUAUCGACUGCUAAAUCAACAGAGCCACAUGACCAUGACUCAUACUCAGAUCAAGCCAAUACCAUAGGUGUAAUGAGAAGCCAUCAAAUUACAACCCAUACUCCAACACAUAUAACCCAGGAUGGAGAGACCACCCCAAUUUUUUAUGGUCUCAAGGAUUCCAACAGAAUGAAGCAGCAGCUCCAGCUCCACCAAUGCAACGAAUUCCUCAAGUUCCUCAAGCCUCUCAGCCACCAUUUAGACCAUACAAUCAGAACCAGAACUACUCUCAACCCAGACCAUGGGAGGAUGCAUUCCAGAAUUUCAAGAAUGUUACUCACUCUACGAUUGAGCAACAGAACCGCACCAUUGAUAGACUACGAAAUGAGUUGAGAGCAGGUUUCAACUCACAAGCCCAAUCAGUUUCAAGCCUUGAGAAGAUGGUGGGACAACUUGUUUCUUCAGUUCAGACCUUGGCAAUGACCGUUGAGAAAGGUAAAUUUCCAAGUCAACCAGUGCCUAAUCCUAAAGGAGUACAUGAUGCAAGUACUAGUUCACCACAGCAGCAUGGAGAGGUAAAAGUUGUCAUGACUUUGUGAAAAGAAAAAGAAGUCGACAACAAAGUGGAGAUGUAGGUGAUAAAAGAAAAUCAAAUUGUACCUGUAAAUGUUGAGGACUCAUCACCGGAGGAGAAAGAAGAAACGAACCUACGAGAAUAUGUUCCUAAAUCUCCAUUUCCUCAGAGGUUAGUAAAAGGAAAAAAGGAAAAAUUCACAGGUGAGAUUCUUGAAAUCUUCAAACAGGUAAGUGUUAACAUCCCUUUGUUUGACGCUAUAAAACAAGUUCCAUCUUAUGCUAAGUUUCUUAAAGACCUUUGUAUUAAAAAGAGAAACAUUCAUGUUCAAAAGAAGGCAUUUUUGACAGAAAACGUUAGUUCUAUACUCCAACAUAAAAUUCCUCUAAAAUGCAAAGACCCAGGCUCCCCCACUAUCUCAUGUAGUAUAGGGAACCACACAAUUGAAAAUGCUUUGUUGGAUUUAGGAGCUAAUGUAAAUCUGUUGCCUUAUUCAGUUUUCGUGAAACUUGGAUUGAGAGAAUUACACCCAACUCCAGUGGGGUUGCAGCUUGCAGAUCGGUCCACGAAAAUACCUCGUGGCAUUAUGGAAGACGUGCUUAUCCAGGUAGACAAGUUUUAUUUUUCUGUUGAUUUCAUUGUAAUUGACACUCAACCAAUUCAGGAUUCAAGGAAGCACAUCCUCAUUAUUCUAGGCCGACCUUUCUUGGCAACUGCAAAUGCUCACAUUCAAUGCAGGACUAGAAAUAUGCAGUUGUCCUUCGGCAACAUGACUAUGGAGCUGAACAUCUUCAACAUUGCCAAAUAACCUCACAAUGCAGAUGAUAAAAUUGUUGAUGCGGAUUUAAUAGAAACAUUAGUUGAUAAUACCUUUGUUUCAAACCUUAGUGAUGACCCUUUACAAACAUGUUUAACUCAUUUUGGUUUGGAUUUUGAUAUUGACAGAUCAGUCGAUGAGGUCAACGAAUCACCGUUUAAUUCCAGAAACGAGAUUAUGUGUCUGUCCGUUUACCCUUUCACCGUUUGCCACAAUCGGUGAACCGUUUUUCAACAGAGAGUCCUCUAACAGUUACUCCUUAGCCGUUAAGCGCUUAGGCUUUCACCGUUUCCCUUUCUUCAGCCUCUGGAAGUUACCCUUUAACCGUUUUCGCGAAGUCUAAAAUCUGUUCAAAGGUUUUCUUCUCCUUCUCCAGUUACCCUUUCACCGUUUCCUCCAUUGUUGCGCAGCCGAAGGUUUCUUUGUCCUCAAAUCCUCAUUUUUUCUUGCUUUCCUUGCCAAAUCAAACCUUCAAAAUUAUUUCUUAUCACCUUUAGAACAAUUCUACCGAUUCAAAACUUCAAAUCGAGCCCAAAAUUAAAAAAUCCCAAAUCUAAACCCUAACUGUCGCGGGUCGGGUUUCUUCAUUCUUAAUCCGAUUUCCACAUUUCUUCAACCAAAUUGAACAUCCUACUCACAUCCUCUACUCUUCUUUAAACCUUUUAUCGAUUUACUUUCGUCCCAUUACGUGUUUCCAUGGCUGAACCCUCUCGGAGAAAUCCCAGGCGUAAAUCUGUGCCCCCAAUGAAUCCCAUACCACCUCGGGAGGUCUCUGAGUUUUCAAGGAUUCACUUCCCCACACCUGCCUUGGCUAAGCGGUUCGAAGAUCGCUUUGAUGGUCGAAAGGUACUUGAUCCUUUUUUUGUUGAUAUUGAUAAUUUCCGCAACUUAGUUGUAUGUGGUAGAAGCAUUAGGGAUAUGCUUCAGCCUUGGGAGGCUGCCAUUGAUUUUGAUGACCGAGUUUAUCCAAACUUAGUGCGAGUCUUUUAUUCGAACAUGGAAAUCUCCGACACUCGCCUAAAUAGGAUAGUUACUCAUGUCGGCCGUGUGCCAAUAGAGUUUGAUGAUGCGGACCUAGCUGACCUUCUUGGUAUCUCUUGUGAGGGGCUUGAUAUUUACACCUCUAGGAAAGCCCUCUCCUUUGAUAGUUUUUCUCAUACUCAUGGCGUCCGUAAUAUAUGUCGUCGUCAAGACUUAUCGGAUGAGAUUUGUUUGCUUCCGUUUCGGUCUCAACUUUUACCUCUCCAAGUUCGUAUUCUUCACACUAUUUUACAGCACAUAGUGACUCCUAGGAAGGGUCACUCGGAUGAGGUUACGAGGUUGGACGUUCCCUAUUAGAUAGCCUUCUUACAGACCGUCCCAUUAACCUCGGGUAUAUUAUUGUGCGACAUAUGUUGAGUACUCCAGCGAUCAACCAUCGCUUGCUUCCUUAUGGCAGUAUCAUCACUAAAAUACUGCGACGCUUUGAGGUGCCACUUCUUGAUAUUGGACAUAUGGAGACUCGACGGAUUGGUUCCGAGGCCAUGACCAGUAUCGGAUUCUCUAGAAAGAAUGGAGUGUGGAUAAAGACAAGCAACUCCAAAAACCGGGAUACCUUGAUUGCUCCAGAGGACGAUCGGAUGCUCAAUGAUGUCUAUUCUCCCGAUCAGCUUCUUGACUUUAGAUUAGGAGCUCAUCCUCAUCCUCCGCGUCGCCAUUUUUUCCCUCGGCCUCCAGCUGACUCAGACUUUGAGGAGCGUGCGAUGGAUGCUGAUAUUCCCUCCUCUUCCGAGCCGCCUCCUGCUCCUGAGCCUUAUGCUGUUCCCGAGCAGCCAUCUGCCUCUAUGCCGCCUCCAGCUCCAGUUCAGCCCCUUGCUUCAGAUGCAGUGCAGCAGCUGAUUACUGAUGUUCAGCGGAUUUCGGAGCGACAGCAGCUGAUUCUUGAUCGGUUGGACAUCAUUUCCCGUGAUCACCAGCAGCUCCGCUCUGACUUUCAGAUUUUCCAGCAGCAGAGCAUUGACCAGUAGCUCAAGCUUAUCGCCGGACAGCGCACUCUUCUCAGCUAUUUCGGCUAUGAUCCGGGGAGCACAUCUUCUCCGCCUCCAUAGUUUCUGAGUUCUGUUUUCGCACAUACAUUUUUCCAUUUUGGUUGUUAGCUUUUUCAUACUUCGUAUAUGGAUUUUGAUGCAUAUGUGUGUGAUGUUCUUGAUGAUUAGAUGAUUGAUGCUUUGUGAUUGAAUAAUUGUUGGUAUGUUUGUGGAUAUUGAAGUGUUCUUUUGUUUUGAUCAUGGAGUUGUUGGCUUGUUGAAAGAAGAAGUUGGUGUCAAUCUAUUUUUUGAAGUGUUCUAUCUCAUUUUGUAUAAGUGGUUUUGAUCAUUUUUAAGGGGAAACUCUGCCAAAAUUUUCGCUCGCCAAAGCCGGGCAACUUCUUUAAUGGAUUUGUGUAUUUCUUAUUUCUUCUUUUCUUUUUGAUGAUGAAGGGGGAGAUAAUUAUGGUUUUUAAGAUGGUUUUUAAAUGGGGAGAUAUUAUUUUAAGAUGGAUUUAAAAUGGGGAGAUUUAAAGAAAAAAUCCUUUUAUUCAUAUUUCUCAAUUUGUCCAUACAUGUAGGGGGAGCACAUAUUAAGGGGGAGCUAAACAUUGAAUGAAAUUUGUCAUCAUAAAAAAUGGGGAGAUUGUUAACAUAAAUAUGUUAAUAAUAUUGAUUUUGAUGAUAACAAAUUUUAUAUGGUUUUUGACAAAAAUAUUGGAGAUAUUUCUUAAUAAACGAAAGCCCUUUUAUUCAUUGCCUUAUUUUUUCAUAAAAGAUGGACUUUCAAAUUAGAAAGAGAUUCUCUACAAAAAAAAAAACUCGUUUAAAAUUGCAAUUCUGGUUAUAAACGGUUAACCAUUUUAAACGAUUAAAGGCAGAGAGCAACAUAUUUCCUAAACCUUUAACCGUUUAUGAAAAACGGAAAACACAAAAGAUGGGAAGGUUACUGGAACUUAACGGUGAACCGUUUAUUUUAAACGGUUAACCGAUUAACACCAGAGAGCGACAUAAUGCCUAAAGCUCUAACCGUUUAUGAAAAAUGGAAAUCACCAAGAAUGGAAAGGCUACUGGAACUUAACGGUGAACCGUUUAUUUUAAACGGGUAACCGAUAAUGUCCAGAAUUGAAGGUUGUCCUCCUCUGGCACUGAUUAACGAAAAAUGAUAAGGCUAAAUUAUUUUGCAGGUUACUGGAGACAAACGGCGAACUGUUUAUUUCAAACGGUUAACCGAUAAUAUCCAGAAACGUUACUUCACGCAAGUUCUUAACCGUUUAGCGUAAACGGAUAACAAAUGCUCAUCUUGCAGGUCUCUGGUAGUUAACGGCUAAAGGUUAAUUACAAACGGCAAACCGUUUAUUUGAAAUCUAGCCCAACGGUAACUUUGACCAACCGAAACGGUUAACCGUUUAGGGUUAACGGCGAACCAUUUUCUGUCCGACAGUUUGUAACGGCUAGAUUUUCAGCUCCAGAUAUAAAUAAGCUCAUUCAAAUUCAAAGAAGGUUGAUCACAACACGACCAUUUUGAGCUAAUAUUCGAGAAUGCAAUCUUCAUAGAGCUUAGAACACAUUAUUGCUUCAUCUAUUCACAUAUUAAGCAUCAUUGUGUAAUCUUAUAUAUUGUGAGAGGUAAAACAGUUUGUAAUCUUUUACUUUGAGUGAUUGUAAGUGUUGGGAUACACUUGGGUUAAGAGAUUGGGGAUAAUCUCUUGUUGUAAAGGUCCAUUGACACCUUGGAAGUCAAGUGUAAGCAUUUGAAGCCUUGGAGGCUUGCUUAGUGGAAUCCUCAAGCCCGGAAAGCUUGGAGGCGUGGACGUAGGCGAGGUUGGCCGAACCACGUAAAAAUCUCGGUGUUUGAAUCCCUCUUCCCUUAUCUUUUUAUAUUGUGAUCAUCUUAAUUGUUAUUGCUUUGAAUUUGAUUUAUAAUUGCAUUAAGAUUUUCUUUAAUAAAUUGAAUAAUUUUUUAGAAUCCCAAUUCACCCCCCCUCUUGGGUUGCAUACUUGUAUUUCAUAUUUUCCACAUAUACCGGUAUAGUCUCUGACUUUUCUUUUACACUGCUAUCAUCUUCAUCUCUCGUUUGCAGUUGAUCUUCUAUAAAGAUAACAUCUCUGCUGAUGAUGAUCUUGUGGGCAGUGGGGUCCCACAGACGAUACCCUUUUACUCCAUCAGCAUAUCCCAAGAAGAUACAUCUUCUAGAUUUUGGAUCCAGUUUUGUUCUUUCUUGGGCAUUGUACAUCACGUACACAGGACAUCCAAAUGCAUGUAGGUAGGAAUAAUCAGCUGGCUUUCCAGUCCACAUCUCCAUCGCUGUCUUCAGCCCAAUAGCUGUAGAUGGCGACCGAUUUACUAUAUAACAAACAGUUUUGGCUGCUUCUGCCCAAAAUGAAUUGGGUAGACCAGCAGUCCUCAACAUAGCUCUUAUUCUUUCUGUAAGAGUUCUGUUCAUCCGCUCCGCCACUCCGUUUUGUUGAGGAGUGUAUGCUACAGUGAACUGUCUCUGAAUACAUUCUUGCUUACAGAAAGCAAGAAACUCGCCGUCUGUAUACUCUCCACCAUUAUCCGUCCUCAAUUACUUGAUCUUUUUACCAGAUUCAAGUUCCACCCGCGCUUUGUAUUCUUUAAACACUGGAAAUACAUUUGACUUUUUUUUAAUUGGAUACACCCAACAUCUUCUGGAAUAAUCAUCAAUGAAAGUCACCAUGUACUUUGCACCUCCCAUGGAUAUAUCCGGUGAUUCCCAAACAUCAGAAUGAAUCAAGUUUAGAAUGCAUUUACUUCUAGCAAUAGAUCUACUAAAUUUUAAUUUAUGCUGCUUACUUGUAACACAAUGCUCGCAAAAUGGUAAACUUACCGAUUUGAGCCCCGGAAGCAAUUUUCGCUCAGAGAGAAUCUUCAAGCCUUGUUCUGACAUGUGGCCAAGUUUGAGAUGCCACAUCAUCGUUGACUCUUCUCCAUUUGAUGCGACACACGCAUCAGCCUCCUGUAGUGUUUCUCCUUUAAGCAUGAAUAGAUUAGCACUGAUCUUUUCUGCAUUCAUCAAUACAAGCGCGCCUUUAACGAUCUUCAUAAUUCCAUUCUCCACAUGAGUUUUGUACCCAUGACUAUCCAUUUGUCCCAAAGACAAAAGAUUUUUCUUCAGGCCGUUGACAUGGCGUACCUCCCCAAUUGUGCGAAUUGUACCAUCAAACAUUUUUAUUUUGAUAGUACCAAUACCAGCGAUCUCCAAGGCAUGAUCAUUACCUAUAUAUACAGAUCCUCCUGAGAUAGGUUCAUAUGUGUGGAACCAUUCUCUCCGAGAGGUCAUGUGCCAGGUAGCUCCUGAGUCUAUAAGCCAGACAUCAGAUAGUCGUUUUCUGCCUUUUGAAACAAUUGUUGCCUCGCUGUAAAGAAUUUCGCCAUCAUCCGAGGUACUUGCUAUACACCCUUGAGCAUUUGAUGACUCAGGUUUUUUGCCCUCUUUUCUCUUCUGGUUACUCCAACACUCUUUCUUGACGUGCCCUUUCUUGCCACAGUUGUAGCAUUUAACAUUCUUCUUACUUCUGGAUUUUGAUCUACCAUGAUUUUGACUCCCACUAGGGCCACGUUCCGUUGAUCUCCCUCUCGUCACCGAUAGCGCCUCCGUUUGCUGUGAACUUACUUGUCUGUUUUCCUUAUUUUUUCGCCUGCUCUCCUCAUUUAAUACGGAGGCUGCAACAUCGUCAAAAACUAGACUGUCCACUGGAUUAUUGUUCGUCAGGUUGAUGAUGAGUUGAUCAUACGAAUCUGGUAGACUUUGAAGUAGAAGCUCUGCACGUUCAUUUUCCUCUAUAUUAUGACCCAACGUUGUGAGUUGUGAAAAUAGAGUCUUCAAGGUGUUGAUGUGGUCGGUCACCAUUGUAGAUUCCGCCAUUCGAAGAGUAUAAAGUUUCCUCUUCAAGAAAAUUUUGUUGUGUAGUGACUUGGCCUCGUACAAUUUUGUGAGAGUAUCCCAAAUUUCCUUCGUUGUGUUUUUCUCUGCCACACUGGAUAAUACUCCGUCUGCAAGUGCCAAGUGUAGAUCAGAAAUGGCGUUGCCGUCUACCUCGUUCCACUUGUCAUCAGUUAUCUCCAUGGGCCUUUCUCCAAUUGCUGCCAAGCAAUUAUUUUUCCUCAAUACAGCUUUCAUCUUCAUUUUCAACAAUGAAAAAUUAUUUCCGUUAAACUUCUCAAUUUCAUACUUUGCCACCAUUUUGUUGAUAAAUACCGCACACAAGCUAGUGUACCACCUUGAAUAGUUGUGAGUAUGUGUGAGAAUGCACACCAGGAAAGUUCCCAGGAAAGACUGGAGGGGUCACAAUGGUCCCACUUAAAACCCAGACUCAUUAAGCUCUUAUCGCCUUUGUGAUAGAACUUUCCUAGACAUGUACAAAACCACACAGUUGCUAUUACUCACACCACUAUUCUCUGCUUUGCAUCACAAAAUUCUUGGAUCGCUUCCACCGUUUCUUGUGAAUAGUACCGUAUACGUGAACAUUACCGUUUACGUGAAUAGUACCCCUUACGUGAACAGUACCCGACUCCAAAAAUACAACCAAUAGCUCUGAUACCACUGUUAGGAAAUUGGUAGGUGAAGCAGACACGCAGCUAGAAUAAAAUUGAAAGAAAAAUAAAGAACAAGUACAAAAAAUGGACACCAGAAAUUACGUGGUUCGACUUUUAGCCUACAUCCACGGGCGAAGACAGAAGGAAAUAUUUUACUAGUGAAAAGGAGUUACAAGUAUUGUAGUAUUUUAGCUCACUUCCCAAAAUCCCAAUACACCCAAACUCUCAGAACACUAAUCACUCAAGAGUUUAUUAAACUCUUAAUACUCUCAACACUAAAAGAAAGCAAUAUUUCUCUCUCGAUGGAAUUGGAUACAAGCUCUAGAUUGAGAGCUUGUAUUUAUAGGCAAAAAUUUGCCUCAAAUGUCAAACAAGUGGCCAUAAACUUCAAGCCAUACAUCUUAAAAAUUUCAAACUUUGAAUUUUUAGCUUUGAAUUUUUCUUUUCUUUUACCAAACAUUACGGCAUCUAGAAUUUCAAAGCCAAGUGCCAACCAUUCUUGUUUAUUCAAAGCUUCUAGAUGCAGCCAAUUUUGACAAUUACACAUAUAUAAGAGUAUGUCGUCAGGUCCAUACUAGUAUUUUUACACAAGCGGUCACCUCAAUUGCUUUAGGAGCAAGAUGAGAUGAGACAAGUAGAAUAAUAAAACAAUAUUUUUGUGUGAGAGCCAAAUAAAAAGCGUUAUUCUACAAGUUUUUUUGCCUUGACUAGAAUCAAGAGGUCUCACACGAUUUUCAUUAUAGACUGACUAUGAUAUACCCCACCAUCAUGGAGACUUCAUUGAAGCCAGAUGUGAGAUCUUUACUUUUUACGCUAGAAGAGAGCGUUCAUUCUAAAAGAGUGACUAGACUAAGAUCUAUAGUCCUGGAAUGGAAAAUUUAUCGUAACGAGUGUAUCAUACCAUGCGUGCUUGGUAAUCAAAAUGGAAAAUGAAAGAAUCUUCAAUCUUUCUAAUUGUGUAAGUUCCAUAUAACUUUUUAUAAGUCAAUCCUGGUAUCAUCUUCUUCUCUUCUUCGUGAAGAUUAAAAUUAAGAACAUUGAACAAUCCAUAAAAAGGGCAUUUAUACUGUGAUUAGAUAAGGAUUUCCGCUUGCGAUUUCUUCUGACCAUUAACAUGAUCCAGUACUCGAUUACUCCGCUGCUGAAUUCAAUAAGAAAAAUAUUUCUAGAAUUUUCAUUUUUCCUUCAGACCAUGUAAGAAGCAUACGAACAGGAUGAUCCGGAGUCAAAAGGUGAACGAGGUGACGGCUCGUCCGUUAGUACUAUUAAUGUAUAAGGUAAUAUGGGAAUUACUAAUAAUUAAUCGACUAGCUGAUUUGUUAGUUAUGAUUAUCAAUGACGGUCUAUUUCCUGCCCAUAUUUUACCAUGCUGUUGAAUGGUCCCCUUAAAAUAAUCCAGAUCAGUCAUUUGCAUAAAAAUAUAUCAUGAGCGGUUAGGUGGAGGAUGCUGAUUUGUUAGAAAAUAAUUGUUUUCAACUCUUGCGAUUGUCUGCACCCUGCACUCUUGUUCCAAAACCAAUACAAAACUGUAGCAAUCUUAAGAGGAUUUGUGGAACAAAAGAUGGCCAAGAUUGGAGGUUCUCUGCUUGUUCCUUGUGUUCAAGAGUUGGUCAAGAAUCCUAUGUUAGUUGUCCCUCCUAGAUACAUUUGUCCGGACGAAGAUUCACCACUCAAUUCUGAUGAUACUUUGAUUUCACAGAUACCAGUUAUUGACAUGCAGAGCUUGCUUUCUGAAGAAUCAAUGGAUUCUGAGUUAGCCAAGCUCGACUUCGCUUGCAAAGAAUGGGGUUUUUUCCAGGUAAAAUGCUUUAGCAGAGUUAGAAAGAUUUUUCAUGCUUGUCUGUGAUUUAAGAAUCAUGAAAUCUGCAAAACUCUCAGUCACAAAAUAUCUAUUUUUGAAACCCAGUUUCCAUUGAUUUAGCAUGUCAUGAUUUCAAAUUUUCCCAUCUAGUCCUUUUGCUGCUUUCAGUGCUUCUACGACUGCAGCUUGUGAAAUGUCAAGGAAGUUGUCUCUUGUUUUAUUGUACAAUUUAUGAGGCGAUAUGAGAAGAAAACACUCACCAUUUAUUUCUGAAACCCAGAUUCCAUUGAUAUAUUUGUUUUUGACUUGCUUUAUUACUUUACCUUUCCAUAUAGCCAUAGAUUUGUUAGUAUAAUUUGUAUUAAAAGAUGCCCAUGACAAAGUUCACCUAUUUUGUCUCAAUAGCUUUUGGUAGCUUAUGAGAAAUAUGCUUCUGUCAAUAUGUGAUUAAAGAUAUAGUAAAUUGUAUAAGACUCCCGCAGAUUAUUAGCUGUUCUAGAAUAUUCAAAUUUCUCCAAAACUAUGAGUAAAAAACACUUGUAAAAAUCAAUCAUUGAUUAGAUUUAUAAACAAAAUAAAAUUGGUGUUUAAUGCAACAGCAAUGUUCUCAGUUGAAAUGUAACAAAUGCUUUUAGCCAUCUUUGAUAGCAAAUCUUGUCUCUAAAUUAGUCAAAUAAGUUGCAAUCUGUCUUCAUAAAACGCCUGGACGAUUGUGAACCUAGUGGCACGAUUAUCAAAUCUUAGCUGCUGUUCAUUCCUGCGUAAUUUCAGCUGGUAAACCAUGGAGUAAGCUCAGCAUUUCUAGAGAAAGUGAAGAAAGAGGUUAAGGGCUUCUUCAAUCUCAGCAUGGAAGAAAAGAAAAAAUAUUGGCAGCAUCCAGGAGAUGUAGAAGGAUUUGGACAAGCCUUUGUUGUAUCUGAGGAACAAAAGCUUGAUUGGGCUGACAUUUUCUCCAUGAUCACUCUUCCAGUUCAUCUGAGGAAGCCACACUUAUUUCCUAAGCUCCCUCCUUCCCUCAGGUUCUCUCUUUUUGUGGUUGAUAUGGAUUUGCAAACAAAAAGGGAAAAUUAAACCUUCUAUGAUUCUAUCUAAUGUUUUACCUUCUUUUUUCUUGUAGAGACACCUUGGAAGUUUACUCGAUGGAGUUAAAAUCUCUGGCCAUGAACCUGAUAUCGAAAAUGGGAAAAGUUUUAAAUAUCAAAGAUGAAGAAUUGAGAGAAUUCUUUGACAAUGGUUUCCAAUCAAUGAGGAUGAACUAUUACCCUCCAUGUCCUCAGCCAGAAAAGGUUAUGGGCCUCACCCCUCAUUCUGAUGGCUCUGCUCUUACCAUUCUGCUACAAAUCAAUGAAGUAGAAGGUCUCCAGAUCAAGAACGAUGGAAAAUGGAUUCCUAUCACACCGCUGCCAAAUGCUUUCAUUGUCAACAUCGGAGACACAUUGGAGGUAAUAAUUAUGAUUACUUUCCUUGGCAUUUUUAUGUCCCUUCUCAUGUGCUCUAAUAUUUUUAACAUUGCAGAUUAUGACCAAUGGGACAUACCGUAGCAUUGAACAUCGUGCAAUUGUGAACUCUAUACAAGAAAGACUUUCCAUUGCCACAUUUUACACAAAGAGAUUAGAUGGUGAAAUAUAUCCAGCAUCCAGUUUGAUAUCUGAAAAAACUCCUGCAUUGUUUCGAAGAGUGACAGUUGAAGAAUACUUUAGGAGCCGGUUUGCUCGUGAGCUUAGGGGAAAAUCUCACCUGGAUGACCUGAGAAUUCAACAUGGUCGAGGCUAGUACAAUUAUUUUGGAUAAUUGCAGAUUUGUGCCAGGAAUUUUCUGAUGAUAAUUGUGCUUAUUUUGGAUCAGUUUCUUUCAUUUUUGGAAUAGAAUUUUUGCAGGCUUGUCAUGUUUUUAUCAGAUUUCAAGAACUAUUUCACUUGCUUUCGGAGUUAAAGAUGAUUCAAAUAUGAUAUUAAAUACUUAAGCAUGCCAUUCUAACGCUUGCUUGUCCAAUUACAUCCUUAUCAACAAUAUAUUUUGUUACAAUGUCACUGAAGUUGAAUAGAUAACAACAUGCUUGGGUUAUAUGUUGUCAUUUGGCUUAACCAUCCGUCACAUUAAGCAGAUUGUUGUGAUAAUGUGUUUUACAACCUUCCCCAGUAGCAUGAAUGUUGUUAAAAUAAUUGUAACAAAUUUUAUAUUGCUUGUAGCAACAUUGUUCUCCAUAGCACACAUUGCGUGAGUACAUAAGUUGUAACUUGUUACCAAUAAUAAUAAUAAAAAAUAAUAAUAAUAGUAAUAAUAAUUAUCAAUAACUAAAAAUGAGACGGAUGUUACUUUCAUAAGUGGAACUUGGAUUCACAAGCUAAAUAUGAGGUUUUAAUUGGUUGUUAUCAGAAAAAAAUAUAAAGAUAAUUAAUGCCUAAACAUAAACAGCUAUAAUUGUAUAAAUGACUAAUCGAUUACAAUUCGAAUCCACUAUUUUCUUAAUAGUGCGCAGUCAAUUCCAACACAGCACCAGAUUGCAGCGUGUUAGAAAAAAUUUUAGGUAAUCAUAUAUAUGUUUUAAUCAAUAAUGAUAAUAUGUUUACCCAUAUAUAAGAUUUGAAUAGAUAAAAAGUAAUACUCGAGAACCACCAAAGUCCUUUUAACUGCAGACACGCAAUGGUGGAUUACUCGCACAAGUCAAGAGCAAAAUACCAAGUUGUGAAAGAAAAAUAAAAAGGGGAAAACAAAACAAAACGCAGUAUUGAAAAUACCUUCGCCUUUUGGGUUGAUGACAAGGUGGGAACCACAAAUAAUUAAUUGGCUGAUGGUUUGUCAUCGUUAUCCAUAGAGGAUAGUUUUGACCUGCGAAUAUUUUAUUUUGCAUUCGAAACAUGUGCAAAAAAUUAAAAUUACUUCAUGAAUGGUUAGGUGGAGGAUGCUGAUUAAUUACUUGGAAAAAGAUUCCUUUUUACUUUUGUGAUUGUCAGCACUCAGUCUUGUUCCAAAACCAAUACAAAGCUGCAGCAAUCUUGAAAGGAUUUGAGGAACAAAAGAUGGCCCAGAUUGGAAGUUCUCUCCUUGUGCCUUGUGUUCAAGAGUUGGUCAAGAAUCCGGCGUUAGUUGUCCCCGACAGAUACAUACGUCCAGAUCAAGAUUCACCCCUCAUUUCUGAUGAUAUUUUGAUUUCACAGAUACCAGUUAUUGACAUGCAAAGCUUACUUUCUAAAGAAUCAAUGGAUUCUGAGUUAGCCAAGCUCGACUUCGCAUGCAAAGAAUGGGGUUUUUUCCAGGUAUAAUGCUUUAGCAAAGUUAGAAAAUUGUUUCGCCAGAACAUGCUUGUUUGUGAUCAAGAAUCGAGAAAUAUGCAAAUUGUCAAUCAAAUAGGCAAAAUUAAAAUUCAUAUUUAUUUCUUAAACCCACGUAUCAUUGAUGUUAGCAGAUCAUGGUUUCACUUUCCAGUGUUGUCUGUGGCUUAGGACUGCAGCUUGUGAAAAGAAGAACUUGUCUCUGGUUUAUUUAUUAUUGACUUUCUAUAUUGCUUUACCUUUUCUCCCUCCAGGCAUGGUUUAAUUAGCUAUUUCAUUCCUAAAUGUCAAACAGGCAAUAUGUAUUAAAAAGAUUGUCUUGAGAAAUUUCACCUCCUCUGCCUCAAUAGCUUUUGGUACCUUAUGAGAAAUAUGCUUCUGUCAAAAUUUUAAAAGAUAUACUAUAGUAAAUUGUGUAAGACCUCUUAGAAAAUGUACUCAUUUCUGUAGUCAAUGUUGCAAAUUUACUUUAAUUUAAAGACAAUUAGAAGUAACAUUGAGAUUAUUUGCUGUUGUAUGAUUUUUCAAAUUCUAGGUGUGAACAAACCACAAGAACUUUAUGCUCAUUAUAGUUAUUCUAGAAUAACCGAAAUUUCUCCGAUAGAAUGAGUAGAAAACACCUGUGGAAACUAAUUGUUGAGAAGAUUUAAAUGUAACAAAUGCUUUUAGCCAUCUUUAAUGGUAAAUCUUAUCUCUAAAUCAGUCAGAUAAGUUGCAAUCUGUCUUAAUAAAACACCUGGACUAUUGUGCGCUUAGUGGCACGAUUAUUAAAUCUUUGCUGCAUUUCGUUCCUGUAUUUUUUUCAGCUGGUAAAUCAUGGAAUGAGCACAGCAUUUCUAGAGAAAUUAAAGAAAGAGGUUGAGGGAUUCUUCAAUCUCAGCAUGGAAGAAAAGAAAAAAUAUUGGCAGCGUCCAGGAGAUAUGGAAGGAUUUGGACAAGCCUUUGUUGUAUCGGAGGAACAAAAGCUUGAUUGGGCUGACCUUUUCUCCAUGAUGACUCUUCCAGUUCAUCUGAGGAAACCACAUUUAUUUCCUAAGCUCCCUCCUUCCCUCAGGUUCUCUCUCUCUCUCUCUCUGUGUCAAUGUCAUUUUGAUUUGCAAACAAAUAAAGGAUAGUGCAUCUUCUUUUCCUGUAGAGAGACCUUGGAAGUUUACUCAAUGGAAUUAAAAACCCUAGCCGAGAACCUAAUAUCGAAAAUGGGAGAAGUGUUAAAUAUCAAAGAUGAAGAAAUGAUAGAAUUCUUUGAAAAUGGACUGCAAGGAAUGAGGAUGAAUUAUUACCCUCCAUGUCCUCAGCCCGAGAAGGUUAUGGGCCUGUCGCCGCAUUCUGAUGCAGCUGCACUUACCAUUCUGCUACAACUUAAUGAAGUGGAGGGUCUCCAGGUAAAGAAGGAUGGAAAGUGGAUUCCUGUUACCCCACUCCCGGAUGCUUUCAUUGUCAACAUUGGAGACACAUUGGAGGUAAUAAUUAUAAUAAAUUACCUUAACCUGGCAUUUUUAUGCGCUUGCUUAUGUGCUUUAAUAAUUUUUACAUGGCAGAUUAUAACCAAUGGGACAUACCGCAGCAUUGAGCAUCGUGCAGUUGUAAACUCUGUACAGGAAAGACUUUCCGUUGCCACAGUUUACUCAGUGAGAUAUGAUGGUGAAGUGUAUCCUGCCUCCAGUUUGAUCUCUGAAAAAACUCCUCCUUUGUUUAGAAGAGUGAGAAUUGAAGAAUACUUUAGGAGCCGGUAUGCUCGUGAGCUUAGGGGAAAAUCUCAGUUGGAUUCCCUGAGAAUUCAACAUGGUCAAGGCUAGUAUAAGUUUAUUUUGGAUAACUAAAGAGUUUGGUACAAAAACUCUUAAGGACCUUGCUAUUAAGAUUGGCGUGGAACUGAAAAUAAGAAAUAAGUUCUAUGAAUACUGUGGUAUAACCUGCUAUGCUAGGGUCGUUGUGUAGCUCUAUCAUUUGAGAUACUGAAUAGACCAUGUAAGAAUCUUAAGAAUUGCAGACUUAUGCCUGGAAUCUUCCGAUGAUAUAUGGUGGUGCUUAUAUCAGAUCAGUAUCUUUCUUUCUUGAAAUAGAAUUUUUGCAUACCUGACUUGUUUUUAAUGAGAUUUCAAGGACUAUAUGACUUGGUUUCAAAUUUUUAUGAUACAUACAGAUAAUAUUACCACAGAACCAGUGUAGUUUCUGUAUCAGCCGUUAUAGUUUUCAGUUAAUAGUAACAAGUUUUUGAUUUUUAACAAGAAUGUUGUCCUUCCACGUCUUAAAUAUUCCGUUCCAUAACACACAUUGUGACGAAUACAUAACUUGUUACCAUUGACGAAAAAUUUUGCCAUCAAUAGCUGAAAAUAGAUGUUAGUUACACAAGCUGCAAAGCUAUAACUUUGGAUUUCAUAUUCAGAUUGUCCCUCUCAAAGUUGAACUUGGAACUACGGUUGAUGAUCUGCUAUUAUGCUGAGAAAAAUACAAGAUUUUUUUUUUGGUUGUCAUCAGACAAUGUAAAAGAAAUUAGCAUGGGAUCCAAAUUCUUGAGAGUUUGAUAAGGCAAUGCACUAUAUUUUUUUAUAACUCGCAGCAGACAGCAGCACAACAGCAGACUGCAACUGUCAUAUUCACAAAAUAUCUAUGGGCCAACCCUAGACCCGCAAUGGUGGAUUAGUCUCACACAAGGCCACAGCAAAUAAUGACUUGUAGAAAAUAAUACAUUUUCAACAUUUGCUUUGUCAAUAAAAAUCUGUAGCAUUAUUGUUGAGAGAAUUUGUGCAACAAAAAGAAGGCCAAGUUCGGAGGUUCUCUGCCUGUGCCUUGUGUUCAAGAGUUGGCCAAGAAUCCUAUGUUAGCUAUCCCCCCCAGGUACAUACCACCACGCUAAGAUUUAACCACAAUUUCUGAUAAUAAUUUGGAUUCACGGGUAUUGCAGAGCUUGUUUUCUGAAGAGUCAAUGGAUUCUGAGUUGUCCAGGCUCCACUUCGCUAGCAAAGAAUGGGCUUCUUUCCAGGUAAAGUCCUUUGCCAAGUUAUUAUUAUUUUGCUUUUAAAGGAUUUGCUUGGGAUGAGACCUCAUCUACUAAAUACCACCCUUUGUCCCAUAUUGUUACUCGAGCGCAGAUAUCUGCAAAUUGCGAAUUACAUUCACAACCAGCUAAGCUACACCUGCCGUGAGGCACCCAAGUUUGUACUUUUUCAUUUGGACAUGCUUGGUUUGUUAAUAGUAGUCUGGGGUCAAGAAUUAAGAAAUCUGUAUACUCUCAAUCAAAGAGCACAGUCGAUCAAAUUCAGAUUAGAUUAUGUUCCAUUCUUAUAGGUCAAGUAGGCCACAAAUUUGGCCUACUCUGUAUCAAUGCUUUCUUACACUGUAAGUUAGCAAUAAGAAAGCUGUAACAAAAUUUGAGUCUACGUAGUCUUAACCAAGCCGGUUUAAGCACUCUUUUUUUUAAAAAAAAAAACAUUGAGGGAUGUAACUGACCUUGUCCGAUUAUGGACCCAUCUAACUUGCUUUCUUGUAUGGCUGAGAAGAAAAACCUGCAUUCUUGAAAAUUAAAUUGUCUUUAAUAUCUUUCAGAUGUCUAGGCUUGCGGUAGCUUGAGAAGAACUAUAAGCAAAUUUAUGAUGGAGUAUAAUGCAAAUGCGAUUCUAUUAGUUUAUUGAAAUCUAACAAAUACUUUUAUUCAUCGCACUCAGUAAAUUUUGCCUGAAUUAGUCCAAUAAGUUGUACUCUGUCUCAGCAAAAUACCUUGACCAAAAUAAAAAACGUAGUGACACGAUUGUUAAUGUCUUAGCUGUUUUUCUGUUUCUGAAUUGUUUCAGCUGGUAAAUCAUGGAGUGAGCCCUGCAUUUCUAGAGAACGUAAAGAAAGAGAUUCCGGAAUUCUUCAAUCUAAGCAUGAAAAAAAAAAAAUUGGCGGUCUCCAGGAGCUGUGGAAGGAUUUGGACAAGCAUUUGUUGUAUCCGAGGAACAAAAGCUUGAUUGGAAUAACAUUUUCUUCAUGACAACUCUUCCAGUUCAUCUGAGGAAACCCCACUUGUUUCCUAAGCUCCCUCUUUUCCCCCUCAAGUUUCUCUCUCUCUAGGCAGUUAUUUGAUGAUUGCAAAUGUAUUAUGUUCAGAGAAAGAUCCCAAGUCAGUUAUAUUUAGCAAAAUUUGACAACCAAACAUGAUUUUGAAAGAAUACUGCUAAAUAAUAACUUAUUUAACAAUCCACCACAAUCAUGUACUAAACCUUCUAAUUGCGUCUUCUUUUUUCUUGUAGGAAAUUUUGGAAUUUAUUCAGUGGAGUUAAAAAUCUUUGGCCAUGAACCUGGUAUCGAAAAUGGGAAAAGUUUUAAAUAUCAAAGACGAAGAAUUGAGAGAAUACUUUGAAAAUGGUUUCCAAUCAAUGGGGAUGAACUAUUACCCUCCAUGUCCUUAGCCGGAGAAGGUUGUGGGCCUCACAACUCAUUGUGAUGACUCUGCUCUUACCAUUCUGCUGGAAAUCAAUGAAGUAGAAGGCCUCCAGAUCAAGAAGGAUGGAAAGUGGAUUCCUGUUACACCUUUCCCAAAUGCUUUCGUUGUCAACAUUGGAUAUGUGUUGGAGGUAAUUAUUAUGAUAAGUUAUUUUAACUUGACAUUCAUAUGAGCUAGCUAAUGUGUGCUUUCAUUAAUUCAUGUUGCUCCACUUCCUAAUGCUUUCAUUGGAGACACAUUGGAGGUAAUAAUUAUAGUAAAUUACUUAACUUGGCAUUUAUAUGCGCAUGCUCAUGUGCUUUAAUAAUUUUUACAUGGCAGAUUAUAACCAAUGGGACAUACCGUAGCAUUGAGCAUCAUGUAAUUGUAAACUCUGUACAAGGAAGACUUUCCAUUGGCACAGUUUACUCAGUGAGGUAUGAUGGUGAAAUGUACCCUGCGUCCAAUUUGGUCUCUGAAAAUACUCCUUCAUUGUUUAAAAGAGUGAAAGUUGAAGAAUAAUUUCAGGAAUCUGUGUGCUCGUAAGCUUAGGGGAAAAUCUCAUCUGGAUGCCUUGAGAAUUGAACAUGUUCAAGAUUAUUAUAAGUUUAUUUUGGAUAACUAAAGAGUGUAGUACAAAAACCGUGGGGGACCUUGCUAUUACAAUUGUGUGUGGAACUAAAAAUAAGAAAUAAGUGUAAGAACAAUAAAUCCUUUGGUGAAAAUCAUCACCUCAAUUUAGGAACAUGUAUGUUGUAUCACCAAAAAUUAAUAAUAGAAUAUGCGGCAGUGUACCUAAGUUCAUAAUCCACAAUUGCUCUUUAGAGCCGAGUAGUUUGUCUUCCAAAUCAACAUGUUCUCCUAAAGAAUUCUUUAAACUUCUCUAUACUGUCUCUUUAAUGAUGAGAUGUCAAUAGAGAAUAGAACAAUACGUGUGACCUAUGGAUAAUAACUACUUAUAUAUAUAGAUUUUCCUUUUGUUUUUAGGUAUUCUUAUUUCAACCCAUUAUAAAAAUCAAAAUUAGUCUUAAGUCUCUAUACAUUAAAGGCCCACAAUCUAUUAGAUACAUUAAAACACAAAUUACCGAAAACCUUAAUAGACCAAUUUUAAUUUGGCUUAGAGUUAGACUAUUGGCACCCCUCCAAAAUUCUUCUAAAACCCCUUUUUCAAUAAUGCUAAGCUUAAUGCCAAAAAUACCCUUAUUUCUAAAUAAACACAUUUAAUUUGUGAAUCUUUUAAUUUUUAUUAUUUUCUCGCUCCUCACAAACAAAAUUUUAUGGGUGAUAAGUUUCUUGAUAAAAAUCAAUUAAUAAAAUAAAAUAUCUGUAAGAUUAUAAUGUAAAAAGUUUUAUUAUGAGCCUUAAAAAAAGGUAGAUAAUUUUUUCAAAAUGUGUUUUGUUUAUUAUCAAUAGAUUGUCUUAGUAAUUGAAGAAAAAUUUACAGAGAAUUUGAGAAAAAAAUUACAUGUGUGAGUUUGAUGGCAGAGAAAAUACAAGAGCUUUUUUUUUAAGAGAGAAAAUACAAAAGUUUGAAGUGAGAUAAAAUAGAUGUGAGAUAUAUUAGAGUAUUUAUCCUUAAAUGUAAUUGUAAUAGAAGAGGAAGUUUAAAAGGAUUUUGAAGGGGUGUCAAUAGUCCAACUCUUUGGCUUAAUCUUAUAUGACAAUUCACAUCAUAUAAUUAUUCACAUAUAAGCGCAACAUUGGAUCAAGGAUCCAACCAUACUAGAUUAAAGAUCCAACAACCUUUCACUUGGACUAUAUAUAUAACUUUGUAAUUAUACUUUACAAAAAUAACUAUAUGAGGUCAACUUUACUGUCAUUACCAAAAUGCAUCUAUAGCCAAUUCGGUCCAUCUAUCAUACCAACAUAGGAUCAAAACGACCUUUAUUACAAAUAUCGUAACUUGACCCAUCAAUGCUCACUAUGCCAACAUAACUUAAUGACAUAGAUCAUGAUAUGGUGUAGGAUGGAAAUUUUAUGUAAUGUGAUUUCAACAUGCCUAUUUUCAAUUGAUCCACCUUAAACAUUAGUGAGAUCAAAUUAUACAAAAUUAGAGUGUAAAUAAACCAAAAUUUUAUUUCUGUAGAAAAUAGCCUUAAAUAUCCCCAAACCGAAAAAUGUUUAUAUCAUAAAAGCAUUUAAAAGUUACAAACUCCCAUUAAAAAUGAAUAUCAAUAUCCUUUAAUGACAUGUCACCCAUAUGAACAAUGUGCUCAUGAAACAUUUUAAAUGACAUUCCCUUAGUAAACGGAUCUGUAAUCAUGGAGUUUGUACCAUUAUACUUUAUAGACAAUUGUCCACUCUGAAUUCCUUAGGAACUUGAUGUCUAUAUACUGUGACAUCGUUGAGCUCUUAUUGUUAUUGGAAUAUAGCACUGCUGACUUAUUGUCACCAAAUAACUUAAGUGGUCUAUCAUAAGGGUGUCAAAAAAGCCUGCCCGGACCGGACCCGGCCCCCGGACCGCAUGCACAUAAAAACCGGACCCAGGUUUGAAAUUCUCAAACCCGGACAUUUCCGGGCCCGGGUCCGGGUUCAACACCAAAAACCUGGAACCCGGACCGGACCCGGUUUUUUAAUAAAUUUUUUUAAAAAAUAUAUAAAUAUAUAAUUAUGAAUUUAUGAUAUGUUGGAUGUUAUUUAAAUUUAUUGUGUGAUUAUUGUGUUGUUGAAUUUAAUUUAUUUAUUUUAUAUAUAGAUUGAAUGAGUUUAAGUUAGAAAUUGGAUGAAUUUAGGUAUUAGAAAGUGGAUUGAAAUAAUUUUAAUUUAUCAUUUGUGCAAAAUUUGCAUUGUUAGUGUGUUAUAUAUUUGUAUUUGACUAUUUGCUUUUUUAAAGUUUGAGAUUGAAUGAGUUUAUUUGAUUAUUUUCUUUUUUUAAAUUUGCAUUGUUAGAGAAAUGAAAGAAAAAAUUGAAGAAAAAAAUUGAAGUUAUCACAUGCGGGUUUAGAAAGCCCGGAUCAAAACCCGGACCCGGAAGGUGCCGGGCUCAACCCCGGACCGCACCCGAAAAAAUUGGGUUUUAACCCGGGUUCGGUCUUGUAUUUCUCUCAUCCAGUCCCGGGCAACACCAAAACCCGGACCGGACCCAAAUUUUGUCAAGCCUAGUCUAUCAAUACUAUUUAAAAUGAGUAAUUCUAUGACGAAAUUUUGUAGCCAUAUUCCUUGAUUGGAUAUUUCGUAACAUGCUGUGAACUCCGCUGCUAUAGUAGAAAAGGCUAUAAGAGACUGUUUAGCACUCUUUCAGGAAACAACACCCCUAGCCAGUAGCUAGAUGUAACCAAAAGUAGAUUUCAUAUUAUCUUGGGAUCUAACAAAAUCAGAGUUAGCAUAAUGAUCUCAAGCUGAUCUAACUUUCGAUGUAGUCUUUUGUUCUCUGUAAGUAUCGCAAGACCCGUUUGGCUGUUUCCCAAUAGUUUACCCCUGGAUUACUUAAAUAUCUAUCCAACAUUCCAGUAAUGUAUGCAAUAUUCAGUUGCGUACAAACCUAAACAUACAUCAGACUUUCUAUUACUGAUGUAUAAGGAAUCUUCUACAUUUUUUAUUCCUUAAAAUCAUCAUUAGGGCACUAAUUGUGUAACAUCCAUUAUUUUUGUUUUAUUUAUUUAUUUUUUAUUAUUUUACUACUACUACUACUACUACUACUACUACUACUACUACUACUACUACUACUAUUAUUAUUAUUAUUAUAUCUAUUUUAGAGAAUAUAGUAUUUUAGGCUAAUGAUUUUAAGCGUGUUUUAAUUUUUCUUUAUUUAUUUGAUUUACCAAUUUAGUAAAUACCUUAUUAAAAAAGGAAAUAAAUUCCUAAAUAGGUAAGGGUGUUAAAAGGCUUGGCUUUAUAAAAGCUUCUCUUGCGUUGUUUUAUUUCUCAAAAUCAUAGAGGCUGAAUACAACAACACACACAAGAGUAAACCUUUUUUUUUAAGAAGAGAAGUAGAUUUUGAUUGGUUUUUUUCUUUUCCAUAAAGAAAUUCUUGAGUUUUGAAUUUGUUUUGAAGGAUUUAGCCUUCUGGUUUUAUUUGUGAUUUUAUGUGAUUGAUUGAAUGAUUUUGUGUGUAUUACAUUGAUAAAAUUGUGAAAGCAUGAUCAUCUAUUGAUUUAUGUUGUUAUUGAGUGAAAGUGGUGCUAUUAUUUUAUCUUGAAAACAGUGAACAACAUAGAUUCAAUGUUUUAUGACUGCUGUUUUCAUUAAGUCUCAUGCAUAAAAUUUUAUAAUUUAUUAAACUAGACAUCUUUAUCUUUCUAUUUAUAUGUUUAUCGUUCAAAACUCAUUGUAUAUUAAUUUUUUUGAUUUUUCAAAAUUGGAACACUAGUGUUGGAAAAUUCCAAUUUUCAGCAGCAGUUCUCGUUACUAUAAUUUAUUUGGUAACUCAAACGAUUUCUGAAAAUUCUAGGAACGUUUUUCAUUUUACACAUAUAUGUCUAGUUUCUGUAUACUUAAAUUCCUAAUUUUUGGCUUUAUAUAAAAAUAAUUAAAAAUCAUAGAGCUAGGCUACCGUAAUAUUGGAAAUUGUUUUCUAGAAUUGCGAGGGUUGAUAUUGAAGCGAGUUUGGGUUACUUUUUCAUAGUGAAUGCUAGGGGUGGGCAAAAUACCCGACCCGAUCCGACCCGAAAAAAUUCGGGUUCGGGUCGGUUCGGGUUGUUAUUGAAACCCGAACGGGUGAAAAAUUGCAAACCCGAUCGGGUUGUGAUUGGGUCGGGUAAAACCCGAUCCGAUCCGAAUACCCGAUCGGGUCGCACAAAAAAAAAAUCACUAAACCUAUAAACACAUCACACAUGCACACACCAGACACCAGACACCACACACAUGGCCAUGCAAAGUUACAACUCAAAAAGUCACAAAAACAAGUGGCUAAAAAAAUAUUGACAAAUAAAAAACAAAAUAUAAUUAUAACCCACGCACACAGGCCACAGCCACACACAAACAUUGAAACAUAUCUUCGCUGCCUUCACAGCCCUCAUCCCCACAGCCCUCAUCCUUACACUCACAACUUCACACACACACACAAAUAUCGCAAAAGCCAAAAGCAAAGCGGCAGCUAGCAGCCAACGCAGAGAAGAGAACGGAGGAAGCGCAGCCAGUGCAUGCAGCCACCUAACCCGUGACUGGAUCUACUGCUCCGCGACAUCCGUAGCUACCAGAUCUGCUGUUGCCGGAUAUCUACAGGAUCUGUUGCUGUUGGAUCCGCUGCGCUGCUAUCGGAUCUGCUGCUGCAGCCUCCACCAUCACCGAGUUCCACCGCGAAGGUGCGAACCGGCAACUCGAAUUCUUUUCUUUUUUUGAUGUUUUGAUGGGAUAUAAUAAUAUAUUAUAUAUUAUCUGUUAAUUGCUAAGUAUAUGUAUUGUUAAAUGUUAAUAAUAAAAUGAGGGAAAUUCUUGUAUGGAAAAUUUUGGAGUUUAAUUUAUUAAGUCUGUGGAAGCUUAAAUAAUAAGUAUGAAUUGAUUUCUUUUUUUUUGUUUUGUUUUUAAUGAAUAGAUUAAGCAAAUUAAGCAUUAAAAUUAAAUAUUUUGCAUUUGAUCUGUGCAAUGUUUCACCCGAUCCGAAUUAACCCGAAUUUAACCCAAUUAUUUGACCCGAUCCGAUCCGAUCCGAAUAUAUUCGGAUCGGGUUACAACUUCGGGUUGAGUUCGGAUGAAUUCUUUUCUAACCCGAUCAACCCGAAAUCCAAUCGGGUUGAUCCGAACCCGACCCGAACCCAAAAAUGCCCACCCCUAGUGAAUGCCUUAUAAAUUUAACUUUUAUAUUCAAUGCAAACGUGUUCACAAUAGUUUUUUGUAAUAUUUUUGAUUUUUCUGACAUAAUUAUAGCUUGUUAGAAAUUAACUCUUACAAGAUGGUCGAGUGUAGUUUAGUGAAUUGAUGUGCUUUAGUAAGAGUAAAUGGUUUAAGGAUAUUUUGGCUUUCUUAUCAACGUCAAAAUUGAAAAAAAAAAUUGAUAAGAAUCUUAUCUUGAUAAUUAUAGGCCAAGAACGAGCUCGUGUGAUUGGGGUUAUUGUUGAUUGCUUCGUAUUGAGUUAAGUGAACUCAUGCAUAAUGUUUAUUAUAGUUAUAUAUGUAAAUAUCUAGAAAAGAAUAAUGUUAUUCAUAUAAAUUGACAUUUUAUGGUUUUGAAGUUAUUUUACUCUUAUAUUUUAUGAUAAUAAAUAAUGUUUUGAUUAAAACUUUAUUUAAAAUAUUUUCUUAAACUAUUUAAAAAAUAACUUUAAAAUAAUUGUCUUUCCAUAAAUUGGUCUUCCUUAAAAAUAUUUGUUAAGCUUGCCAAUUCAAUGUCUUAUAAGAGCAUUUUAUCAUAAUAUUACUGAAUGAUUGAUAUUGAAAGACUGAAAUUGUAUUUAAGAUUUUGGCUCAUUAACCGUAGUUAUUGUUGCUGAUAUAACCGAACAUUUAACUAUAUUGUGCGCACCUAUUGACGAUUAUAGUUGGGUAACGUACCCUAAUUGAACUACUAACCGAGUCAUCGGGGUUAUAGGUGACUUACUAAACUAAUACCGGGUCAUUAGGGUUAUAGGUGACUUAUUGAACCACUGGCCGGGUCACCGGAAGUACAGGCGACACUAUAUGACAUGAGCAAUUGAAUAAAUGAAUGGUUAUAUUGAUAAAUGAUUUCCGAAAUGAUUAUUUAUUAAAAAUGGUUAUUACAUUAUGAUUUAACUAAUUAUAAGUUUUAAUGUACACUUAUGGUACUUUAUAAUGAUUGUUUUGUAUUUUAUCGUUAUUAGUAACCUUAUGCAUGAGUUAGUGUUGAGUGUUAGAAAAUGCAUAUUUAUAAAGGAGAAAAUUGUCAUUUUACAUUUCACGUCUUACUAACAGCCCUUACUUUUAUGUAUUUAAGCUUCUUGUAAUUUAAUUAUGUGUGUUUUAUUUUAAUUAAGUAUUUUAUGUAUUUUAGGGGCAUCAUGGUCAUUUCACAAUAAACGAGAGAUCAGACGGCAAAAUGGACAUCACUUUUGAACUCAGGACGGUUGAAAACCUUAGGAGGAGCAUAAAAGGAAAAAUGACACUGUUCACAUGUACGGUACUGUCUAUGUUACUAUUCACGACACUGUUCACAUAGACGGAUCGAUGAUGUGGCAUUGACCGAUGAUGUGGCAUUGACUGAUGAGGUGUCACGAUCCUGUUGGACUAAAAUUCUUAUGCACUGUUGAUCGAUGACGUGGCAGCAUAUCAGUGGACCAAAAAUCUCGCGUACGGUACAUGCAUUAUAUAGGAUUAUUUUCAACCAAACUGAGUCACUGUUCAACUCGGGGCAAACCGUGUUACUGUUCAUCCAAGUGGUCAAACCGCAUACUGUUGACUGGUAACGUGGCGCAAUCCUGAGCGUCCAAACUGUUUUUAAUCCGAUGGCCACGAUUUACUUAAUGUAUCUACAAAAAGGGGGCCUCCCCUCUAAUUUGAUACCUCUGAAUCCAUUUUUUGGAUCCAUUUUCUAUAAUUCCUUCUCCAUCUUGUAUUUUCUACGUAUUUUAAUAAAUUUCUAUUUUGCCCCUAGUUCAAUUAUGAGUAACUAAUUUUCUUUCAAGCUUGGGUUGAAGGUGAAGUCUCAACAUGUGUCAUGGGCUUUAUUUGGUAAAUUUAUUUUCUCUUCCCCUCUAGUUUUUGUGGAUGUUUUGACUUCUCGUCGAUAAAUAAUAAUAAUAUUAUUUAGUACCGCCUUGGUUUCACCGGCUCCCUAAUACAAAGUUAUUGUUAUUUGGCACGAUAAGCCCUUAGCACCAUAUUGAUUAGAGCGUAGUUCAUGAGGUGUGAAUUCCCCCCUCAUGAUUUAAUUGGUAUUAAUAAGGAAUAUUUAGCCCAUGGUGCAUUUGAUAUGAAUUCAAAUACCCAAGUACGUCAAUUUAAUAGAUUUUCACUUUAAUUUCUUCUCGUCAUUUCAAUUCCAAUUUUUAGGAUAAUUUAAAUCACUUCCACCACAAAUCCAACCACCUCAUACAAAAUUAAUUCUAUAUAUAAUUAAAAUCCACCUCCUCGUGAGAUCGACACUCGUCACUAUUAGUCUAUUAUACAAUAGAUUCGUAAGCUUGCGAGUUCAAUAAAAUUUGCACAACAAGUUUUUGGCGCCGUUACUGGGGAGGUAAGUUAUUUUAAUUUGUAGAAUUAAUUUUUGUCAAUAAUUUCUUUUAUUUGUUUUCUUUUUUUUUCUUAUUAAAAAAAAGGGAAAAAAGAGAGUGAAUUUGCAUUUAGAGAUUAGUAUUUCUUUUCUUUUUCUCUUCUUUAAAAUUCUGUAAUUUAAUUUUCAAGUUAUUUUUUUCUUCUUUGUAAUUUUUGUUUAUCUUACUAAUUUUUUAAGUUAAUUUAUUUCACGUAUUUUUUUGUGUGUAUUUUUAUAGUAAGGUUGUAAUAGCGCGAUAAGGUUAGUAUCGUAAUUUCUCCCUCUUCUUUAUUUUUAUUUGUUUUGUUCCCAUCUUUAUUUUUAUUUUAUUUGUUUUACAUGCAUAGUCGAAGAUCAUUAUUACCUAAUCUUAAACCUAUAGACCUGGAACUAGAAAAAAUACUUCGCACACACAAGCACGUUAAAAAUAAAUUUGGAAUGGAUUUACAAGUACCACAAGAGAGGCCAUUUAAGGACUAUUUUAGUCCUUUAGCUAAUUUGAGCACAUCAUGUAUAAGAUACUCAAAUGUAGCUGCUACGAGUUUUGAACUAAGACCUAGUCUGCUAAAUUGUCUCCCAACAUUCUAUGGCCUAGAAAAUGAGGACCUUUAUAAUUAUUUGAAUGAUUUUCAUACUAUUUGUCAAACAUUUAAAUAUGAGAAUUUUUCAUAUGAUGAUGUAAAACUUAGACUAAUCCCAUUUUCUUUAAAGGAUAGAGCUCGUUCAUGGUUUAAUAUAUUGCCUGCUAAUACCAUUUCAUCAUGGGAACAAAUGGUAACGAAAUUUUUAAAUAAAUAUUUCCCAGUGCAUAAAACUAAUGCUAUUCGCAGGGAAAUUUCAAAGUUUACCCAUAGAGAAGAUGAGCAGUUUUUCGAAACAUGGCAGUAAUUUAAUGGGCUACUCUUGAAGUGUCCACAUCAUGGGUACGAGAAAUGACACCAAUGCCAAUACUUUUUGGAGGGAUUAUUGCUGAAUGUGUAAGAAUGACUAAUGGCAACAAGUGGAGGAGAGCUAAUGUCAAAAAGUGCAUCAGAGAUUUGGGAAUUCUUCUAGCGACAAGUGGAUAAUUCCCAACAACGGAGUCGAUCACUCAGGAAUACUAGAAGAAUUAAGGGAGUGAAUGAGGUUCACAUUGACGAGUCAACUUCAGGAAUCAAAGAAGUCAAGGAGAUGGUUGAAGGUAUCGCUCGACAAAUAGCAUCAUUAUCGACUGCUAAAUCAACAGAGCCACAUGACCAUGACUCAUACUCAGAUCAAGCCAAUACCAUAGGUGUAAUGAGAAGCCAUCAAAUUACAACCCAUACUCCAACACAUAUAACCCAGGAUGGAGAGACCACCCCAAUUUUUUAUGGUCUCAAGGAUUCCAACAGAAUGAAGCAGCAGCUCCAGCUCCACCAAUGCAACGAAUUCCUCAAGUUCCUCAAGCCUCUCAGCCACCAUUUAGACCAUACAAUCAGAACCAGAACUACUCUCAACCCAGACCAUGGGAGGAUGCAUUCCAGAAUUUCAAGAAUGUUACUCACUCUACGAUUGAGCAACAGAACCGCACCAUUGAUAGACUACGAAAUGAGUUGAGAGCAGGUUUCAACUCACAAGCCCAAUCAGUUUCAAGCCUUGAGAAGAUGGUGGGACAACUUGUUUCUUCAGUUCAGACCUUGGCAAUGACCGUUGAGAAAGGUAAAUUUCCAAGUCAACCAGUGCCUAAUCCUAAAGGAGUACAUGAUGCAAGUACUAGUUCACCACAGCAGCAUGGAGAGGUAAAAGUUGUCAUGACUUUGUGAAAAGAAAAAGAAGUCGACAACAAAGUGGAGAUGUAGGUGAUAAAAGAAAAUCAAAUUGUACCUGUAAAUGUUGAGGACUCAUCACCGGAGGAGAAAGAAGAAACGAACCUACGAGAAUAUGUUCCUAAAUCUCCAUUUCCUCAGAGGUUAGUAAAAGGAAAAAAGGAAAAAUUCACAGGUGAGAUUCUUGAAAUCUUCAAACAGGUAAGUGUUAACAUCCCUUUGUUUGACGCUAUAAAACAAGUUCCAUCUUAUGCUAAGUUUCUUAAAGACCUUUGUAUUAAAAAGAGAAACAUUCAUGUUCAAAAGAAGGCAUUUUUGACAGAAAACGUUAGUUCUAUACUCCAACAUAAAAUUCCUCUAAAAUGCAAAGACCCAGGCUCCCCCACUAUCUCAUGUAGUAUAGGGAACCACACAAUUGAAAAUGCUUUGUUGGAUUUAGGAGCUAGUGUAAAUCUGUUGCCUUAUUCAGUUUUCGUGAAACUUGGAUUGAGAGAAUUACACCCAACUCCAGUGGUGUUGCAGCUUGCAGAUCGGUCCACGAAAAUACCUCGUGGCAUUAUGGAAGACGUGCUUAUCCAGGUAGACAAGUUUUAUUUUUCUGUUGAUUUCAUUGUAAUUGACACUCAACCAAUUCAGGAUUCAAGGAAGCACAUCCUCAUUAUUCUAGGCCGACCUUUCUUGGCAACUGCAGAUGCUCACAUUCAAUGCAGGACUAGAAAUAUGCAGUUGUCCUUCGGCAACAUGACUAUGGAGCUGAACAUCUUCAACAUUGCCAAAUAGCCUCACAAUGCAGAUGAUAAAAUUGUUGAUGCAGAUUUAAUAGAAACAUUAGUUGAUAAUACCUUUGUUUCAAACCUUAGUGAUGACCCUUUACAAACAUGUUUAACUCAUUUUGGUUUAGAUUUUGAUAUUGACAGAUCAGUCGAUGAGGUCAACGCCCUACUUGACUCAGCACCAUCCAUGGAUACCAAUAAAUGGAAGUCAAGAGUUGAGCAACUAGCACCAUCAGGGAAGAAACUCAUCCCAUCAUUAGAAUCACCACCAAAACUCGAGCUCAAACCAUUACCCAACACUCUGGAAUAUGCAUUUUUGGGAGAAGAAAGUACUCUGCCAGUAAUCAUCUCAUCAUCCCUAAAUGACGAACAAAAAAGUAAGUUGUUGGAUGUUUUAAAAUAGCACAAAGGAGCAUUAGGAUGGACCAUAGCAGACAUAAAAGGUAUAAACCCAGUAGACUGCAUGCAUUACAUUCACCUCGAUGAAAAUGCUAAACCUACUAGGGCUCCUAAUAUGAAAAAAGUUGUUAGAACAGAAGUCCUUAAGCUAUUAGACGCAUGUAUUAUUUAUCCAAUUUCUGAUAGCUCAUGAGUCAGUCCUGUACAAGUUGUCCCUAAAAAGUCAGGAGUCACAGUAGCUACGAAUGCUGAUAAUGAAUUGAUACCCACUAGAGUGACUACAGGAUGGCGUGUAUGUAUUGAUUAUAGAAGUUAAAUUCUGUCACACGUAAAAACCAUUUUCCUUUACCAUUUAUUGAUCAAAUGCUUGAUAGAUUAGCAGACCAUGAAUUUUAUUGCUUUCUAGAUGGCUACUCAGGAUAUAAUCAGAUUACCAUAGCACCAAAAGAUCAAGAGAAUACCACUUUCACUUGCCCUUUUGGCACUUUUGCAUAUAUGAGAAUGCCAUUUAGAUUAUGUAAUGCACCUGCUACAUUUCAACGAUGCAUGUUAAGUAUUUUUUCUGAUAUGCUUGAAUGAUUUCUUGAAGUCUUUAUGGAUGACUUUUCUAUCUUUGGUGACUCGUUUGAUCAAUGUUUACAUCAUUUAACGCUAGUUAUGUAGAAAUAUAUCGAGAAUAACUUGGUCUUAAAUUGAGAGAAGUGUCAUUUUAUGAUAAAACAAUGUAUUGUUCUCGGUUACAUCAUUUCGAGCAAAGGUAUUGAGAUUGACAAAACAAAGGUGGAUCUUAUUUCUAAUCUUCCUCCAUCUAAAACAAUCAGAGAAGUAAGAUCUUUCCUUGGGCAUGCUGGUUUUUAUAGACGUUUCAUUAAAGAUUUUAGCAAAGUUUCUAGACCCUUAUGCAAUCUACUUGCUAAGGAUGUACCUUUUGUCUUUAAUGAUUCAUGUCUUGUGGCGUUUGAAAAACUAAAGCAGUUGUUGACAUCAUCACCCAUCAUUCAGCCCCCAAACUGGAGCUUACAAUUUGAACUCAUGUGUGAUGCAUCUGAUUAUGCAGUAGGAGCAGUAUUAGGACAAAGAGUUGAUCGAAUUUCCCAUGUUAUUUACUAUGCUAGUAUGACAUUGAAUAAUGCACAGUUGAACUAUCCAACUACUGAAAAAGAAAUGCUAGCAGUAGUGUUUGCAUUUGAAAAAUUUCGAUCUUAUCUCAUUGAUUGUAAAAUAAUUAUAUUCACAGAUCAUGCUGCUCUUAAAUAUCUUCUCAUAAAGAAAGAUGCAAAAGUUAGACUAAUUCGUUGGGUGUUACUUUUGCAGGAAUUUGACUUGGAAUUCAAAGAUAAGAAAAGCAUAGAAAAUGUUGUGGCAGACCAUCUCUCUCGUCUCUAUUUUGACACAAUUACAGAGCCUUUAACAUUGAAAGAGUCAUUUCCAAAUAAACAAUUAAUGAGUGUGGAAGUAUUACCUUGGUAUGCUGAUAUCGUUAAUUAUCUUAUUACAGGUCAACUUCCAGAGCAUUGGACUAAGCAAGAUAAGGCUAAAUUCUUUGUAGAAAUAAAGAAUUUCUUUUGGGAUGACCCUUAUUUGUUCAAGUAUUGUGCAAAUCAAAUUAUUAGACGAUGUGUCCCAGAAAAUGAAAUUCAGAAUAUCCUUUCAUUCUGCCAUGAACAAGCUUGUGGAGGCCAUUUCAGUACUAAGAAAACAACGACUAAAGUUUUACAAUAUGGUUUCUAUUGGCCAACUAUAUUUCGAUAUGCUUACACUUUCUGUUCUUCAUGUGAUAGGUGUCAACGAAUGGGGAGCAUUACACGAAGGAACAUGAUGCCACUAAAUCCAAUUUUAGUGGUUGAGAUUUUUUACGUAUGGGGUAUCGACUUCAUGGGACCCUUUCCCCCUUCUUUUGGCCAUCAAUACAUAUUGGUUGCUAUUGACUAUGUAUCGAAAUGGGUAAAAGCAAUUCUAUGUAGAACCAAUGGUCACAAGGUGGUGAUAGGAUUUUUGAAAAGCAACAUUGUUUCGCGCUUUGGAUUCCCUCGAGCAAUAAUCAGUGAUGGUUGUGCCCACUUUUGUAACAAAGCAUUCAAAACUCUUUUGACAAAGUAUUCAAUCACUCACAAAGUGGCAACUCUAUAUCAUUCGUAAACUAGUGGCCAAGUUGAGAUCUCUAAUCGAGAAAUAAAGCACAUAUUAGAAAAGAUGGUAAAGUCAGACAGAACAGAUUGGUCAUUAAGACUUGAUGAUGCAUUAUGGGCAUAUAGAACGGCUUUCAAGACCCCGAUUGGGAUGUCACCCUACAGGCUAGUGUAUGGAAAAGCUUGCCACCUACCUGUGGAACUAGAGCAUCGUGCAUAUUGGGCCAUCAAGAAACAACUUUGACAUGCAGCAAGCCAGCUCAGAAAGAAGAUUACAACUGGCCGAACUUGAAGAAAUUCGCAAUGAUGCAUACGAAAAUGCCAAGAUUUACAAGCAACGAAUGAAAGUCUUUCACGACAAGCAAAUUAUGAGAAAAACUUUUACUCUAGGUCAGAAAGUGCUUUUAUUUAAUUCUCGCUUGCACUUAUUCCCAGGUAAGUUACGCUCUUGAUGGUCUGACCCCUUUAUUGUUCAUACUGUUUUUCCACAUAGGGCAAUUGAAAUUAAGGACCCAAAGAACGGUGUCAUGUUUAAAGUUAAUGGUCAAAGAUUAAAGCCAUAUCUAGAGUACCAACCACAUGGAGAAGACACCGAAAUAAAUUUGAAUGACCCACCAGAUUUGAAUUGAUUUUUUUUCUUUUCGGUGAUUUGAUUUUUUUCUUUCUUUCUUUAUAUUAUUCUUUUGCUAUUUGGAAUUAUUUUUGCAUAAGUGUGUUUGUUUAACCAUUAAGUUUUUUUUUCUUAUCAUUAUUAAUCAUGAGUACUAUACUUAAACUAUUUCUCCUGAACAUUCUUAAACCACUUCAACGUGUAAAAUCUCAUCUCAAAAGACAAAUUUGAUUUUGUAAGGCACAUCGUAUUUGGGCUCUGCAACCACCAGAGUUAGUAUCCUAUGUUGAGGGUUUAGAAAGCCAACUCAAAGACAUUGAGAGAAGUGUUUACGACAUCCAGUUGGAGCUUGAGGUAAAUUCAAUAAGAGGAUGAUUUUAAUUUUCUUUGUGUGUUUUAAUUUAUUUUUUUGUUUGUGUGCUUUAGUUUGUUACCCCGGUGAAGUGACGGAUAACGGUACUCCGUGACAAUCAAGUCGGUUACUUCAGUUUUCCCAUAAUAACUGAUAUUCUGAGGCGAAUGUAUGGACAGAAAUGAAAUUCUAGCGAAGCUUCACAAGCGAUUCCCUUCACUUCCUCAGAAUGCCCUCCGUACAAUCUAUAAAGCCCGGUCCGAACGCAUGCGAUUGCUCAUGAGGAAUAACAUACCUGCUGACAUCCGUUGGUUAAUCGAGGCUAAAGUACGAUUGGCAGGUGAGUUACCUCCAAAAUUUAUUGCAUACAUGCCUGGGUGUGGUAAAGGAAAUUUUGCAAGAAAAUGACGAGCUCGAAGAAUUUCUGUUGCUUGUCAUAAGUGUACCAGAAUGAGUUGCGAUAAAAACCCAUGUUAUUUAGGAAUGGUGUCUGAUAACAGGGAAGAUAAGAUUCAAUUCAUUAGGGAUGGCUUAAAAAAGGAGUCAUUGGAUGAUAUCCUUCUAUCUCUUGAAACGCAUCCCAGUGGAUAUGUGCAAGGAGCGAUUCUCCAGUUAUGACCAUUAUUCCAGAAAGAGCAUGUAUGAUAUAGUCUCGGGAAUCUAACUAUAAAUGACCCUGUUUGCCAGUUUAUAAGAAAACUGGAUGGGAAGCACAUCCUCGACCCAUAGAGGGCGUUCAAGCCAUUUCUGGACGUAAAACCAGAGGAAGAUGUGUGCCACAGUCGCAACUACAUGUAAAUAUCCUUUUACUUCACUGUUAUUUUAUUUCACUGUUAUUUUAUCUUUUCCAUUAUUGUCUUUAAUAAUUUUAUUUUAUCAUUAUUUCUUUUUCUUUUUACUAUUUCCUUUUUUACUCGCGAUCCAUGUGCUUUACGCGGUAUUUGACACUGACAUGCCACCUCAUACACAGUUAUGACCCACUGUCACCAAGAUUCUUAAAUAUGACUUUUUUUUAAGCACUCACAAAUUAUUUUUGAGAAAUAUUCCAAUAGCAGCUAUCCCAAUAGACAAUUCAAGAACAUUUGUGUGCUUUCUGGAUUUACCUAUGGCAAACAUAAAGAGUUCAUUGAUGCAGCCAUAGAUCUUAGUUGAAGUAUAGAAGAGAGAAAAUUACACUUGGUGUAUGGAGGAGGUAACCGAGGGUUAUCAAAAUUGGUCUCAGAAGCUGCUUUUGUCAGAGGAAGCCAAGUGUUAGGCAUCAUUCCAAGAGCCCUAAACCUUUUGGGUAGUUUGUCUGACUCAUCGACUGGAGAAGAGCUAGUCGUCUCAGGUAUGCAAGAAAGAAUAACUGAAAUGCUUAAUCAUGUUGAUGUUUUUAUUUUCCUUCCAGGAGAUCUUGCAACACUAGAGGCAUUUAUCACGCUAGCAUCUUAGGCCCAUUUGCACAUUCACCAGAAACCCAUCGGUUUGUUAAAUGUCAAUAAUUUUUAUGAUGGCUUCAUCGCAUUUCUUAACCAUGCAAUAAAAAACUAUUUCAUUCCUUCCAAUGCGAAAAAGCUUUUUAUUUGUGCUCACACUGCUAAUGAGCUACUUGAUAUGUUAAAAGCUUAUAAACCGGAGCCAGACCCCUGGACCUUGUGUUGGAGCGUCCAAAUAAUGACGGUAACAGUAGCUGCAGUAAGAAGUACAAAUUAGAUUUAACUCUUCGCUUGUAAAUAUUUUCUUCUGUGUUGCACCACCCAGGUGAUGUCUUCUAAACUCUACUUCUUUCCUUUAAAACAUUGAGGACAAUGUUUUGUUCUGGUUGGGGUGAGGGAAUAGUCGACAAUUGUGGAAUUUUGGUUAAGUUUUUACUAAUUUUUUGUUGUAGAAACUAAGGUGGUGUUUGUUUUUUUAUCUGAAAUCUGAAUAGACCUGAAUGUCUGAAUCUGAAUAAUAUGUUUAUUUUUUCGUCUGAAUCUCGAAAAAUAAGUAUUAAGUUGUUUGUUUUUUUCAACUUAAAAAGUUGAAAAUAUGUACUUUUACAUUUGUAUCCUUAUUAAUUUUGAAUGUCAAAUAAAUAAUAUAUUAAAUACCACAAUAUUUUAACAUUUAUAAGUAAAACUAUAUUCAAGUGAAUACAUAAUUAUUUUAGAAUUUUAAUAUAUAAAAUACCAUAAAUUUCAAAUUUUAUCAUAUAUAAUAUAAGAAAGAAAAAAUAUGAAUAUUUUUAUAUGGGGUAAAUAUCUAUAGGUGAGUUUUGGGAUAGACAUGAAAAAUAAAUUAUAAAACAGGGAUAUUUUUUACAUUAGCAAGUAAUUGACUUAAUUCAGAUUUCUCCAUUAAGUAAAAGGCUAAAAAAAUUAGGUUAUUUUAUUAAGUCAAAAUUAUCUAAAAAGUCUCAUUAAGUUAUAAAAACAAACACCUCUAAUUAACUUAAUUAAUUAAGUUAAGUCACUUUAAGUCAUUAAGUUAAAAAAACAAACGCCACCUAACUAUUGCUAACUUUUUGUGUUGAAGAUGGCUGAAUAUGGAGUGUAGUGACUCUACAAACGCAUCUUCAUCGUUUAAAAAAAAAAAAAUUAGACAUUUUCUUUUUCUUUAUUAUGUUUUGAUAUUCAUUUUUCUUUUUCUUUUUAAUUUCUCCUUUAUAAAUAUACAUUUUCAAUUUUUUUUUUGAGUCGAAGAUGGCUGAAUAGGGAGUAUAGUGCCUCUAGAAACGCAUCUUCUCAAGUUAAAAAAAAAAUCAUUUUCGUUUUCUAUCAUUUUCUAAUUAGUUUUUCUGCAUCAUUUUCACAUUUCUGCAUGUAUAUUUUCGUUUCAUGUUUAGAAUAGGUUGGGGGGUAGGAUGUUGUUUAAAAAAAAAUUUUUUGUGAUUUGUUUUAACAUUGGAUGACAUGAUGAAUUUUAAAUUUUAGUAUUUGUAUUAUCUUUAGUCUGAAGUGAUGUUACGCUAUGUUUGCUACUCUACAUGUUGAUGUCGGAGACAAAUAUGAAUUGCUUGAAGGAAUGAACAUGUCAUAUUAGCCAAUAUCUUACAAGUUUCAUCACCUAUUUAUAUUUGAGAAAAAUGUAAAUAAAUAUUUUGUAUAGUGAAGUUAUGCCCAACAAAAGCAAACAAAAAAAAAUUGUUGUUUCAAAAAAAAGAAAAAAAUGACAAUAAUAUGUGAAAUCCACCUUGCAACUUAAAAAAAAAAAACAAAAAAAAAAUUUCUCUGCAUUUUUCUCAAACAUACACUUUGUUUUCCUUAUUUCCUUUCUUUGUUAACCAUGUCCCUAACCUACGUUACGUCCUAAUCAAAGUCCUUCUUGAUUUUAGGGAACUAUAAUAUGAAGUAGAAGCUAGUUAUAUGGGCUAAAAAGAUGUAGUGGUGCAUUAAAAAAAUAAUAAAUAAAAAGAAAUAAAUUGGGUUGACUAGUAUUUUUAUUUGACUUGAGAUCGUAUUAUUUCUAAGUUGCGGGCAUAUUUCUUUCAUCUUAGUGAGAGCAUGUGAUAUCACUUCUUUAUUAUUUUCUCUCAAUUACCAUUCAUUGGAGUGACUAUUUUUAUUGGGUUUAAUUUCUUUGUGAGAGUGUCACUACUUCUAGUGAGAUUUUGGGGUUUGACAUGUCAUUCUUGAAAGUAGCUGUGACAAAGUCUACUGGGCUGAUUCAUGUGGAUGGUUGAUGUGGGUGUGAUGUUUCUUUAGACUUGAGAUAAUGCUUAUACUUUUAUUUGAUUGUUAUCAUUAGUUUGAUUGAAUAAACAAGAGUGUUUAAAAAAAAAAAUCAUUUUGGAUUUGAAUUUUGUUUUCGCUUUAUUUGCUAGGGACUAGCAAUAAGCUGGUUGGGGGGUGUGUUGAGUGUUAGAAAAUGCAUAUUUAUAAAGGAGAAAAUCGUCAUUUUAUAUUUCACGUCUUACAAACAACGCUUACUUUUAUGUAUUUAAGCUUCUUGUAAUUUAAUUAUGUGUGUUUUAUUUUAAUUAAGUAUUUUAUGUAUUUUAGGGGCAUUAUGAUCAUUUUAUAAUAAACGAGAGAUCAGACGGCAAAACGGACAUCACUUUUGAACUCAGGACGGUCGAAAACCUUAGGAAGAGCAUAAAAGGAAAAAUAGCAUUGUUCACAUGUACGGUACUAUUCACAUGUACGGUACUAUCUACGUUACUGUUCACGACACUAUUUACAUAGACGGAUCGAUGAUGUGGCAUUGACCGAUGAUAUGGUAUUGACUGAUGAGUGUCACGAUCUUGUUGGACUAAAAUUCUUAUGCACUAUUUAUCGAUGACGUGGCAGCAUAUCAGUGGACCAAAAAUCUCGCGUACGGUACAUGCAUUAAACAGGAUUAUUUUCAACCAAACUGCGUCACUAUUCAAUCCGGGUCAAACCAUGUUACUGUUCAUCUGCGUGGCCAAACCGCGUACUGUUGACUGAUGACGUGGCGCAAUCCUGAGCGUCCAAACUGUUUUUAAUCUGAUGGCCACGAUUUACUCAAUGUAUCUAUAACAAGGGGGCCUCCUCCCCCUAAUUUGAUACCUUUGAAUCUAUUUUUGGGAUCCAUUUUCUGUAAUUCCUUCUCCAUCUUGUAUUUUCUACAUAUUUUAAUAAAUUCCCAUUUUACCCCUAGUUCAAUUAUGAGUAGCUAAUUUUCUUUCAAGCUUGGGUUGAAGGUGAAGUCUCAACAUGUGUCUUGGGCUUUAUUUAGUAAAUUUAUUUUCUCUUCCCCUCUAGUUUUUGUGGAUGUUUUGACUUCUCGUCGACAAAUAAUAAUAAUCUUGUUUAGUACCGCCUUGGUUUCACCGGCUCCCUAAUACAAGGUUAUUAUUAUUUGGCAUGAUAAACCCUUAGCAUCAUAUUGAUUAGAGCGUGGUUCAUGAGGUGUGGAUUCCCCCCUCAUGAUUUAAUUGGUAUUAAUAAGGAAUAGUUAGCCCAUGGUGCAUGUUGAUACGGAUCCAGAUACCCAAGUACGUCAAUUUAAUAGAUUUUCACUUUAAUUUCUUCUCGCCAUUUCAAUUCCAAUUUUUAGGAUAAUUUAAAUCACUUCCACCACAAAUCCAACCACCUCAUACAAAAUUAAUUCUACAUAUAAUUAAAAUCCACCUCCUUGUGGGAUCGACACUCGUCACCAUUAGUCUAUUCUAUAAUAGAUUCGUGCGCUUGCAAGUUCAAUAAAAUUUGCACAAUAGUUAGCUUAUCGAAUUAACAGCUCACUUAUCAUCUUCAAUAUUUUGCAGAUUGAUUUUAGAGAUGUGGGUUUUUUGGUCUAAAGAAGAGGAUUUGUUAGGUCAGAAACUUUGGUGUUUUCUAAAUGAAUAAGUUGUUGCUACUUUGGUUAUUGUUUAGACUUGAAUUUUUGUUUUAGAGAAUUAUUGUUAUAUUUAUUAUUUUAGAGACUAUGUUUCGACUAUAGCUAUUUUCGUUUAGGAAUAGCAAUAAGAUUAAUGUUAAGAGGUUUCGUUCUAAAUUUCUCUUGGGAUUCUUAAGUGAAUUUGGAGUGUUAUAUUUUUGGUAUCAGAGAAAAUGGUUAUAAGAUUCUGUAGACAUUUAAGGUCAAUGACCAAUAGCUUAGGAUUGAAAUCCUAUAGAGGUCUUGCACACUUUUAAGACUGUAGUGAUUUAUGAUAGGUAAAAUACAGAGCUGAUUAUAGGUAUGUCCAAAAAUUUAUUUUCAUUGAUGGAUUUGUACGAAUAAUUUCAAUGUUUCACAGUUUUGCUCUUGUUAAAGAGUUUGACUUUUAAGUUAUUGAUUUAUUCAUAUGUUUAUAGGUAUAUGAUUUUAUCUGUAAUUUGAAAAAAAAUGCAAUGUUCAAUUUUUCUACUUGUAUAUGCUUAAUGACCAACAAAAUAAUGCCUCCUAGCAAUGAUACUAGUUGAACCCUACCAUAUGAGAGUGAUAGAGUAGCUCGAGGGUAAUUGGUCCUUGGAUUAGGGUUGAUCCUGGUACUGCCUAAUGUAUUACAGUGGUGGUUGAGGUUGAGACGAGUAAUCUAUAGGGAGUAGUUAAGCAGAAAGCCCCACCCUUCAUGAAAUGGCUUAAAAUGCUAACCUGACAAUGCAGAUGUUAUUUUGAGAACGGAUUGAUUAGUAACCUAUCAUGCUAGUGUUGGGUAUUUCUCAAAGGAGAUUUUAUUUAAAAUUUUGGAGAUAUAGAAUUUCAGUUUAAAGGCAACCAAAAAAAUUAUGGGGGGCUAAUAUUUGUACUUAAGGCUAACAAGAUAUUAGCAAAAGGAUGUGAGGGCUUUUUAGCAUAUGUGGUGACCGAUAAUAAUAGUGAAGUUUGACUGAUAAUAAUAGUGAAGCUUCCCUUGGGGAUUUCAGGUGGUUGGGGAAUUUUUAGAUGUAUUUUGUUGUGCAAAUUUUAAUGAACUCGCAAGCACACGAAUCUAUUGUAGUGUAGAUCAAUGGUGACGAGUGUCGAUCCCACGAGGAGGUGGAUUUUAAUUGUGUGUAGAAUUAAUUCUGUAAAUGGGUGAUUGGAUUUGUGGUGGAAAUGAUUUUGAAUAUACUAAAACUUAAAUUAAAAUGGUGAGAAUAAAUUCUAAAAUUGGAAUUGAAAUAACGAGAAUAAAUUGAAGAGAAUUCUAUUGAAAUGACGUACUUGGGUAUCUGGAUCCGUAUCAACAUGCAUCAUGGGCUAAAUAUUCCUUAUUAAUGCCAAUUAAAUCAUGAGGGGGGAAUCCACACCUCAUGAACCACGCUCUAAUCAAUAUGGUGCUAAGGGCUUAUCGUGCCAAAUAAUAAUAACCUUAUACUAGAGAGCCGGUGUAACCAAGGCGGUAUCUAGACAAGAUCAGUAUUAUUUGUCGACGAUAAGUCAAAUCAUCCACAAAAACUAGAGGGGAAAAGAAAAUAAAUUUACCAAAUAAAGCCCAUGACACAUGUUGAGACUUCACCUUCAACCCAAGCUUGAAAGGAAAUUAGCUACUCAUAAUUGAAUUAGGGGCAAAAUGGGAAUUUAUUAAAAUACAAAGAAAAUACAAGAUGGAGAAGGAAUUACAGAAAAUGGAUCCCAAAAAUGGAUUCAGAGAUAUCAAAUUAGGGGGGGGAGGCCCCCUUUUUAUAGAUACAUGGAGUAAAUCAUGGCCAUCGGAUUAAAAACAGUUUGGACGCUCAGGAUUGCGCCACGUCAUCAGUCAACAGUCCACGGUUUGACCACGCGGAUAAACAGUAACACGGUUUGACCCGGAUGAACAGUAACACGGUUUGGUUGAAAAUAAUCCUGUGUGAUGCAUGCACCGUACGCGAGAUUUUUCGUCCACUGAUAUGCUGCCACGUCACCAUCAACAGUACAUAAGAAGUUUAGUCCAACAGGAUCGUGACACCUCAUCAGUCAAUGCCACAUCAUCGGUCAAUGCCACGUCAUCGAUCCGUCUAUGUGAACAGUGUCGUGAACAGUAACGUAGACAGUACCGUAUACGUGAAUAGUACCGUACAUGUGAAUAGUGCCAUUUUUCCUUUUAUGCUCCUCCUAAGGUUUUCGACCGUCCUGAGUUCAAAAGUGAUGUCCGUUUUGCCGUCUGAUCUCUCCUUUAUUGUGAAAUGACUAUAAUGCCCCUAAAAUAUAUAAAAUACUUAAUUAAAAUAACACACACGUAAUUACAUCACAAGAAGGUUAAAUACAUAAAAGUAAGGGUUGUUAGUAAGACUUGAAAUGUAAAAUGACGGUUUUCUCCUUUAUAAAUAUGCAUUUUCUAACACUCAACACACCCCCCAACCAGCUUAUUGCUAGUCCCUAGCAAAUAAUGCGAAAUCAAAAUUCAAAUUCAAAAUGAUUUUUUUUUUUUUUUUUAGAAACACUCGUGUUUAUUCAAUCAGAUUAAUUAUAGCAAUCAAAUAAAAGUAUAAGCAUUAUCUCCAGUCUAAAGCAACAUCACACCCACAUCAACCAUCCACAUGAAUUAGCCCAGUAGACUUUGUUAUAGCUACUUUCAAGAAUGACAUGUCAAACCCCAAAAUCUCACUGGAAGUAGUGACACUCUCACAAAGAAAUUAAAACCCAAUAAACAUAGUCACUCCAAUGAAUGGUAAUUGAGAGAGAAAAUAAUAAAGAAAUGAUAUCACAUGCUCUCACCAAGAUGAAAUAAAUAUGCCCUCAGCUUAGAAAUAAUACGAUCUCAAGUCAAAUAAAAUGUUAGUUAACCCACUUUAUUUAUCUUUUUUUUUUAUUAUUAUUAUUAUGCAUCACUACAUCUUUUUAGCCCAUAUAACUAGCUUCUACUUCAAACUAUAGUUCCCUAAAAUCAAGAAGGACUUUUAUUAGGACGUAACGUAGGCUAGGGAUAUGGCUAACAAAGAAAGGAAAUAAGGAAAACAAAGUUUAUGUUUGAGAAAAAUGCAGAAUUUUUUUUUUUUUUUUAAAGUUGCAAGGUGGAUUUCACCUAUUAUUGUUAUUUUAUUCUUUUGAAACAACAACUUUUGUUUUUUUUGUUUUUUUUUUUUUGCUUUUAUUUGGCAUAACUUCACUGAACAACAUAAUUAUUUACAUUUUCUCAAACAUAAAUAGGUGAUGGAACUUAUAAGACAUCGGGUAAUACUCCAAAUUAGAGUGGGUCAAGAUGAUAAGUUGACAAAGAAAUUUUUUUCUUCUUUUUUUUUUUUAAAGGCUCAAAAGGGGUAACUAUGGAUAUUUAAUAACAGGGAUGGCUAGAAAGGCUCAAACGGAUCAAAGAUGGCCUUUCCAUCGUUUUUUAGGGCUCUAAAUAAUUAUCCAUAUCUACUAGUUAGAUGGGCCUCCCAAUGUAGCAACACACAUUUUUUCUUUUUUUUUUUUAAUUUUACCAUUUUUUUUUAUAGGGUUAACUCAAAAGAAAUCUAGAGAUCGUGUAUAAAAUAAUAAACUGCUAAGCUGUAUAGAAAAUGGGCAAAAGGGUUACUCUCCAAGAAAAUGAUAGGCUCAACUACUCACUUGGCACUUAUUUAUGACAUGUUCAUUCCUUCAAGCAACUCAUAUUUGUCUCCGACAUCAACAUGUAAAGUAGCAAACAUAGCGUAACAUCACUUAAGGCCAAAGAUAAUACAAAUACUAAAAUUUGAAAUUAAUCAUGUCAUCCAAUGUUAAAACAAAUAACACAAUUUUUUUUGUUUUUUUUUAAACAACAUUCUACCCCCCAACCUAUUCUAAACAUGAAAGGAAAAUAUGCAUGCAGAAAUGUGAAAAUGAUGUAGAAAAAUUAAUUAGAAAAAGAAUUUUUUUUUUUUUAAACUAAGAAGAUGCGUUUCUAGAGGCACUACACUCUAUAUUCAGCCAUCUUCGACUCAAAAAUUUGAAAAUAUAUAUUUAUAAAGGAGAAAGAGGAAGAAAACGAUUUUUUUUUUUGUUUUUUUUUUGUUUUUUUUGUUUUUUAAACGAUGAAGAUGCGUUUCUAGAGUAACUACACUCCAUAUUCAGCCAUCUUCAACACAAAAUGUUAGCAACAGUUAGUUUCUACAACAAAAAAUCAGUAAAAACUUAACCAAGAUUCCACAAUUGUCGACUAUUCCCUCCCCCCAACCAGAACGAAACAUUGUCCUCAAUGUUUUAAAGGAAAGAAGUAGAGUUUAGAAGACAUCACCUGGGUGGUGCAACACAGAAGAAAAUAUUUACAGGCGGAGAGUUAAAUCUAAUUUGUACUUCUUACUGCGGCUACUGUUACCAUCAUUAUUUGGUCGCUCCAACACAAAGGUCCAGGGGUCUGGCUCCGGUUUAUAAGCUUGUAACAUAUCAAGUAGCUCAUUAGCAGUGUGAGCACAAAUAAAUAGUUUUUUCACAUUAGAAGGAAUGAAAUAGUUUUUUAUUACAUGGUUAAGAAAUGAGAUAAAGCCAUCAUAAAAGUUAUUGACAUUUAACAAACCGAUGGGUUUCUGGUGGAUGUGUAGAUGGGCCCAAGAUGCUAGUGUGAUAAGUGCCUCUAGUGUUGCAAGAUCUCCUGGAAGGAAAAUAAAAGCAUCAGCAUGAUUAAGCAUUUCAGUUAUUCUUUCUUGCAUACCUGAGACGACUAACUCUUCUCCAGUUGAUGAGUUAGACGAACUGCCCAAUGGUUUUAGGACUCUUGGGAUGAUGCCUAACACUUGACUUCCUCUGAUAAAAGCUGCUUCGGAGACCAUUUUUGAUAAUCCUCGGUUACCUCCUCCAUACACCAAGUGUAAUUUUCUCGCUGCUAUGCUUCGACCAAGAUCUAUGGCUGCCUCCACGAACUCUUUAUGUUUGUCAUAGGUAAAUCCAGAAAGCACACAAAUGUUCUUGAAUUGUCCAUUGGGAGUAGCUGCCAUUGUGAUACUUCUCAAAAACAAUUUGUGAGUGCUUGACAAAAGAUAAAUCACAUUUAAGAAUCUUGGUGACAGUGGAUCACAGCUGUGAAGGAGGUAACAUGUCAGUGUCAAAUAACGCGUAAAGCACGUGGCUCGCGAGUCAAAAAGGAAACAGUAAAAAGGAAAAAGCAAACAGUAAUAAAAUUAUUAAAGACAAUAAUACAAACGAUAAAACAACAGUAAAAUAAAACAACAGUAAAGUAAAAGGAUAUUUACAGGUAGUUGCGACUGUGGCUCACAUCUUCCUCUGGUUUUACGUCCAGAAACGGCUUGAACGCCCUCUAUGGGUCGAGGAUCGGCUUCCCAUCAAGUUUUCUUAUAAACUGACAAACAGGGUCAUUUAUAGUCAGAUUCCCGAGACUAUAUCGUGCAUGCUCUUUCUGAAAUAAUGGCCAUAAUCGGAGAAUCGCUCCUUGCACAUAUCCACUGGGAUGCGUUUCAAGAGACAAAAUGAUAUCAUCCAAUGACUCCUUAUUCAAGCCAUCCCUAAUGAAUUGAAUCUUAUCUUCCCUGUUAUCAGACACCAUUCCUAAAGAACAUGGGUUUCUAUCGCAACUCAUUCUGGCACACUUAUGACAAGCAACAGAAAUUCUUCGAGCUCGUCGUUUUCUUGCAUAAUUUCCUUUACUACAACCAGGCAUGAAUGCAAUAAAUUUUGGAGGUAACUCACCUGCCGAUCGUACUUUAGCCUCGAUUAACCAACGGAUGUCAGCAGGUAUGUUAUUCUUCAUGAGUAAUCGCAUGCGUUCGGACCGAGCUUUAUAGAUCGUAAAGAGGGCAUUCUGAGGAAGUGAAUGGAAUCGCUUGUGAAGCUUCGCUAGAAUCUCGUUUAUGUCCAUACUUUCGCCUCAGAAUGUCAGUUAUUAUGGGAAACUGAAGUAACCGACUUGAUUGUCACGGAGUACCGUUAUCCGCCACUUCACCGGGGUAACAAACUAAAGCACAAAAACAGAAAAACAAAUCAAAACACACAAAGAAAAUUAAAAUCGUCCUCUUAUUGAAUUUACCUCAAGCUCCAACUGGAUGUCGUAAACACUUCUCUCAAUGUCUCUGAGUUGGCGUUCUAAACCCUCAACAUAGGCUACUAACUCUGGUGGUUGUAGAGCCCAAAUGCGUUGUGUUUUACAAAAUUGAAUCUGCUUUUUGAGAUGAGUUUUGACACGUUGAAGUGGUUUAAGAAUGUUCAGGAGGAACGGUCUAAGUAUGGUACUCAUGAUUAACAAUGAUAAGAAAAAAAAACUUAAUGGUAAAACAAACACACUUAUGCAAAAAUAAUUUCAAUUAGCAAAAGAAUAAUAAAAAGAAAGAAAGAAAAAUCAAAUCAACAAAAAGAAAAAAUCAAUUCAAAUCUGGUGGGUCACUCAAAUUUAUUUCGGUGUCUUCUCCAUGUGGUUGGUACUCAAGAUAUGGCUUUAAUCUUUGACCAUUAACUUUAAACGUGACACCGUUCUUUGGGUCCUUAAUUUCAAUUGCCCGAUGUGGAAAAACAGUAUGAACAAUAAAGGGACCAGACCAUCGAGAGCGUAACUUACCUGGGAAUAAGUGCAAACGAGAAUUGAAUAAAAGCACUUUCUGACCUGGAGUGAACGAUUUUCUCAUAAUGUGCUUGUCAUGAAAGACUUUCAUUCGUUGCUUGUAAAUCUUGGCAUUUUCGUAUGCAUCAUUACGAAUUUCUUCAAGUUCUGCCAGUUGUAAUCUUCUUUCUGAGCUGGCUUGCUGCAUGUCAAAGUUGAAUUUCUUGAUGGCCCAAUAUGCACGAUGCUCGAGUUCCACAGGUAGGUGGCAAGCUUUUCCAUACACUAGCCUGUAGGGUGACAUCCCAAUCGGGGUCUUGAAAGCCGUUCUAUAUGCCCAUAAUGCAUCAUCAAGUCUUAAUGACCAAUCUUUUCUGUCUGGCCUCACUGUUUUUUCUAAUAUGUGCUUGAUUUCUCGAUUGGAGAUCUCAACUUGGCCACUGGUUUGCGGAUGAUACGGGGUCGCCACUUUGUGUGUGAUUGAAUACUUUGUCAAAAGAGCUUUGAAUGCUUUGUUACAAAAGUGGGCACCACCAUCACUGAUUAUCGCUCGAGAGAAUCCAAAGCGCGAAACAAUAUUGCUUUUCAAAAAUCCUAUCACCACUUUGUGAUCAUUGGUUCUGCAUGGAAUUGCUUCCACCCAUUUCGAUACGUAGUCAAUACCAACCAAUAUGUAUUGAUGGCCAAAAGAAGGGAGAAAGGGUCCCAUGAAGUCGAUACCCCAUAUGUCAAAAAUCUCAACCAUUAAAAUUGGAUUUAGUGGCAUUAUGUUCCUUCGUGUAAUGCUCCCCAUUCGUUGACACCUAUCACAUGAAGAACAGAAAGUGUAAGCAUCUCGAAAUAUAGUUGGCCAAUAGAAACCACAUUGUAAAACUUUAGUCGCUGUUUUCUUAGCACUGAAAUGGCCUCCACACGCUUGUUCAUGGCAGAAUGAAAGGAUAUUUUGAAUUUCACUUUCUGGGACACAUCACCUAACAAUUUGAUCUGCACAAUACUUGAACAAAUACGGGUCAUCCCAAAAGAAAUUCUUUAUUUCCGCAAAGAAUUUAGCCUUGUCUUGCUCGGUCCAAUGCUCUGGAAGUUUACCUGUAACAAGAUAAUUAACUAUAUCAGCAUACCAAGGUAAUACUUCCACAUUCAUUAAUUGUUCAUCUGGAAAUGACUCAUUCAAUGGUAAUGGUUCCAUAAUUGUAUCAAAAUGGAGGCGAGAGAGAUGGUCAGCUACAACAUUCUCUGUGCCUUUCUUAUCUUUGAAUUCCAAGUCAAAUUCCUGCAAAAGUAACACCCAACGAAUUAGUCUAGCUUUUGCAUAUUUCUUUGUGAGAAGAUAUUUAAGAGCAGCAUGAUCUGUGAAUAUAAUUAUUUUACAACCAAUGAGAUAAAAUCGAAAUUUCUCUAAUGCAAACACUACUGCUAGCAUUUCUUUUUCAGUAGUUGAAUAGUUCAACUGUGCAUCAUUCAAUGUCAUACUAGCAUAGUAAAUAACAUGGGGAAUUCGAUCAACUCUUUGUCCUAAUACUGCUCCUACUGCAUAAUCAGAUGCAUCACACAUGAGCUCAAAUGGUAAGCUCCAGUUUGGGGCCUGAAUGAUGGGUGAUGAUGUCAACAACUGCUUUAAUUUUUCAAAUGCCACAAGACAUGAAUCAUUAAAGAUAAAAGGUACAUCCUUAGCAAGUAGAUUGCAUAAGGGUCUAGAAACUUUGCUAAAAUCUUUAAUGAAACGUCUAUAGAAACCAGCAUGCCCAAGGAAAGAUCUUACUUCUCUGACUGUUUUGGGUGGAGGAAGAUUAGAAAUGAGAUCCACCUUGGCUUUGUCAACCUCAAUACCUUUGCUUGAAAUGAUGUGACCGAGAACAAUACCUUGUUUUACCAUAAAAUGACACUUCUCCCAAUUCAAGACUAAGUUCUUCUCGGUACAUCUCUGCAGAACUAGCGUUAGAUGAUGUAAACAUUGAUCAAACGAGUCACCAAAGACAGAAAAAUCAUCCAUAAAGACUUCAAGAAAUCGUUCAACCAUAUCAGAAAAAAUGCUCAACAUGCAUCGUUGGAAUGUAGCAGGUGCAUUACAUAAUCCAAAUGGCAUUCUCCUAUAUGCAAAAGUGCCAAAAGGGCAAGUGAAAGUAGUUUUCUCCUGAUCUUUUGGUGCUAUGGGAAUCUGAUUAUAUCCUGAGUAGCCAUCUAGAAAGCAAUAAAAUUUAUGGCCUGCUAAUCUAUCAAGCAUUUGAUCAAUAAAUGGUAAAGGAAAAUGGUCUUUACGUGUGACAGAAUUCAACUUUCUAUAAUCAAUGCAUACACGCCAUCCUGUAGUUACUCUAGUUGGUAUCAAUUCAUUAUCAGCAUUGGUAACUACUGUGACUCCUGACUUUUUGGGGACAACUUGUACAGGACUGACCCAUGAACUAUCAGAAAUUGGGUAAAUGAUACCUGCGUCUAAUAGCUUAAGGACUUCUGUUCUAACAACUUCUUUCAUAUUAGGAUUUAACCGACGUUGCAUUUCCCUAGUAGAUUUAGCAUUUUCAUCAAGGUGAAUGUAAUGCAUGCAGUCUACUAGGUUUAUACCCUUUAUAUCUACUAUGGUCCAUCCUAAUGCUCCUUUGUGCUCUUUUAAAACAUCCAACAACUUACCUUUUUGUUCGUCAUUUAGGGAUGAUGAGAUGAUUACCGGCAGAGUACUUUCUUCUCCCAAAAAUGCAUAUUCCAAUGUGUUGGGCAAUGGUUUGAGCUCGAGUUUCGGUGGUGAUUCUGAUGAUGGGAUGAGUUUCUUUUCUGAUGGUGCUAGUUGUUCAACUCUUGACUUCCAUUUAUUAGUGUCCAUGGAUGGUGCUGAGUCAAGUAGAGCAUUGACCUCAUUGACCGAUCUGUCAAUAUCAAAAUCCAAACCAAAGUGAGUUAAGCAUGUCUAUAAAGGGUCAUCACUAAGGUUUGAAAUAAAAGUAUUAUCGACUAUUGUUUCUAUUAAAUCCACAUCAACAAUUCUAUCAUCUGCACUGUGAGGUUGUUUGGCAAUGUUGAAGAUGUUCAGCUCCAUAGUCAUGUUGCCAAAGGACAACUGCAUAUUUUCGGUCCUACAUUGAAUAUGAGCAUCUGCAGUUGCCAAGAAAGGUCGGCCUAGAAUAAUUGGGAUGUGCUUCCUUGAGUCCUGUAUUGGUUGAGUGUCAAUUACAAUGAAAUCAACAGGAAAAUAAAACUUGUCUACCUGGAUAAGCACGUCCUCCACAAUACCACGAGGUAUUUUCGUGGACCGAUCUGCAAGCUGUAACACCACUGGAGUUGGGUGUAAUUCUCCCAGUCCAAGUUUCACAAAUACUGAAUAAGGCAACAAAUUUACACUAGCUCCUAAAUCCAACAAAGCAUUCUCAAUUGUGUGGUUCCCUAUACUACAUGUGAUAGUGGGGGAGCCUGGGUCUUUGCAUUUUAAAGGAAUUUUAUGUUGGAGUAUAGAACUAACGUUUUCUGUUAAAAAUGCCUUCUUUUGAACAUGCAUAUUUCUCUUUUUAGUACAAAGGUCUUUAAGAAACUUGGCAUAAGAUGGAACUUGUUUAAUAGCAUCAAGUAAAGGGAUGUUAACACUUACCUAUUUGAAGAUUUCGAGAAUCUCACCUGUGGAUUUUCCCUUAUUUCCUUUCGCUAACCUCUGAGGAAAUGGAGCUUUAGGAACAUAUUCUCGUGGGUUGGUUUCUUCUUUUUCCUCCGGUGGUGAGUCCUCAACAUUCACAGGUACAAUUUGAUUUUCUUUUGUCACCGGCAUCUCCACUUUGUUGUCGACUUCCUUUCCUUUUCGCAAGGUCAUGACUGCUUUGACCUCUCCAUGCUGUUGUGGUGAACUGGUACUUGCUUCAUGUACUCCUUUAGGAUUAGGCACUGGUUGACUUGGAAAUUUACCUUUCUCAACAGUAAUUGCCAAGGUCUGAACUGAAGAAGCAAGUUGUCCCACCAUCUUCUCGAGGCUUGAAACUGAUUGGGCUUGUGAGUUGAAGCCCGCUCUCAACUCAUUUCGUAGUCCAUCAAUGGUGCGAUUCUGUUGCUCAAUCGUGGAGUGAGUAAGAUUCUUGAGAUCCUGGAAUGAAUCCUCCCAUGGUCUGGGUUGAGAGUAGUUCUGGUUCUGAUUGAAUGGUCUAAAUGGGGGCUGAGAGGCUUGAGGAACUUGAGGAAUUUGUGGAGCUGGAGCUGCUGGUCCAUUCUGUUGGAAUCCUUGAGACCAUGAAAAAUUGGGGUGGUCUCUCCAUCCAGGGUUAUAUGUGUUGGAGUAUGGGUUGUAAUUAGAUGGCUUCCUCAUUACACCUAUGGCAUUGGCUUGAUCGGAGUAUGAGUCAUGGUCAUGUGGUUCUGUUGAUUUAGCAGUCGAUAACGAUGCUAUUUGUCGAGAGAGACCUUCUAUUAUUGCUUUGACUUCUUUGAUUUCUGAAUUUGACUCGCCAAUUUGAACCUCAUUUACUCCCUUAAUUCUUCUAGUAUUCCUGAGUGAUCGACUCCGUUGUUGGGAAUUAUCCGCUUGUCGCUGGAAGAAUUCCCAAAUCUCUGAUGCACUUUUUGACAUUAGCUCUCCUCCACUUGUUGCCAUUAGCCAUUCUUGCACAUUCGGCAAUAAUCCCUCCAAAAAGUAUUGGCAUUGGUGCCAUUUCUCGUACCCAUGAUGUGGACACUUCAAGAGUAGCCCAUUGAAUCGCUCCCAUGUUUCGAAAAACUGCUCGUCCUCUCUUUGGGUAAACUCCGAGAUUUCCCUGCGAAUAGCAUUGGUUUUAUGCACUGGGAAAUAUUUAUUCAAAAAUUUUGUAACCAUUUGUUCCCAUGAUGCAAUGCUAUUAGCAGGCAAUGUAUUAAGCCAUGAACGAGCUCUAUCCUUUAAAGAAAAUGAGAAUCAUCUAAGUUUAACAUCAUCGUCUGAAAAAUUUUCAUAUUUAAAAGUUUGACAAAUUGCAUGAAAAUCAUUCAGAUGAUUAUAUGGGUCCUCAUUUUCUAAGCCAUAGAAUGUGGGGAGACAAUUUAGCACACUAGGUUUUAAUUCAAAACUCCUAGCAGCUACAUUUGGGUAUCUAAUACAUGAUGUGCUCAAAUUAGCUAAGGGACUAAAAUAAUCCUUAAAUGGCCUCUCCUAUGGUGCUUGUAAAUCCAUUUCAAAUUUAUUUUUAACGUUCUUGUGUGUGCGAAGUGUUUUCUCAAGUUCAAGGUCUGUAGGUUCAAGAUUAGGUAAUAAUGACCUACGACCAUACAUGCAAAAUAAAUAAAAUAAAAAUAAAGAUGGAACAAAACAAAUAAAAAUAAAGAAGAGAGAGAAAUUACAAUACUAACCUUAUUGCGCUAUUACAACCUUACUAUAAAAAUACACACAAAAACAAAAAAUACGUGAAAUAAAUUAACUAAAAAAAAUUAGUAAGAUAAACAAAAAUUACAAAGAAAGAAAAAAAAAAUAAAUUGAAAAUUAAAUUACAGAAUUUUAAAGAAGAGAAAAAGAAAAGAAAUACUAACCUUUAAAUGUAGAUUUACUUUUUUUUUUUUUUAAAGAACAAAAAAAAAAUACAAGAAAACAAUUAAAUGAAAUUAUUCACAAAAAUUAAAUCUAUGAAUUAAAAUUACUUACCUCCCCGGCAACGGCGCCAAAAACUUGUUGUGUAAAUUUUAAUGAACUCGCAAGCGCACGAAUCUAUUGUAGUGUAGAUCAAUGGUGACGAAUGUCGAUCCCACGAGGAGGUGGAUUUUAAUUGUGUGUAGAAUUAAUUCUGUAAAUGGGUGAUUGGAUUUGUGGUGGAAAUGAUUUGGAAUAUACUAAAACUUAAAUUAAAAUGGCGAGAAUAAAUUCUAAAAUUGGAAUUGAAAUAGCGAGAAUAAAUUGAAGAGAAUUCUAUUGAAAUGACGUACUUGGGUAUCUGGAUCCGUAUCAACAUGCAUCAUGGGCUAAAUAUUCCUUAUUAAUGCCAAUUAAAUCAUGAGGGGGGAAUCCACACCUCAUGAACCACGCUCUAAUCAAUAUGGUGCUAAGGGCUUAUCGUGCCAAAUAAUAAUAACCUUAUACUAGAGAGCCGGUGUAACCAAGGCGGUAUCUAGACAAGAUCAGUAUUAUUUGUCGACGAUAAGUCAAAUCAUCCACAAAAACUAGAGGGGAAAAGAAAAUAAAUUUACCAAAUAAAGCCCAUGACACAUGUUGAGACUUCACCUUCAACCCAAGCUUGAAAGGAAAUUAGCUACUCAUAAUUGAAUUAGGGGCAAAAUGGGAAUUUAUUAAAAUACAAAGAAAAUACAAGAUGGAGAGGGAAUUACAGAAAAUGGAUCCCAAAAAUGGAUUCAGAGAUAUCAAAUUAGGGGGGGGGAGGCCCCCUUUUUAUAGAUACAUGGAGUAAAUCAUGGCCAUCGGAUUAAAAACAGUUUGGACGCUCAGGAUUGCGCCACGUCAUCAGUCAACAGUCCACGGUUUGACCACGUGGAUGAACAGUAACACGGUUUGACCUGGAUGAACAGUAACACGAUUUGGUUGAAAAUAAUCCUGUGUGAUGCAUGCACCGUACGCGAGAUUUUUCGUCCACUGAUAUGUUGCCACGUCACCAUCAACAGUACAUAAGAAGUUUAGUCCAACAGGAUCGUGACACCUCAUCAGUCAAUGCCACAUCAUCAGUCAAUGCCACGUCAUCGAUCCGUCUAUGUGAACAGUGUCGUGAACAGUAACGUAGACAGUACCGUAUACGUGAAUAGUACCGUAUACGUGAAUAGUACCGUACAUGUGAAUAGUGCCAUUUUUCUUUUUAUGCUCCUCCUAAGGUUUUCGACCGUCCUGAGUUCAAAAGUGAUGUCCGUUUUGCCGUCUGAUCUCUCCUUUAUUGUGAAAUGACUAUAAUGCCCCUAAAAUACAUAAAAUACUUAAUUAAAAUAACACACACGUAAUUACAUCACAAGAAGGUUAAAUACAUAAAAGUAAGGGUUGUUAGUAAGACUUGAAAUGUAAAAUGACGGUUUUCUCCUUUAUAAAUAUGCAUUUUCUAACACUCAACAUAUUUCCUGAGGAUUUGCCUAGUUUGCCUUCUGAUCAAGAAAUUGAAUUUUCUAUUAAUUUAUUGUUUGGCACUACACGUAUCUCCAAAGCACCUUACCAUAUGGCACCUCUUGAGUUGAAUGAAUUAAAGGUUCAACUACAGGAGCUUCUUCGUAAAGUUUUUAUUCGCCCUAGUUUAUCUCUUUUCAGAGCUCCAAUAUUGUUUAUAAAAAAGAAAGAUGGUUAUAUUGUUAGCCUAUGUGGCUAUAGAAUGUUGAUUUUGAUGAUAAUAAACCACAUGUUUUGGCUAAACAAAGAAUUAAACAUUUUUCUUUUAUAAAAAGAGAAUGAUUUUAUGAAAUUAGUUAUUUUUCAAGAUGUGGACUAAAAUAAAAAAAUUUUGUCAUCUUUGAUUUUAAUAAGUAUUGUUUUGAACUCUAGAUUUUGAUCUAUUUGCAAAUAUUUGAAACAUUUUGCACUAUACUAUAAUUUCUAUAAAUUUUGGGUUGUAUCAUAAUUUCAGUAAAUUUUAAAAUUGGACCUUUUUACAAAUUUUAUGACAUUUUAGGCUAUAGUAUAAUUUUAUAAAGUUUUAGGGUAAAACUAUAAUUUUAGAAAAUAAUUGUUUUACUUUAGCAAGCAGUUAGCCGGAUUUAUCAAGCGGCAAACCGGUUAUGGAUAGAAGCUCUCUGGAAUAAAAGCGGCCUACCGGAAAUGAAAAGUGGCAUGUUGGAUGUGCAAAAUUUCAAAUCUUUGAACAUAACGGUAACAUAAAACAGCAAGCUGGAUUCACAAAGCGGCAAGCUGGUUAUCACCAGAAAGUCUAUAACAACUAGUUUUUGGGCUGAAACUAUAUAAAUUCAAAUUCAAUUCAUAUUUAGAACCUUUUGCAAGCCAAAAAAAAAAAAGUAUAUAACAUAUAUUGAGCUUCCAUUUCGUUAAUCAUUUUAGAUUAAAUCUUCAUUGAGCUUUUAUUUAUAUAUUCGCUCUAAAAAGAGUUUUUAUUGCAAUCUUUAUUUUCUCAUCAAAUUUGUGAGUGUAUAAGUGUGAGAAACACUUGGGGUGAAGAGAUUGAGAGAUAAUCUCUUUGUUAUAAAGGUCUAUUAACACUUUGAAAGUCAAUUGUAAGCAUUUAAUACCUUGGGAGGUUUGGAUAGUGAAAUCCUCAAACUUGAUUUGCUUGGAGGCGUGGACAAAGGCGGAGAUUACCUAACAACAUAAAAAUUAUUGUGUUGCUCUCUCUUCUCUUACUCUUUUAUUAUUGUGCUUUAUUAAUUUAUUGUUUUUGAUUUCAUUGUGCGAUUUGUUUAGCUUAAGUUUUAAAAUCUCAAUUCACCCCCCUCUUGGAUUGCAUAACUAGCAUUUCAUCUAUGUGGUUAUGCAAUGGUUAGCGACAAUUGAAUUUGGUUUCCAUUUAGAACAAAUAUUCAUUUCUUCACAUUGAUGAUCUUUUUGAUCAACUAGUAGGUGCAACAGUAUUCUCUAAAAUGUAUUUAUGGUCUAGGUAUCAUCAGCUGAAAGUGAAAAAUGAGGAUGUGUUACACCGUUUCGAACAUGAUAUAGGCAUUAUGAAUUCCUUAUGAUGCCUUUUGAUUAACCAAUGCUCCAACAGCUUUUAUGGACUUGAUGAAUAGAGUUUUCUGACCUUUCAUUAAUUGAUUUGUCAUUGUUUUUAUCGAUGACAUUUUGAUGUACUCUAAAACCAUGGAGGAACAUGAGGAACAUUUAAAGGUGGUUUUUCAAACACUCUAAGAAGGGAAACUCUAUACGAAGUUCAAGAAGUGUGAGUUUUGGCUCAACCAAAACUCUUUACGAAGUUCAAGAAGUAUGAGUUUUCUGGGUCAUGUUGUUACUAAGAAGGGCAUAUUUGUUGAUUCAUCUAAGGUUAAGGUCAUUGUAAAUUGAACAAAACCAUUUAAUGUUAUUAUGAUUAGAAGCUUUCUGGGUUUGGGUGGCUGUUACUGGCGAUUCGUGAAUGGAUUCUCUAGUCUUACAACUCCAUUAUUAAAGUUGACUAGGAAGAACAUCAAGAUUGAAUGGAGUGACGAAUGCUAAAAGAGCUUCGAAGAAUUAAAGAAUAAAUUAGUUUCUAUUCCUAUUUUGACAAUUCCUUCUAAUGGUGGUGGCUAUGUCAUUUAUAGUGAUGCUUCUAGAAAGGGACUAGGAUACGUAUUAAUGCAGCAUGGUUAGGUAGUUUUGUAUUCAUCUUGACACUUAAAGAUUUAUGUGCUUAUUGCACUCACGACUCUAGUUAGUAGUUGUAGUCUUUACCUUAGCGAUAGAAGACAUUAUCUUUAUUGUGAAACUUGCGAAAUCUAUACAAAUCACAAGAGUUUGAAAUACUUCUUCACCCAUAAAGAAUUAAACUUGAGGCAAAAGGGAUGGUUAGAUAUGGUGAAAGAUUAUAAUUGUUUGAUUAAUUAUCAUCUUGGUAAGGCGAAUGUAGUGGCUAAUGCUCUUAGUAGAAAGUGAUCGGGUUACUCGGCAUGUAUGAUUACUAAUCAAGGUCACAUACUAGAGGAUUUGAAGAAAUAUUGAAGUUGUUUUACAUGGGCAAACUGAGGUUUUAUCUCAUUUGAAGGUUCAACCUACCUUGAUUGAUAGGAGAAGGCCACAUAUAGUGAGGAUCCACAAUUUAAAAAAAAAAAAAAGUUCGAGGAGUGAAGGCUAGACAUUUUGAGUCCAGACUUGAUAAGAAUGGUAUUUUGUUAUUUGGAUAGAGACUUUGUGUACCAAUAAAGGAUGAGUUGAAAAGAGAUAUUAUGCAAGAGGGCCAUGACUCAAGUUUUAAUGUUCAUCUCGGAAGCACUAAAAUGUGUCGAAACUUGAAGAAAAUUUUUUUUGGUGGAGGAAUAUGAAGGGUGAUAUUGCUUAUUAUGUUUUGAAAUGCUUGGUAUGUCAGCAAGUGAAGAUAGAGCAUUGAUAGGCUUGGCAAUUUAGCCUGACCCUAUUUUUGGCCCGACUGACCCGACCCUAAUUUUUAGGGCUUUGACCUGAAUUUUUGUGUUUCGGAUUAGGUUCGGGCCAAAAUUUUAAGGCCUGAUCAAAUUUCGGGUUAGGGUCGGGCUUAAAGCCGACCCGAACCUAUUUAAAAAAAAUGCUAACACAAGUUAACACACACAUACAUCACAACAUCACACACACAGACAACACAUAUCUCAUUUGCAUCACACACGCACACAACACAUAUGACAUAUCACACACGCACACUUCACUCUAAACCAUAAAUCACACACACCACAUACACUUACACAAAUUCACAAAAACCCUAAGUCAGCCACUCAGCCACCGUCCUAUCAGCCAACAUCGUGACCGUUCACCAAUCGCAAUCAGCUACACGACGCCACGAGGUGAACCAGCCACCCUUUGUCGUCGUCCUGCCGCGUCCGCCUGCCAGCCAAUGGCCAACGCACAUGUUCAACUACCAUGCACACAUUCUGCCGUCGGCAUUAGCUAUUUAGCUUUGGUAAUUUUAAUUUCAUAAAUAUUAAUUAAUGUUUUUCAUUUAAGCUUAUAAUUGAAUCUAUAAUUUAAUAAUUUUAGCUAAAUAUAUUCAUGUUAAUUAAUUAAUUAUGUAGUUGCUAUAAAUAUUAUAUUGUGGCUACAUAUAAGGCUAUAUACAAGGUUUUUUUAAUUAUUAUGUUAUGAUUGUAAAUUAACUUUAAUUAUAUCUUAAGUUUAUAAUUUCAUAAAUAUUAAUUAAUUUUUUUUCAUUUAAGCUUAUAAAUUUAUUUAUAAUUUUAGCUAAUUAUAUUCAUAAUGAUUAUGUAGUUACUAUAAAUAUUAUAUUUUAGCUAAAUAUAGCCUUAUAUAAGAUUGUAAGUAUUAAUUAUUAUGUUGUAAUUGUAAAUUAAUUUUAAUCAUAUUUUGAGUUUAUAAAUUAACUUAAAAUUUAUAAGUUCAAUCAUAUUUUAAGUCUAUAAAUUAAUUGCAACUUGUUACACAUUUAAUUUAGGUCAUUAUGUCAAAUUCACGUGAGGAUUCUCAUGUUGGCGAAGAGAAUAGAAAUGAUGGCCUUCCUCUUGAAGGGGUCCAGGAAGUAAAGAGGCAUUCUGUGGUGAUAAUGGGGUACAGCAAAGUAGUAAUUAAAAAAAGCGAGGUGUGGGAGAACCUUCUUAUGUUUGGUGACACUUCAUCAAGGUAACCAUUAAUGGUGAAUUGAAGGUGAAAUGUAAUCAUUGUCAAGCUAAGUUGGUAGCAUCUUGUCAUAAUGAAACCUCACAUUCGAAUAGACAUUUAAAAAUAUCAUGUAAGGCAAAGGGUGUUCCCUCAGUUCUUGAUAGCUUACAAAAUAACUCUUAGCGUGACGAGGAAAGAUGAUGGAACAAGUUGUAUUGAGACGAGAGAAUUUGAUCCAAUUGUUGCUCGACAAAAGAUAGCAACCUUGGUUGUAAAGCAUGAGCUACCACUUAAUUUUGUGGAAUAUGAGGCAUUUAGGGAUUUGAUGUCUUAUGUCAACCCUUUGGUGAAGAAUUUGAGUAGAAACAUUUUAAAGAGUGAGAUUUUUAAAUUGUAUCAAGCUGAAAAGGCAAAAGCAAUGGCUUUGUUGGAGAAUAAUGAUAGUAGGGUGGCAAUUACCACAAACAUGUGGACUGCGAGUAAUAAAAAGAAGGGGUACAUAGUUGAUACAAGACAUUUUUUGGACAAGUCUUGGCGAUUACAAAGUCGAAUUUUAAGGUACUUUUUUUAUUAAUUGAUAUUUAUUUUAAUUCAAUUUAAUUAAUUCUAAAAUUUAGAUUUUUGGUGAUGAAUAGGUUCAUAUAUUAGCAAAGUCGAUAUUAUGUUUACUUAUUUCUAGUUCAAUUUAAUUAAUUCUAAAAUUUAGUUUUUUUGGUAAUGAAUAGGUUCAUAUAUUUGCCGGCUCCACAUUCUGUUGAAUUUAUUUCUGAAGCAUUUUUUAAAUCUAUGUUGGAUUAAAAUUAGAUAGAAGGAUAUCGGUUGUAACUUUAGAUAAUUGCUCUACCAAUGAUGCUAUGGUUGAUAGGUUGAUGGAAUUGAUUCCAGUUGAUUCUAUGUUAAUGGGUAGGGAGUUUUUUCAUAUCAGGUGUAUGGCUCAUAUUUUAAACCUAAUUGUGAAGGAGGGGAUGAAAGUGAUUGAGGAGUGGAUUAAAAAGAUUAGAGAUAGUGUGGCUUAUUGGACGGGCACACCAAAGAGGGUAGAAACUUUUGAAAUGGUUGCGCGGCAAUUACAAGUUAAGUGUGAGAAAAUUUUGGUACUUGAUUGUGUAAUUAGAUGGAAUUCUACAUAUGUUAUGCUUGAUGUUGCUGUGAAAUAUAAAACAAUCUUUUCUAGACUGCAACAGCGCAACAAACACUACACCUCUUUGCCAACAGAUGAGGAAUGGGAGAUGGCUGAAAAGAUGUUGGAAUAUUUACUGCUGUUUUACUCUAUGACAAAGUUAUUUUCAGGUAUGCAAUAUCCCACACCUAAUCUUUUUUUUCCAAUGAUAUGUGAAAUGAAGAUUAAUUUGGAUGAAUGGGAACUUUCUGAUGUGCCUAUGGUUAGAUAAAUGGCUGGUCAAAUUAUUAUGAAAUUUGAUAAAUAUUGGGCCCAAAUUCAUGGGAUUUUGGUGAUGGCGGUUAUUCUUGAUCCGAUGUUUAAGAUGCAAUUGGUUAAUUAUUAUUUUCCACAACUUUAUGGUGAGGGUGCUACAAAUGAGAUUCAAAGGGUACGUAAUUUAAGUAACGAUUUGGUUAAGUUUUAUGAAGGUAAGAAUGGGAAUGUGAGUGAUAUGAUUGUUGGUAAAUCUUUUUUGGUCGAUGUUCAUUUUAAUUUUACUGUAGGAACUGGCUGUAAAUAUUUUGAUAUAAGUAAGUUUGAGGCAUUGGCAAGCCAAAAUAGUGAGACUAUGGUAUCGAAGUCUAACUUUAAGAGGUACUUAGAAGAGCUUUUAAUCAAAUCCACUAUGAACUUUGAUUUUCUAAAUUAGUGGAAGGUGACCAAGGCAAAUACUCUAUUUUGGCUCAAAUGGCCAAGGAUAUCUUAGUCGUUCCCGUGACAACCAUUGCCCCUGAAUCUGCGUUUAGCACUAGAGUUAGGGUCCUGACUCCACAUCAGAGUAGACUUCAUCCUAUGAUAUUGGAAGCGCUUAUGUGCACUCAACAUUGGCUAUGGGCAAACUCCAAAGGUAUGAAUACAAAUAAUGGACAAAAUAUUUAAAUAAUUGGUUUAGUAAUAAUUUUAUAAACUUAAAUUAUUUUCUCACUUUUUUUUUACAGGUAAAAUUCUCGAAAGCGAAAUUUUUAGUGGAGAGGAAUUUGUGGAUGAAGAUGAAAGUGGCCCGCAAGUGUUGAAGUAGUUCUUUUUAAAAAAAAAAAAUGUUUGGUUGUGGAAUUGAAUUAUGAGUUUUUAUUUGUAUAAGACAUGUUUUUUUUUAAUGUUGGGUUUUGGAACUAAAUUGUAUGUUUUUAUUUGUAUAAGACAUGAGUUUUUUCUUUUUGAUUUUUUUAUGUUGGUUUUCAAAUUGAAUUGUGUAUGGCUAAUAUGGUUGUGGAAUUACAUUGUGUGUUUUUCAUAUUGGAUUUUGGAAUUGAUUUGUGUGUGGCGUUGAAAUGGUUGUGGAAUUAAAUUGUGUUUGAAAUGGUUGAGAAAUUGCUGAAUUGGUUGAAAUGGUUGUGGGAAUUGAAUUGUGGGGUUAACUAUUUCGGUAGGGUCGAGUUGGGUCUAACCCAACCCUAACUAUAAAGUGUUUGGGUUUUUUUAGGGUCGGGUUUCAAAUUGUUUUUUAUCUGGUCGGGUUGGACUUGGCCAAGCCCGAACCCGAGCCCGACCCGAACUUUUGCCAUUCCUAAGCAUUAAAGACCUGCUGGGUAUAGCACAAAGUAGGCAGAAGAUUUAUGCUGAUCAAUUUAGACGUGAUCUAGAGUUCCAAGUUGAGGAUUAUGUUUUCUUGAAAGUAUCAUCUUGGAAAGGAGUUUUCCAUUUUAGGAAGAGAGGUAAACUUAGCCUUAGGUUUAUUAGGCCUCUUGAGAUUCUGAAGAGAAUCGGCACAAUGACAUAUUGAGUGGCUUUGCCAUCGAGCCUUUCAAGACUUCACGAUGUAUUUCAUGUGUCAAUGUUCAAAAAGUACAUGGCUGAUUCUUCUCAUAGCUUGGAUUACUUACCUAUCCAAAUCUCGAAUGAUAUGUCAUAUGAGGAGCAUCCAUUGGAGAUCCUGGACAGGAAGAAACAAGUUUUAAGGAGACAAAUAAUGCGUUUAGUGAAUGUUUACUGGGCGAAUCAUUCUAUAGAGGAAGCUACAUGAGAAUAAGAGGCAGAGAUUAUGGAGAACUACCAUCAACAUUUUGAGAAAUAAGGUAGAGUUUUAAAUUUCGAAGAAGAAAUUUCUUUUAAGGGGGGAGAAAUUGUAACAUCCAUUAUUUUUGUUUAUUAUUAUUAUUAUUAUUAUUAUUAUUAUUAUUAUUAUUAUUAUUAUUAUUAUUAUUAUUAUUAUUAUUAUUAUAUAUAUAUAUAUAUAUAUCUAUCUAUUUUAUAGAAUAUAGUAUUUUAGGCUGAGGAUUUUAAGAGUGUUUUAAUUUAUCUUUAUUUAUUUGUAUUUGCUUGAUUUACCAAUCUAUCAAAUACCUUAUUAAAAAAGGAAAUAAAUUCCUUAAUUGGUAAGGGUAUUAAAAGGCUUGGUUUUAUAAAAACAAAAACAAAAACUCCUCUUACUUGCUUUGUUUCUCAAAAUCCUAGAGGCUAAUAAAAAAGAAAAAAAAAAGAAUAACACACACAAGAAUAAACUUACGUUUUUUUAAAAAAAAAAGAGGAGAAGAUUUUGAUUGUAUUUUUCUUUUUCUAUAAAAGAAGUUAUUGAGUUUUGAUUCUUUUGAAGGUAGGUAAGAAUUUAUAAUCCCUUAAACUUGUUGUUUGAUUUUGAUUUUAUGUGAUUGAUUGAAUGAUUUUAUGUGUGUUAUAUUGAUAAAAUUAUGAAAUCAUAAUCAUAUAUUGAUUUAUGUUGUUAUUAAGUGAAAGUAGUGCUAUUAUGUUAUCCUGAAAAUUUCAAAUAGUAUAGAUUUAAUGUUAUACUACUUCCAUUUUCAAUAAGUUUCAUGCAUAAAACUCUACAAUUUAUUAAAGUAGACAUCUUUAUCUUUCUAUCUGUAUGUUUAUCGUUAAAAAACGCAUUGUAUAUUAAUUGUUUUGAUUUUUUGAAAUUGGAACACUAGUACUAGAAAAUUCUGAUUUUCAGCAGCAAUUCUCACUUCUAUAAUUUAGCGGAUAACUCAAAUGACCUCUGAAAAUUCUGAGAAUUUUUAUUAUUGUACGUAUAUAUGUUUAUUUCUGUAUAUUUAAAUUCAUAAUUUUUAGCUUUAUAUAAAAAUCAUUAAUAAUCAUAGAGUUGGGCUGCCGUAAUCCUGGAAAUUGCUUUCUAGAAUUGCGAGGGUUGAUAUUUAUGCAAGUUUGGGUUACUUUUUCAUCAGUAAAUGCCUUACAAAAUUUAAUUCUUAUUCUUUAACUCUAAUCAUCAAAUCUUAAAUCACUAUUUUGACUAUGUAUGACUAGUUAUGAAUUUUUAAAUCGGCAGUCCUCUGUUUUUUUUACCACUGGACAAUUUUGAUGUUUUUGCAAAAAAUCAGUUUUCAGAGAUGUUCAUGAACUCUAAUUAAUCUAGUUAACUUUUAUAUGAAAUGACAACAUGUUCACAGUAGUUUUUUUGGUAGUAUUUGUGAUUUUUCUGACAUAACUAUAGCUUGUUAGAAAUCAGCUAUAAGAUAGUCUACUGUAGUUUAGUGAAUUGAUUUGUUUAAAUAAGAGUAAAUUGUUUAAGGAUUUUUGGGUUUUCUCAUCAAGGUUAGAAUUGAAAAAAAAAAUAUUGAUAAGAAUCUUAUCUUGAUAAUUAUAGGUCAAGAGUGGGCUUGUGUGAUUGGUAUUAUUAUUGAUUACUUCGAAUCGAAGUAAGUAAAUUCAAGCAUAAUGUUUAUUAUGGUUAUAUAUGUAAAUAUCUAUGAAAAGGAUGAUGUUGUUAAUAUGGAUUGUCAUUUUAUAGUUUUGAAGUUAUUUUACUCUUCUACUUUAUAAUAAUAAAUUAUAUUUUGAUCAAAACUUUAUUUAAAAUUUUUUCUUAAAUUGUUUUAAAAAUGACUUUAAAAUAAUUGUCUUGCCAUAAAUUGUUUUCGUUAAAAAUAUUUGUAAAACUCUUCCAAUUCAAUGUCUUAUAAGAGCAUUUCAUCAAAAUAUUACUGAAUGAUUGAUAUUGAAAGACUGAAAACAAUAUUUAAGGUCUUGGCUCUUUGUCUGUAGUUAUCAUUAUUGAUAUAACUGAACAACUAGCUGUUUUGUGCGUAUGCAUUGACGAUUAUACAGGGUAACGUACUCUAAUUGAACUACUGACCGAGUCAUCAAGGUUACAGGUGAUUUAUUGAACUACUGAUUGGAUCGUCAGGGUCAUAGGUGACUUACUGAACUAUUGGUCAGGUUACUGGGAGUACAUGUGACGCUAUAUGACAUGAGUAAUUGAAAAAAUGAAAUGUUUUAUUGAUAAAUGAUUUCCUAAAUGAUUGUUUAUUUAAAAUGAUUAUUGCAUUAUGACUUAACUGAUUAUUUGUUUUACCAUAUAUAUGUAUUAGAUUAUAAAAUAUUUACUGGUUUCUAACUUAUGGUACUUCAUAGUGAUUAUUAUGUAUUUUAUCGUUAUUAGUAACAUUAUGCAUAAUCUUACUUAUCAAGUUGACAACUCAUCACUCGUCUCCAACAUUUUUCAAAUUAAUUUUAAAGAUGUGGACUUUUUGGUCUAGAGAAGAAGAUUUGUUAGCUGAGAAACUUUAGCGUUUUCUAGAUGAAUAAAUUGUUUUUACUUUGGUUAUUAUUUAGAGCUAAAUUUUUGUUUUGGAGGAUUAUUAUUAUAUUUAUAAUUUUAGAUACAAUUUUUCGAAUAUUACUAUUUUCUUUUAGAAAUAACAAUAAGAUUAAUGUUAUGAGGUUUCAUUCCAAAUUUCUCUAAAGACUCUUGGGUGAAUUUAGGGUGUUAUAGAUUCAAUCUAAACUUGUCUCCUUUAGCCACAGGAGAAUCACUUAGGUUUGCAAUCUUACAUGCAAUAUCACUUGAGAACUUUUUCGAUAUAACUCUUUUGUGAUAGUCCUAAAAUACCAUGGGAGGUCUUAGUGUAUCGGUAUGCCUAGUAAAAAAGAGGCGUCAUCAAGAUCUUUUAUCUCAAAAUUCUUAGCUAAAAAUCUCUUGGUGUCGUAUAGUAAGUCUAUAUCGUUGAUGGCAAGCAAAAUGUUAUCGAAAUAAAGAACAAGAAAAUGAAACUUACUCCUAAAGAACUUAUGAGUAUAUGCAAUUAUCAACCAAAUUCGUAUCAAAAUCGAAUGAGAUGAUCACUUGAUGAAACUUAAAAUAUCAUUGUCAAGAUGCUUGCUUAAGCCUACAGAUAGAUUUCUUAAGUUUGGAAUCUAUAUUCUUUGGGUCUUCUGACAUAAAUUUUUUUGCUUGCACAAUCUAGAUUAUCUCAUCAAUGUCACCAUUGAGAAAUAUUGUCUUUACAUUCAUCUGAUGUAACUCAAGAUUGAAAUAUGCCACUAAUGCCAUUAUGAUCUUAAAAGAGUCUUUUGAAGAAACUAGAGAGAAAAUCUCUUUGUAGUCUAUGUCUUCUUCAUAAUCAUCAUACACAUGUGAUUUAAUUUCUCCCAUCUUUAUAUUUUUCUUUUGUCAUUAAGAGUACUCUCAUCGGUAAGAGGUGAAGGAGAAUCAACCAUUAACGCAAGGUCGAGAUUCAUGAUUGCGAGAACUAUUAAGAAGUUCUCUUGCCAUGAAUUGAAAUUAAAGUCGUUUAGAAUAGGAAUGGAAUUGAUAUUGGCAUUAAUAGUAGCAAAAGUCAUAACUGAAUAGAGAACAACAAAUAAUUAAUGCAAGCUUAUAUAUCUUAAAAACAAAAAUAAAUUCAAUAAAGGUAAACCAUGUCUCAAGAUACCGGAACUCCAUUAAUAUUUCAUCUUUUGAAAAAAUAUUAACUUAUAAGUGAUAUCUUGUGCAGUAAUAAAACAUUGAUAGCAAGAAUAUGUCAAAUAAUAAAGUUUCCUUUGAGUUGAUUUAUUAUUCACAUGUAAAACAAAAUAAUCAUCAUGCGUCUACUACCACAGGUGCACAUACAAUUCUCUCAAAUAUGGACCUUAUUUUGAGCCGAACGAUAUUCAUAAAAAUGACAUGCACAUAGUUGUUUAUAUUUCAAAUUAAAUUAAUUUCCAUAAGAGAGGUCACUUUGGUGACAUAUUGCUUCAAUUAAUUCAUCUCAAUAUAUAUAUAUAAACAUAACAGGUGCACAUACAAUUCUCUCAAAUAUGGACCUUACUUUGAGCCGAACGAUAUUAACAAAAAUGACAUGCACAUAACUGUUUAUAUUUCAAAACAAAUUAAUUUCCAUAAGAGAGGCCACUUUGGUGACAUAUUGAUUCAAUUAAUUCAUCUCAAUAUAUAUAUAUAUAUAUAAACAUACCAAUAUUUAAAUUUAAAAUUGUAUUAAAAUUACCCUUUAAAAUGAAAAAAAAAUUAAGUUAAAAGCUGGUCUACAGUCUACUGUCAAUUACUGAAGGGUCAACCUUUAAUCGAAUCAGGCUAGAUCGGCCCAAACCAACCCGGAUCUUAAACUAGCCAAUUGCCUUAAUCGGGUCAAGGUUGGACUGGGUUGCGUCAACUAGACCUAGACCCUAAACCAUCCUAAUCCUAAUUUUUUUUUUUAAAUUUUCCUUCUUCUUGGUGAGGCAACCCUUUCACAAUCUAUUACAGCCAAUCUUGCCUUGCCGAUGGCCAAAAAGCGUCCCUCUUUUCUUUUUUUUCACCACCGUUUUUCCUCAAUCUACCGCAUCCUGUGACCAGGGACAUAGCAAGGAAUUUAAUUGAGCUGGGGCACAUUUAAAAUCGCAAUUAUAAUAUAAUUUAAUAAUACAUUUACUUAUUAUAAUUGUUCUAAUCGAGAAUUCCUCGACGGGAUUUCAUGUGUUGAAAAUGAUGUAUAAUAGUUUCAUUAUCGAUACAAUCAAAUACAUCUCUUUUAAUGUACACAACGGGGUUAUCAUUCAACAAUUCAUCUCCUAUUCGACUUCGUAGUCAAUUCUUCACAUAAUUCAUUGUUGAAAAAACUCUUUCAGCAGUGGCAGUGGCAAUUGGUAAAAGCAAUGCUAAUGUGACUAAUAAAUAGACUAAUGAAAACACCUCGUACUUGUUAGUCUCAACCAUUUUUUUGUGCAAGAUCACCAAUCCCAUUUAAUCCUGAAAAGUCAACACUAGACUGCAUAUCCAUUAUAUAAACAUCAAGUUGAGUAUCUAGUUCUAUGAGAUCAACUGGAGAAAAAUCUUUUGGAUAAAGUUGAGCAAAGCACAAUAACAUUUCUUUAUUGAAAGCUGCAAAUGAAUUUUUUGGACAUAAACAAGCCAAGCAAAGUAGUAAUUCAAUGUUUACCUUAUUAAAACGACUGUUUAACUCUUGAAGCUGCAUUUUCGAAAUAGUAUAAAAUAUGUCAAUGUGAUAAUGAUGCAUGUUUGUGAUCUCUUGAGGUCUGCGCCUUGAUCUUCUAGGAGUUAGAAACAUAUUUUCCAUGAUAGGAACACUAAUAAAAUGCUUCUUACUUAGAAACAUAUUUUCCAUGAUAGGAACAGUAAUAAAAUGCUUCUUACAAAAUGAAGAAACUUGACUAAGCAAAGAAUUCCAUCCAUGUUCCCUCAUCCUUUGUAGACAUAGUUUGCAAAUGCUGACUAAUUUCAUGGAAUUCACAGUAUCUUGAUCUUUCCUUUGUAAUGCUUGUGACAAUUCAUUUGCAAAACCAAGAAUAUUUUUCAUCAAGUAUAAAGUAAACACAAAAUCAAAUGUUUGCAUGAACUUCAAGGUUGAAUUUGCUUCAAAUCUUUCCUCAGAAUUUGAUGCAUCAUUUGUAAUAAUCUCAAGCACAUCAAUUAUGGAUGAGAACAUGGUAAUAAUGCUUAUUAAUGUACCGUGAUGUGAGCUACACCGUGUGUCGCCAGAACGCUUUAAAGUAAUCUCUUCAUUCAUACAUUGUCUACUUUUAAGCUCGCUCUUUUUAAGAGCUUCAAUAACUGUAAUACCAUGCUUUUCUCUAAGAAUAUCAAAUCGUUUAGAUGAGGUUGCAACAAUGUUAAUAACUUUAGCAACUAAACUGAAACAAAUCAUUAACUUCCUGGUGCUUUUUUACUACAGAAACAAGGGCCAACUAUAAUUGAUGGGCAAAACAAUGAAUGAAAUAAGAAGAUUUAUUCUCUUUCAGAAUGAGUAUUUUCAAACCAUUAAGUUCGCCUUCCACGUUACUAGCAUCAUCAUAUCCUUGCCCACACAACCUAGAGAUGCAUAAUCCAUGUCUAGCAAAUAGUGUGUUAUGUAAUGCUUUAAGAGAGCAACUUUGGUAUCAAUAACAUGUUCAAUACCAAUAGAACGCUCAAUCACAAGUCCUGUUUUAUCCAUGUAACACAACACAAUCAUAAUAGAAAAUAAAGAGUCACCAGUUUCUUUAAUGAUAGCUCAAGAAGUUUCAGAUGAACAAACAUUUACAAUCUAUUUUUGAAUAUUAAGAGAUAUCAUUUGGAGAUUUGUUAGAGCAUUGUUGAAAAUAACACUUUUAAUUUCCUCAUUGUGAUCAGUAAGAAAUUGUAGAAGCUUAAGAAAGUUUCCUCUAUUGUUUGAACUUUGAGAUUCAUUAUUAGCACGGAAUGCAAAGUCUUGUCUCAAAAGAAAUCAAAUGUAAUCAAUUACAGCUGUUAAACAAACGCGAUACUCCCUUUAAAUUUUUUUAGAAUGGUUAAAGAAAAAUGUAGCAGCAUGUGCCUUUUGAUUCGUCAAUGAUUCACAAUGACGCCUCACUAUGUUAUGAGCACUAUUUGCACCAUUAACAUCAAUGGCGGACCCAGAAACUAAAAUAAGGAGGGGCUUAGUUCAAAAAAUUUUAUUUAACUUAGAUUUUUUUAAUGUUCACUCGAAUACAUUUUAAGUCUUAUAAACUCAAAUUUUAUUACUUUUUUUUAAAUUCUAAAUAAUAAUAGUAAUAAAUUAUUAUUUUUAAAUGCGUGAAAAUAUCAUUUUUUGAAGUAGUAUUUUAAAUGCGUGAAAAUAUUAUUUUUCGAAGUAGUUUCCACAAAAUAUUUAAAAAAAUAAAAUAAUGUGGCUAAUGGGAUUUGAACCAAGGUUUCAAAAUCAUUAAAUAACACUCUUACCAUUGAACCACAAGUCUUUUAGUAUAUGAAAAAUGUGUCCAAAUUGUUUUAUCUAACUUUUUCAUAAGGGCAUUGGGGUACAUUUAAAAGAAAAUUUAAUGGUCCAGGGGGGCUGAAGCCCCUCCUGGGCCUUAAUUGGGUCCGCCCAUGAUUAACAUGUUGUCUCAACAUUUCUUUUUUCUUCUAAUUUCUAAACCCUUCACUAGUAAAGCAUGGACCCCCCUUUUAUUGCCAUCUUUUUAUAUGAAAAACAUAACAUUAAAGACACAAAACUGCAUCAUUUAUUAUGUUAUAUUCUAACCAAUCAGGAUAAUUAUCGAACCAACUCUGAACAAAUCGUCGUAAUUUUUCUCCUAACGACCUAAUAGGAAAAUCAUGACUCUAAGGUUGAAAAGGACCCAUUUGCAAGUAUGCUCUCCGAACUUCGUCUUGAAUAUUAGGAUCUAACUUUAAAAUUGACAUUCAUAAACCGAGAUCCCUUGGAAGAUCAUGCAAAUUAAGUCUAACUUUUUCUUUUGAACUACCACUCAUUUUUCCUAAUGAGGUUGCAAUUGUUGAAUUCUUUCUUAAAUAUUUAUCCAUGGCUUUCAAAGAAAUAUAUUUAUUGAAUAAGUAUGAUACUUAUUGUUCAAAGAAAAUUUUCAACAUAAAUAAAAAUAAUACACAUGAAAAUUACAUUUUACAGAACUAGAAAAAUAUUAUGGUUUUUUAUUACAAAUUUAGUGUACAGUGUAUUGAUCUUAAUAAAUUAACUUGUUCUUAAAUCUUUUAAUGAUGGCAAAAAUAUUCAUAUAUGGCAACACAAAAAUCAAACAUGAAUAAAAUUAGGGAUUUUAAAAUGGAAAAAACAACAAAAUAAUAAAAAAUUAGAAUUAAUAAACUUACAAUUUUAAAACAUUAGACCAUACAAAUGAAGAAAAGUGAGAAGACAUCCAUGCACACGGUGACACGCAAUGCUAAUCGCCUAAUCUUCUAUGGAGUCCACACUUUAUUCCACGAAAGAGACGAAAGAAAGAGUAAAGUUUAGAUUUCAUUUGUUUUCCUUGAUCUUUUAAUGGAUUUCAUUUGAUGAAGGUGGCUCUCUUCUUGUCUUUAUUAAUUUUCAUGAAAUUAUAAUAGCUAAUCAAACUAUUUCGAAUUAGACAUUUAAGUUAGGGAAAGCAUGAAAUUUUUUUAAAAUUACGUGUGGCACUUUCAGAAUUUCAUAAUUUACCUAGGGUAUUUUUAUAAGUAAUAAAUAAAAAAUAUUUUUUUAAGAUAACCAUAAAAAAAAAAAAUUUUAAGAGCCUGCUGGGGCACGGUCCUAUGCUAGCUACGCCCUUGUUGGUGGCCACAACUUGUUUACACAUAGCCCAACUGCCACACCUCUUGCCUUUUAUUUUUUUUUUUAUGCCUUACAUGGCAACCGUUAAGUAGCCUAUUUGCUUUUGCCACGAGAUUCAAUUGUAGUUAUUCCUUCUGAUGUAGCCAUGGCCUAGGCCAGCGACGUCGUUGCCAAUAGUAGAAUGGGCUGUCGUCGGCCUAAACGCACAAUGUCAAAAACUGAAUUUUUUGAAUCUUAAAAGAAAUAACCAAAUAUAUUGAAACCAAAUUUCAUAAUAUUUAUCUCAAUAUUAGAAGAUAGCCACACAUUUGUUCUUAAACUCAAUAAUAUGGGAAUUAUUAAAUUCAAGGAAACCAAAGAUUUAAUCAUUAAUAAAAAAUAAAUUAUAUUCUCAAUGAUUCAACAUGAAGAGGUUGUGAUACUACUUGUAAGAAUAAUAAUACUUUGGUAAAAACUAUCACCUUAAUCUAGGAAUAUUCAUGUCGUGCCACCAAAAAUUAAUAACAGAAUAUGUGGAAGCAUACCUAAAUUUAUAAUAUACAAUUGCUCUCUAAAGUUGUGUGAUCUGUCUUUCAAAUCAACACAUUCUCCUAGAGAAUCCUUUAAACUUCUCUUUGCACUCUCUCUGAUUAGGGGUGGGCAAACGGUUCGGUUCGGUUCUAUGAGCAAAAACCGAAUGGUUUAAAAAGUAUUGAACCAAUUGGUUUUUGUUCGUUUCAGUUUAAAACCGAACUGAACCGAAAAAUCGAUUAGUUCAGUUCAAUUUAAUUAUAAAAUAUUUAAAGUGAAAUAUAUGAAUUUAAAAUCAAAUUUCAAUCACAAAAAAUCAAAACCCUAAAUUGGAAAUAAAAAAUUCACGAUUGCAUCUAUACUGUUGCCCUUGCCUCUCUCCCUCGCGCCUCUCCCUCGCGUCUCUCUCUCUCCUCACGGCCCAGCUCCUCAGUGGCGGCACCACCCCUCGGCAGUAUCUUCCCCCUCUGCGUGUGCAUGGCGCAGUUCGGCUCAUCCCCUCUCGAUAUCUUCCUCGCGUCUCUCCCUCGCCUCACACCAUGGUCAGCGCCUAGCACAGCCCCUCCCCUCAAGCACAGUGACGUCGUCGUUAACCCUCGCACACUGUCAUCUUGGUUGCUACAGCUGCAGCCUGUGGGUGUCUUUUUUUCCUUUUAAAUUUUUGCCAUGGCCCGUCCGUUUUUUUGUUCUUAAUAACUUGAGUUUUUGGGUCCAUGGUAAUGGCUGCCUCAAAUCUCAAUCAAUUUCAAAUCAUUUUCGUUUUAUUUUAUUCGGUUUGGGUCUCAUAACAUCAGAGUACUCAUUGCAAGUUAGGAGCUGGCUAAGUUAAAGCAUCUGUAAGGUACAUAUGCUGCUUCAGCUAACCCCCAACCUUGCAUUUGCAUUGCUUUUUCUCUGUAAGUCAGGACACGUGUGCUAUUUGCUUUGGGUGUGUAAGUUACAGAUGUUGUAAUAUAGCAACAUCCUGCAAGUUAAUAUUUUAUGCAUGCUCUUAACUUUUCUUGUUAUUUUAAAAUCAUCAAAACGGAAAUGUUGUUACUGCAGUUAUAGAAGUUAAAAUAAACUUAUAAUUAAACAAAAAUCACUACUAGAAAAAUGGGCUUUACUGACACCAAUUUAGUGUCAGUAAUUACUUUUACUGACACUUGUUAAUUGUGUCAGUAAUGCUCAAGCCAGAACACACUGACACUAAUUUUUGGUGUCAGUGAUUUUUGCGUCAGUAUUUUGUGUCACUAUAGUAUCACCACAAUAGUGAUACUAUGAUGUUAGUAUCAGUUGAUACUAUUUCUAUGUCAGUAUUUUGUGUCACUAGAGAGUCACAAGGAUAGUGACUCAAUCGUGUUAGCAUUUAAUGAUACUAUUUACAUGUCACUGAUUUAUGUGACUACAGUAUCAGGAAUCCACUGACUUAGUAACAUAAAAAAUUCUUAUCGUCAUUUAAAUAAUUAGUGUCAGUAUUAACGGUGCUAUACCGGUUGUGUUUUAUUUUUUCUAAUCACAUUAUUCAUGUUUAUUUUACAAUUAAAAUAAACCCAAAAUAUAUUAAACAUACCAAAUCUUGUAAUGCAAUUCACAUAAUACACAUUUCAAAUACAUCAGUUAAAUUAAAAUAGUUCAAAUACAUCAUUGUUUGGGGGUAAAAAACAAGUUCAAGUACUAAAUUAAGCUUUGAACAAGUAGUAUACACGAUAAAGUACUAAAUUAAUUUUGGAAAAUUUAGCCAAGAAGAAAAAAUAGAAAACAAUGUCACUGAUUUUGGAGUCACUGAUUUUGGAGUCCGCAUAUGCCUUCAUUUUUUUUCCACCUACAAGUAUAUAAAAUCAAUUAGCACACCACAAAAAAUAAGUCACAUAUUUGUUUUAAGGAAAAAUAAUCAUAAAUUACUUGUAUGUUACCUCGCGAUUGUAGGCUAUAAUUAACUUGGCAACGUAUGUAGCCCACUGAUCACGAAGUCGCGAGAGGUCCUUGACAGUGUAUUCCUCAACUCCCUUGAACUUUAAUUUUAAAACAACAAGUUAUUCACCGAAAAUCCUUGACUAAACUACUUAAUUAUCAUUCAUUUAAAUAUAUUUGUGUGUUAACAAUUAAAGCCAACAAAUAAACUCCAACAAUGUUACUGUUUUAUCCAAAAUUAUAUAGGUAAAUACUGAACAUCCUGAUCAUGGUAAUUCCAAAAAAAAAAAAACAACUUGUGAACCCCAACAGCAACAAUAUUUGAUAGCCGAAGCAACUUGUGAACCCCAACAGUACGCAAUUUAAUACAAAUAUGGAUGUAGAUACAAAACCUUAAUUAGGGUGACAACUUAUCCUCAUCAAAGUAAAGUACAAGCAACGACACCAUAGCACAUCCCCACUAACAACUACUUUGCAAUCCAAACAAUUGUUUUGUGUUGGGAUAUGCAGUACAUUGUGUAUAUCCCAAAUCCUAAUUCAUGUCUAUAUGGAUAUUCAUAUAAUCUAUUCAACAGUAUGCAACAUAGUCACCAUUAUAAGUACCCUCACAGUUUAUAAAAUGCAUACAAUACGCAAUAAAAAGAUAACUGUAAAGAAGCACACAUGUGUUUGAGCUGAUUCAUUUCACAAUAAAUUAAAAAAAUAUGAUGCAGUAUUGUAAAAAUCAUUUUCAACACUUACAUUAUUUUUCAGAACGUUCACAUUUGUGAUGAUAUCUUGCAUGUAUUUCAUCACAUAGUAACCACAUUCAAAGCUGCUCGGCUGCCUCGGACACUAUAAGAUCAAAAUUACAUUAAUUUUUUUACUGUACGUUAACAAUAAUUAGUUAGGUUUGUCUGAUUUUUACCUUGACAGGUAUCCAUUGAACAUUGGCCUUUGUAUCAGAAUUUAAACUCUGAUGUAUUCGAAUCCCCCUACAAUUAAAAGACAUAGCUAACGUUAGUAAAUAAUUAGCAUAAGACAUAAAAAUAAAAUAACAUGAUCAAAGAUACAAAUAACAAACUUAACUGAUUGACAAUCUGCUUUAGCUCUUCAUCAGGACCACCUUCCAAAGGAUCAAGGUAAUAAGUUGUACGUCUCACCAUAUCAAUUGCCAAUAACACCCAGUGGGCACUAAACAAAGUAAAUAUUAUUCUCACACAUGAAUUACAAGUAAAAGUUUUUAACUUCGUGAUUAAUCUACAAAUUAAAUAAUAUAACUAGCAAAUGAAAAAGGUUAUACCCAGGGUUAUGCGGGAAUACGAUGACUUGUCCCAAUUCUGCCAAGCCUAACAAUUUUGAAAUGUAUUGAGUCCUGUCUUUGAAGCUGGCCCUUGGAUAUAACUUCUCAAAAAGCCCAAACUGAACUGGUUUAGUACUUCUAUUGCUCUCCAUCUCCUCAUACAGGUGUCUAAGAGGAAACAAAUAUAUAUAACGAAGUAAGUUUGAAUAUAAGAAACAAAAUAAUAGGGCCAAGCUUACUAAAACAUAAGUUAUGAUUUACCGUACUUGAUCCAUAUGUUAAUGAUGCAGUUUGAGACCUCUUUAAACUCGAUGAUUUCAGCACAAAUCAUUUUGUCCAAGUGUGUUUCCCAAAUUUCACCAAAGAUUGCUGUGUCAUGCCUAAUUCUGAUCAACCGAGGUAAAGAAUUCUCGAUGAACAUGGUAAACAUGUUCAUAUAUUCACUCCUGUCAUUCUUUCUUGAUCGUGCUGCUGCUCGUGUAUUCUUCACACGUACAUUGAGGUCUUUUGCUGCUGGUCUGAUGACUCGGGGUUCUUUUUUGGCUACUUCUGCUGGUCUGAUGACUCGGGGUUCUGUUUUGGCUACUUCUGCUGGUCUGAUGACUCUGGGUUCUUUUUUGGCUACUUCUGCUGGUCUGAUGACUAGUGGUUCUUUUUUGGGUACUUCUGCUGGUCUAAUGACUCUAGGUUCUUUUUUGGCUACUUCUGCUGGUCUGAUGACUGGUGGUUCUUUGUUGGGUACUUUGUCAUGACAAGAGAACUGCCUAUCUAGUACUUUAGGAGUUAGUCUAGGAGAUCUUCUGGGUGUGGGCUUUGAAGUAAUUUCACACUCUACUUUUUCGGGGGUUUGUUGAAGAGUUGCUUGGGAAAUUGUGGUGGGACUGUCCUUGAUUUUACUCUUCACAGAUUUUGGAGUCGACUUACCCGAUGGGAAAUCAGCCUAUGCAAUAAUCAAAAUACAUACCAUUAGUAGUAAUACAUGCAUAUACAAAUGGAAAUAAAAUAAUGACAUGUAACAGGCCAUAUACCUUUCUUUUUCUAAGAGUUUCAGGGGAUUGUUGAUCAUUGUCAAUCUGAACACCAGUGGAAGUUUUGGGCUUAGGAAAGUUAGAACUUCCAACUUCAGUAUUGCUGUACGCAUUUAACCUUGCAUUCAUGCGUUCUAAUUGAGCAGACAUGAAUUGGAAACUCUCUUGAUACAUCUUUCUUUCUCUUGCUAACUCAAUGGCAUCAGGGACAUGAAAGUACAUAGAUGGGGUGACGAAUUGCCCCACUCCUUACACCCUGCUUCCAUUUGGCUGCUUCUGAAGAGCUUCACCUAGAAUGUCAUGUGACCCUUGUGAUUGGAAUGUUCCUUGUUCAACCUGACUCUUCAGCUCAUUCUACAAAAAAAAAAUAUUGUAAAUCCGCAAUUACGAGUACAAGACAUCAGCUAAACUAAACUAAUAUCCUUCUUGAAUCUUUAAAAAUCAGCAAAUCCAUAUACAGUUCAAAUUGAAACUACAGAAAAUAUUACAAGACAACACCUCACACAAGUUUUAACUUUUUUAUAUGCGAAGAAAUAAGUUCUGAUGAAAUCUUACUGAGUUUCUGUCAAUUGUAAAUGUUGCCAUACAAUUAUUACAAAAAACAGUAUAUAUGUACGUAAAUAUCUACCCACACACACACAUAUUAUAAAGAAAAUUCAUAAGAAUUAAUUAUACAAGUGACUUACUAUUUUCUCAGCAAUUGGCGUGACAUCAGAAGCAUAUUUGCCAUCUUGGUCUGCUCAUGCCAUUAACCAAGCUUCACUGCGAUCAAUCUCCCGCUCAUAAACUCCACUCUCCUUUUUCUGUUACAAGGUGACAUAAAACAUAAAUAAUUGAUUCUAUUAUAUUAUACGUACUAGAUUACCUAUGUUACUGUAAUUACUCCAUAUUACCACACUUACUUUUCUAUACAACAUGCCACCAUAUCCUGUGCUACCCAAGCGAUGGUUGUAGACAUUCUUUGCUCUUUUGUCUUUUGCCUUCUUACUUUUUUCCUGCACAAACAGUUUAUAUGAAGAACAAAAAGUUACCACUGAUUAUUAGUAACUACCAACAAUUAAAUCAGGUAAUAUUAACAAACAACACACUUGAAAUUGUUCAGACAAAACUUUGUCAACAAAAAGUUUCCAAUCUUCUUUUUUAAUGCCUGGAUAUUCAAUAAGAGGCAACCUUAGUGACUUUCGAUUGUCCUUGUUAGGAAGAACGAAUUCAGUUGCCAGUUCACAUCGAAAGUUUCUUGAUGCAACCCUCAUCCACUUUAAUACUUGGCUUUUGCAUUUCAAGCUCAAUUUGAAUUUUUUCUGUAAACCAAUAACAUGGAUUAGAAACAACUUUAAACAAAUCUGGAAGUUAUAUAAAAUCUUUAAACAUACUAUGAAACAAGAAAACAAAACCUGAAAAUGAACCCACAAAGUUUCUUUCAUCUCCAGUGGCACACGCCUCCAAUCAUCAAGUAAAAUUGAAAUUGUUUCACGUACAAUGACUCCAAUGUAACUCCUAAGAUCAUUUCUUCCCUUUCCAACUGGAACACCAUAAGAAUUGUACUCAAUUGCAGCUUCAUGACUAACUUCUUGUUUUUACAAACCUUUUUUUUUUUUCUUCUCCUUGGUCUUCCGUCCAGCUCCGGAAGAGUGAACUCAACAUCAUCAGCCAUCUCCUACAAUCCUGAAAAUGAUUAAAAUAAAUUAGUAUAUCAUUUAGAUUAAUAAGUUAAUACAAGAGCAAUAGCAUAUAAUGAAAUAAAUAAAUCACUUACUGGAAAACUGUGAAAAUUGGUGCUGGAAACUAACUACAAUAAUGCAUUCACUGAUUUUCUAAAUCAAUAUCUAUUGGAAUAGCAUCACAAUCUUUUCUGUCAUAAAUUCCUUCAUCAUCUUUCUCAUCCAACUCACAUACUGGAAGUUUGUUAGAUAAUGGAGAAAAUACAUCCACGUCUUCACAUCUUUCCCCAUUUAACUUAUAAGCUUUGUCGGUCACUGAACAAACUAUUGAUUUAUUAUUAUCUAGCUGGUCCUUUACAUAAAAUACUUGCUUUGCAUGACAAGCCAGAAUAAAGCAAUCAGAUUUAUAGCCAAUCCGAUUUAAAUCAACUACAGUGAAACCUAAAUUGUCAGUGCAAACCCCUCUAUCAUCUACCCAAUCACACUUAAAAAGUGUUUUUUUAACUAUUAGAUAAUCAAGCUGCCAUAUCUCAUCAAUGACUCCAUAAAAUGUCAUGUCUCCAAAAUGAGGACUUUUAUCUUUUGAGCUUGAAAUCUGUAGAGUGUUAGCAACAACCCUAACACCACUAUUUUGGGUCACACAAUUACAGUCCCGGUCCCUCGUUGUAAAAUUGAAGCGAUUUAUCUCGUAGCCAGAGAAGGUCACCACGCUUGAGCGUGGUUUGUUUGCCAACCAGCACACUAUUUUGUCAAUCGGCACAUUAUUUGCUUUAUCAUGUGCCACCUAUAAAUUAAAUUAACAAGUACAGUAAUUAGUAACAUGUAGAAAAAUCUUGUUAAGUUUAUAUCCUAUAUUGUAUUUUAGUUAAGUAAUUCUAACCUUUGCUUGUAACCAACCAGAAAAUGUACGUAUGUGUUCAUUUUGCAACCACAUAUUUGUUUUUGCCUUAUAGGGGUUUCUUGAUGCCAAAUAAUGCAUAUGCUCCCUACAGUGAGACAUAUUAAGAUUUAAAAACUAGUAUAUUAAUCUAAUAAUACAAUAGUAAUAUUUUUUUGGAAAAAUUAACAACUUACUCGAUAUAUAUUUGGAUUUCAGGGGUGUUCAUUAGAACACACCGGUGUGCUUGUGCCAACAAAGGAUCAUCAACCACCUUUAUGUUUGCACCUCCCAAAGGCUUUUCGAUAGAUAAAUCAGUUGGACAACCAGUAGGCAGCCCAAUAACAUCACAAUUUGAGAGGUACUUAGCACAAAAUGCAAGUGCUUCUUCUGCAAUAUAACUUUCUACAAUACAACCCUCAAGGCGGUAGCGAUUACGAACAUAAUCCUUGAGAGUUUUCAUUUGUCUCUCAAAAGGAUACAUCCAUCGAAGAUAAACAUAACCUAACUUGUUCAACUAAGUGGAUUGUUAAAUGGAUCAUUAUGUCAAAAAAGCUAGGUGGGAAGUACUGCUGCAGUAAGCAUAAAGUGAUUACAAGUUCCUCUUGCAAUUGGUCAAGAGUAUUGGGAUCUACCACUUUACAGCACAAUGUAUUAAAAAAGAAGCACAUCCUGAUUAUGGCCCUUCUCACAUUUAUAGGCAAACAGUUUCGAAUGGCUAGUGGUAGAAAUUGUUGCAUCAAAGUAUGACAGUCAUGGGACUUAAGGCCUUGAAGCCGACAAUCAUCUAUUGAAACAAGGUUUUGGACAUUGGAAGAAUACCCAUUAGGGACUUUCACACUCAGCAAGGUUUCACAAAACUGUUUUUUUUCUUUUUUACUCAAAGUAUAAGGAGCCGGAGGUAGGACUUUGUGUUUUUUGUUUGAUUCAUCAGGAACUAGUUUUCCCCUGAUCUUCAAAGACUCAAGAUCUUUUCUAGCAUUAAUCCCAUCUUUUGUUUUGCCUGGUUGAUGAAGUAAUGUGCCAUAUAUGUUCUCGCACACAUUUUUUUUAAUGUGCAUCACAUCUAAUUGAUGGCGAACUAAUAAAUGCUUCCAAUAAUCUAACUAAAAAAAGAUUGACUUUUUUUUGUACAAUUUUUUAGUUAUGUUCUCAUCACCAUCACCGCCACCACCGCCAUCAUGUUUCCGCUUUUUUGCCUUCUUUUUCCCGAACUUAAUAUCUAUAUCUUCCACCAUAUUAAAGAUUUCCUCACCAGUCAAAGUUUUAGGAGGCUCAUUCCACUCUUGCUUCCCAUUAAAAACCUUUUUCAGUUUCUGAAAUAGGUGACCGAGUGGUAGAAAGCGGCGAUGGCCCAUAUAUGAUAUUUUCCUACUAUGUGGCAGCCAACAUGCACAAGUGUCUAUCCCACAAAUUGGGCAAGCAUAAUAGCCCUUAACAGUACAACCAGAGAGGUUUCCGUAUGCUGGAAAGUCACUGAUUGUCCACAUCAAGACAGCCCGUAAAUUAAAGGUUUCUUUUCUAUAAGAAUCAUAAACAUCAAUACCUACAUCACAUAGAGUUUUUAAGUCCUCAAUCAAAGGUGCUAGGUAUACAUCUAGAUCAUUUCCAGCUUGUUUAGGGUCAGAUAUCAAAAGUGACAACAUCAAAAACUUUCUCUUCAUACACAACCAUGGAGGAAGAUUAUAUGUUAUCAAUAUAACAGGCCAACAACUAUAAGUAGUGCUAAGUGUACUAUGUGGGUUAACCCCAUCAGUUGAGAGAGCUAACGGAGAUUUCUAGGUUCUUGUGCAAAUUUUGGCCAUUUAUUGUCAAUUAGUUGCCAGGCUGGUGAGUCUGCUGGGUGGCGAAGUUUGCCAUCUCUAAUUCUUUUAUUAGCAUGCCAUGUUAAAUUUUGAGCUGUUUGUGGUGAUUGAAACAAUCUUUUCAACCUAGGAAUAUGUGGAAAAUACCAUAAUACCUUUUUAGGAACCCCUUUCCUAAAUUUUGUUGAGCUAUCUUUUUUUAUUUGAUACCUAGAUGCUCCACAAUUUGGGCAUUCAGCAAGAUCAGCAAAUUCAUUCCUAUACAAAAUGCAGUCAUUUGGACAUGCAUGUAUUUUUUCAUACUCUAAGCCUAACACUUUCAUUGUUUUCUUAACCUCGUACAUUGACAUAGGUAGAGUAUUAUUAUUUGGUAAAAUAUCAGCAAGGACUUCUAACAAAGCAGAAAACCCUUUAUCGGACCACCCAUAGUUCCCUUUCACAUUGUAAAGUCUCAUUAAACUAGAUAACUUUGAAUGUUUUGCACCUGGGUACAAAGGCUUUUCAGCAUCUUCAAGCAUAUCCUUAAAAGAACUAGGAUCUCUAUCACAAUGCUCGUAAGCAUCUUCGACCAUGUCAAUUAUAUUAUUGUAAUCAUGACAUCUAAAUCUUUGACUAUGUGAAUGGUCUUCACAGUUUGUAAAUGUACAUUUAGAGUCAGUUUCACCAUGCCAAGUCCAAACAAUAUAUCUUGGGAGAAAACCUUUUUCAAAUAAAUGAUCCUUCACCUGUUGAGGAGUAUGAAACUCCAUAUUACAACAAAAGGUGCAAGGACAUCUAAUUGACAUUCGAUUUUCAGCAUUCAAAAUGGCAAAAUCUAAGAAAUCAGUAACUCCAGAACGAUACUCUACAUACAAUCUAUCACAAGUUAUCCAACUUCUCUCCAUUUCAAAUACUUUACAUGUUCACAUAUGUAAUGUCAGUUUAAGUUUAAUUAAAUUGCAUGAUUAAUUUAAAGUUCAAUGUUAUUAUGAUUAUAGUUGUAAUAAAAAACUUAUAAUUCUGGAAAAUCAUUAAUAGCCCCUAUAAAUCAUUAAUUAUAAUAAUAAUUUAGGCAAAAUCCUGAAAUUGAAACAAAAGAAGUUUUGAAACUUAAAUAGGAGAUUAAUAGGUAAGAUGGGUGCUAAUGGCUUUUUAAGUAGUCGAACUAAUUCAUAAGUCAAGUAACUAACAAAAGUUAAGAGUUCAAAUAAAUAAUGUCUUCAUACCACUUUGCAAGCCAUUUUUUAAGAUUCUAUAAAUCAUUUUUUAACUUCAAAUACAACAUGCAGAACUACUUUAAAACAAGCAUUUCUUUAUUGAAUCAAACACAAAUCAUCAACUUUAUACAAUCUCAAAAUAUUCACAACCACGAACUUAAUUAAUUCAUAUCAUAGUCAUUGUCUCUAUUACAAAUCGUCCAACCAAAACAGAAUAAAUAAACAAGUAGGAUUAUAUAACAAAAUUUUCCUCUCUUUACAUGAAACAGAGAUGUAAAUAGUUUGUAACCACUAAAUACACAGUCAUUCAGCCAAUAUAACACCCAAACAAUCAUCUCCUAAUCACAAAGGCAAAAGCUAAAAUGAAAUUUCAUAUUUUAGUACAUUCAAAAUCAACUAACUUAUUGCUCAAAGUUAAGAAACGGAGCUAACAGUUUAUUUUAGAAACUAAAAAAAAUGCACAUUCUUAGUUUUAAAUAACAAUGACAGUAAAUCACAUGCACAAAAGUUUGAAACUGACCUCAAAUGUGGCAAAAAAAACAGAGUCGCAGCAGCAAGUGUUUUGAGUUUAAGAAAUGCACCACUUAAAAUGCCUGUAUUUUUGGACUGCAUGUGAGUGAAGAUAUAGAAAAAUAAGAACAAAAAUUUCAAGUUACGAAUAAAUAAAAGAAAACAAAAAGAUUUGGAAAACAAAACCCACCAGGGUUGCACUACUGUUCAAUUUAUGAAUAUCUAAAACAACCCAAAAAUAAAAAUUCAAAAAUAUUAUUCAUAAGCCAAAUUAAAACAAACCCAAUAAUUAAAUUGCCCAAAAAAAAAAAAAUAUUCUGCCAUUACCAGCUGAUAACCUCCUCUACAGUUCUUUCUCUGGACUUGACUUGUCAGGGAGAAUGAGAUUACCUGAAUACCGAACCGAUGGUGCCACUUCACCCCUUGUCGAUGGCUUUUACUUGCUUGCCUAGUAUAGGCACUGGAUGGUUUAGUUGGAGAAAAACCCCUUCGAUAACAAGCGAUUAGGGUUUUGGUUUGUGUUUCAAUUUGGGGAAAAUGGAAAAAUGAAACAGAGUUUUAGCUUUUCAUUAUCUAUCUAAAUUAAUUGAAUUUAAUUUGUAAAUGGAUAGUGCAAAACAGAAGAGAUCGAGAAGAGAAAAACGAAAGCGAAAGUGAACAAUGAAAGCAAGAUAGAGACAGUCGAUAUAGUCUAGAUGGGGAAAAGUCAAGUGUGUUUUAUGUUGUUCUUAUUUAUAUUUUCAUUUUUUAAUAAUUUAAAUAUUAUUAUGACUUUGACUCAUCGAUAUUUGAUGGUCUGUGCUCCAAACAUUAAAGCUUUAAAUCUUAGAGCUCUCAGGUUCGAGUUGGAGCUAAAACAAAAUUUUUAUGAAUUUUUUUUUAUCACUGAUACUUUAGUGUUAGUGAUUUUUGAUAUUUAGUUUACUGACACCCUAGUAUCAUUAAUCUCUGAUUUCUAUUUGUCAAAAGCGGAAAAUGGUGCAUAUGUACAUAAGUACUGACACUUUUUGUAAAGUGUCAGUAACGAAGUGCAGUAAAGCCCAUUUUUCUAGUAGUGAAUGUUGAAUAUUUGCUAAGAUGAAUAUUGUGAUUAAACAGAAAUGUUGUUACCAAACCGAAUCGAACCAAACCGAACCGAAUUUAGGAACCGAACCAAAAUUUCGGUUCGGUUUGGUUCGGUUCCUAAAUUCGGUCCGAAUUCGGUUCAUCUUCUAAAAAACCAAUUGGUUUUGGUUUGGUUCGGUUCAGUUCAGGUCCCGAACCGAACUGAACCGACUAUUGCCCACCCCUAUCUCUGAUGAUGGGAUGUCAUUUGAGAAUAGAACGAUACAUAUGACUUGGGGAUCAUAACCAUUUAUAUAGGUAACUUUUCCUGUUGUCUUUAGGUAUUCCUAUUUCAGUCCAUCAUAAAAAUAAAAAUUACCCUUAAGUCUCUACACAUUAAAAGACCACACCCUAUUAGAUACAUUAAAAUUUAAUUUACUAAUAUCCUUAAUAAAUCAUUUUUAAUUGGGUUAACCUUAUAUUAUAAUCCACAAUACAUAAUUAUUCACAUAUAAGUCUAACAUUGGAUUAAGAAUCCAAUAAUACUGGAUUAAAUAUCUAACAAUAAGUUCUAUGAAUAUUGUGGUAUAACCUGUUAUGCUGUGGUCAUAGUAUUUCUAAUGGCUAUAUCAUGUAAAAUACUGAAUAGACCAUGUAAGAAUCUUAAAAAUUGCGUAUUUAUGCUUGGAAUCUUUUGAUGAUAUAUAACAGUGCUUAUAUUGGAUUAGUAUCUUUCUUUCUUGAAAUAGAAUUUUUGCAUACCUAUCUUGUUUUUAAUGAGAUUUCAA